AUUUGUCCCUGAUGUGUGGCAACAAACCCUGGAAAGCCAAAUCGGCUAGUUGCCGAUCAUCCAGAACCAGGCUAUAGCACUUGUUCUUGACCUCCCGUAUCCUCUGCACAAAACUUUCAACCGAUUCAUCAUUGCGUUGCUUCAACUUGACCAAAUCGGUGAUCUUCUUCUCAUGGACCCCAGAAAAGAAGUACUUGUGGAAUUGUUUCUCUAGAUCGGCCCAAGUGAUCACUGAGUUGGGAGAUAAUGAUAUGAACCAGGUGAAAGCCGAUCCAGAUAAUGAUGACGAGAACAGGCGAACCCUUAACUCGUCCCUGUUAGCAGCUUCUCCGUAUUGGAUGAUGAACCUGUUGACAUGUUCCAUGGUCGACGUAUCAUCCUGCCCUGAAAACUAAGAAAAAUCUGGCACUUUGUACUGAUUUGGAAGCGGGAUUAAAUCAUACGCGGGAGGAUACGGCGUCCGAUAAGAGUAAGUGUUGACUUUGGGUUUUAUCCCAAAUUGGUCUCUCAUUACUUCAGCAAUCUUAUCGGCCCAAUAAGCAUCGGCAUCUUGCCGAUGAGGCGGCUGCGGAUCCGGCACCUGCUGGUAAGCUUCCACGUGUCUGUGCGGUGCACGAUCUGCAUGGAACAUCGGGUUGGUCAAUUGGCCGCCAACUUGCUGACCACCGAUCUGCUGACCGCCAAACUGUUGCCAGCCAAUCUGUUGUCCGCCGAUCUGCUGUCUGCUGAUCUGCUGCCCAAGAUUCAUUGGCUGGCUGGGCAAUCCCUGAUUCUGGAACCCAGGGUAGACCUGAUGACUCUGUUGGGGCGUUUGUGGAAAGACUUGCUGCCCAAGCCAUCCAUUAUUAGCGUUCAUCGGCAUAGGCCCUGCCGAUGACUGAUAAUUGGGUAUCAUCAUUGAAUUGACAUACCCUGGCUGAGUCGUAAACCUCUAUUGCGUCAGCAUUGAAUAUGCCGACGCGUUAGGCAUCUGGAACGUUGGAGCUUGAGAAUUCCCAGUGUAAGGCCUUACAGUAGUGGUUGUAGUAUACUCGGGACUCUGAUUCAUCGGCAUAUUUGGGGGUGCCGAUGCCAUAGGAGCCUUGCCUCUCACAUCAGUCGUCUGAGAUGUACCAGGUGUCGUCAACUCUGGAGGCAUACCAUAACCCCACCAGUUAGGAGGAGGAAUCGAUCCCAACAUCGCCGAUGCCAACAGAUCUGUAGCGAGCUUAAUCUGCCCAUCUGAAGUCGGUGGAUUAGUUGUCAUCGGCGUAGACUGUGCAUUGGUGACUCCUAACGUGCUUGGAGGAACAGGAAUUUCUGUGUCUGCAGCAGCCGUAGCAGCCGAUGGAGCUGAAACCACUGGUGAUCCUGGCUAAUGAUAGGCAGGGCCCGUAUAAUUUGGUGGCAAUUGUCCUUCUUUGAAAGUUCUAGCCACGGCAUUGAAAACUGUAUUGGACAACACACCAGCUUGAUUGAUCAAGGCACGGUUAAUAGCAUUAUCAACCAUGUCUUGAAGUUUACCAGGAUUAGCGUCGAAAGUGACCUGCCGAGGCGUCGGCAGUGCUUCCUUCUAGAUUACUUCGCCGCUCCUGUUGAUGCUGAAGGACUUCAAACAUUGCUGCUUGUAAUCCUCCAUAGCCUUUGCAAUAGCUUGCUUCUGCUCAUCCUUGAGAUUGGCUUCCAUCACAGGGAUGACGUUCUCUUGAUCGAAUUCGGUAGUCGACAUGUCGAUCUUGAUCUUGAAUCUGGUCCCACCGAGCGUGCCAAAAGAUGUGUUGAUGCAAAAGCUAGAUCUGCAAAUACAAAGGGCUAAUACCCGAUUUAAACGUUAAGGCGUGCCAGCCGAUUUGACCUUACUAUCGGCGAAGGUGAUAACUCGAAUACUUUGGUCCCGACAACAGCGAUGUGCCCGGAUGCCACGGCCAAGAGGUAUUCACGCGGUACUUGAGAAUACGUCGAGCUUAAGUCGACGAACUCCUAAGAACUCGUAGUAAAAAGGAAAAUAUGACGAAGUCGUCGAAAAGUAGAUGCUGGAAUAUGAGUAAAAACGUGUGUUUGAUUGAUUGAUAGAUAGAUAGAUUACAAGGCCCUAGGGUCUACAUUUAUACCCUGCUCAAAGAGCUACAACCAGACACGACUAGAAUUCGAAUUCCAAAUUUAAACAGAAUCCGUGUACAAAACAAUUUAAACAACUAAGGAAAACAUAAAACUAUCCUGCCGUGACAAGCUGGGACACCACCACGGACCAAGUGGCUGCCGUGACAAGCUGGGACACCACCACGGACCAAGUGGCAACCUCCAAGUCUUCCUUCCACGUCAUCGGCAGACUCCCCAUCGGCAACGAUCAAUACUGGCCAUCGGCAUCACCAUCCACGGACUUAGCCACAUUCAGCUAUCUCCUCAUCGGCAACUAUCCUUAUCGGCAACUCUCCUGCAGACCAGUCACUAUUACCCUUUCUUGCCGAUCUACAUUCUACCGAUCCUGGGUACGUGUCCAAAAAUGGUGUCAACACGUUGGUAUAACAAUCACUCUCCACUCCUUUACUUACUUGUAUACCUUGCUAGUUGUUUAGUUUGUUUAGUUUAGUCUUCUUGUUUAGGAGUGUAGCUAGCCUUCUCUUGUUGUUGUGUUUUAGUGUUUAGCCUUGUACUAGUUUGUAUAGGUGGCUUGCAUAGCUUUGUUGAGCUAGUGCUAGAAUUGCUUCACCAUUUGUUUUACUAACUCACUUUCUUAGUGAAGUUUGUAGAAAUUUUAAAUAGGCUAUUCACCCCCUCUAGCCAUUUGGACCUUUCAGUAACUAAAUCAGCCCACAUUAGCUUCUUCACAGGCUUUUGUCAUGAUACUGCUGAUUUUGAUGUUGUACCUAUGAGCUUGUUCAAUUUUAUUAGGAUGUUCAUGGGAAUUUGAUAUUGAUGCUUUACACCACGGUAGAACUAAUACAUACACUUUCAUGCAUAAGGACAAAAAAAUUACUUGAUGUCUUUGUCUCCUAUAGAAAUUAUUAAACAUGCUAAAGAGAUUAACAAUAAACAUCCGAUAAACAUUAAUAAAAAUAGUAGGAUUAAGUUACAAGGAGGUGCUUUUCUUGCUACAACUUCCGCUACUGCUGAGUUAUGUGAUAAUCUAGAUGUACCAUAUUAUACUAUGUUUUGUCACCGUAUUAUAUCUUGUGCAUUGCCUGUUGUCACUAACUUUUUGCAGGAGUUCGUUGAUGGGGAAGAGUCGAGAACGACUCCAAUUCUAGAAGGAGGGGAUGAUGAGGACAUCGCCAAGAUAGAGUCAAGGAUGACUCCAAUUCAAGAAGGGGAGGAUGAUGAGCACACCGCCACAUUGGACACGCCUACACCAUUGUCUUCUCCAAGUUGCAACUCAUCUCCAACUCGGCUACCACAUCACCCUCUGAUUCAGCCAAUAUAUUGUCAAUGUUUCAAUCAUAACUUCUUCAUACGACAUCAAAAUGGGGAGAUCUUAGACUUGUUGGAAAGGGGAUGAUGACGCCAUCAUUUUGGAUCUGGUCCCAGCUCCAGAUGGCCCAUGGAUUAAUCUAUGUGACCAUGACAAGGUGCUACGUCACCUGUUUUGGGCCAACUUGGCCAUGUAUCGAGUCGGCCCUUAAGCCCAAAGUUGUGGGCACCAUCCCUAGUCGCCUUCAACCCUAGGACACCUCUCUUUUAUAUUCGAUGCAGCCACUGCUAUUGAGACUUGAGUUUUAUUUAGAAUUUAAUUUUCCAUCGAGAAACUAAAUCAUUCAUUGUAACUGUGGUGACAAAUCCUUUUACAGCGAUCCAGGGCCCCCAUUCUUGAUCUCCUCCACUGUGUCGAUUAGUCCUUUGGAACCGAAUUAUUUGAACCCUCUAUUGAUAUUCACAUCAUUCAUAUUUGCAAUUUCAGAUUGCGUGUUUAAACCUUCUUGCUUGUGUUCUUCGAUUCUUUCACUUGUAGGAAAAGCUUUCUUGGUGAGGUCAAUCAAGUUAUGCUUGGUUGAUAACCAACGGAGCAGUGGUGUAACGGUUGCAGGGUUCGAAUCAUGUCUGAUUUGAAGCCGAAUCACCAAUGUCGAUAUCUCCAUAAAUCUAACUUACUAGUUACCUCUCGGAAGAUCAGGCAUGUACUCAUCACCUAGAACCCACAACAUCGAGCUUGAGCUUUAGUGAGAUUGAGAGUGUGGCAUUUCGACACCACUUAAUGGACUCCCCCACACAAAGCUUGGUCAGACUUCCCCACCUCAAAGCCCCCGACAAUGAUGAAACUCUUGACCACCACUUGUUGCCUUCUCGCAAGUUCUAGUUGUACUUCACAAGAUGUCCCUACUCGCUUCCAUACCACCACCAUAUCAGUCUAGCAACUCAACUGAUGAAGAGGAGCACUAUGAUGUUCUAUGUUAAAUGUGAGCUUGACUCAUUGUAAUGAAGUUAUAUAUGCCACAUGAUGUACUACUAAUAGAAAUAGAUAGUAUGUGUGUAUUUGCAAAAUAAACUCUUGUGCUUAAAUAUGGCACAUGAUGCACUACUAAUAGAAAUAAAUAGUAUGUGUGUAUUUGCAAAAUAAACUUUUGUGCAUGAAAUUCUUGUCCCUAGUAACACAUAGAAGCAUGUGCAUUGUGCACACUCAUGCAUGUAAUCUGUGACUAUGUGUAUGUAUGGUGUGACACUGAUAAUGUUAGUUUGGUGUUUAUUAUGUCCUAUGUGAAUCUUUAUACAUGAUGCAUUCUGUGUGGAACAUGUAAUCCAAUUAAGCAUGUUUAUUCUGAUUAUUUUGUGGUGGAUGCAUUAUUUCACCCCAUUGUAUUAAGUUUUGAUUAAUCCAUGUCUAGUGAAGAGGUCCACUAUGAAUAGGAUGGGUGACACCAGUGUAGUACAAGUAGGAAACUAGAACAAUGGUGGACCACCCCAAGCACCCAAUUGCCACAAGGUUGAAUGAUGGUGCAACAAAUGCUAGCGUGUGUUAAAGAAUCUUGAAUGGAUCACAAUGCCUAAAGGGAAGUGAAUAGGCAUAACUUGAAGCUUAAAAAGCUUUUGCAGCAGAUUAAAUCACGUGUAUCAGAAUUUUUGGUCCCAUUCAGAAUUUCCUAACUUGUCCAAAAAUUCUAGUGAGAACAAAAUUUUUGAAUCCUAGAGAGAAAUGAACUAGUUAUGGUUACAAAACAUAAAUUUGCUCAAAUACUAAAUUAAUUUCAUUACACAUGUAGAGAUGUAGUACAAAGGGAUUCCACAUUUUUGCUUCAUCCAUCACCUUCACAUAAUAAAGAUUGUGCCACCACAACAAAUAAACAAGAUAUGCAAAAAGAAAGUCAUAAGCACAUUGGGACACAAGAUUUAUUUGAGGUACGGCCACACCACAAAGUUGUACCUAGCAACAUCACCAUUGUUGAGAUGACAACAAAGGCCUUAGAGUCUCUUUCAACCCCCCCUCUUUCCCUAACGACCACAAAGAUCAAGCCAAAAAUAUCACUAGAACAAAUGGGUGAUACAAACUUCCCUAAACACCUCACAAUCAAGAGAUAAGGGUGUCAUCCGUCAACACCUAGCCACAUGGGGUUCCAAUAACCCAAGAGUAGUAGAACAAAAACCAAAUCACUGGUGGAUGUCACAAGUGCUUAAAUGGGUCUUACUCAUGAAGUCGCAAGAAACAAGCACAAAGAACUCACUCCAAUCUCACUCAUAAAGAUGGGGAUCUAAGCUUGAGUGAGAGACAAUGUGGGAGAGGGAGAAAGGUGAAGAGCUUUUUGUCUCAAAGUUAUUGAGAGCUUCAAAGUGGUCAAAAGAGAGAGAUAGAGGAAGAAGGAAAAGUGAAAUAAAUUCACUUCCACCUUGUGUUGACUGUGAAGAACAAGACGGGUGAGCUCCUUAUCUCUCAUAUCUAGGGUUAGCUCAAAUAUUGCAGGGUGGGCUCAAAAUAUUCGGUAAAUACUCCUCAAGCAACCCAUGCAGGCAUGGGUCAAAAUAUUCGAGCACCCAGUGAAAAGCAACGCAAGGCCGAGUUAGUUUGAGAUUGCUAUUUUGGGUUGUAUAAAGGUUUGAGUUAGUGAUCCGUCGAGCACUUAGGACACCUACAAUUGAUGAGACUUUGAUAUCUCUUAGUAUUACGACAUCAUAUACUCAAGUGAAGUUCAAAUAAAUUUGAAUUAAAAUCAAACUUCUUUCGCUUUGAAAUACAUUGUAGCAUCUUGCUUUGAAGUAAGAAUUGAGGGUCACAUGUAUCCUUUUGUACUUUGCACAUUAGUACAUAACUGAAAAUCUCAUGAAACAUUGUUAUCUCUUUAUAUGCAUCAUCAUCUAGUUAACUAAACCCACUAAUAGUAUUGAUGCACUUACAAAUCCUGAUGUAGUCAUGACUCAUGAGCAAUAUAUGGAGAGCAUGCUUGACUUGAUGCAAGCGAACCAAGGAGGUCGAGUUAAGGUGGUGCUUGUACCAUAAUGGUAUGGAACUUUUCACCAGACAUCACUGGAUCUGCACCAUUGAGUAGAAAUUUAGCUUCAUCCGAUGCACGAGGAAGGAUAGGGUCAACUAUGCAACACAUUAGUUGCAUGGUGCUACCAGUGCGUGGUUGCAAGACUAUCAUGCUCGCCUACCUGUCAGCACAAGGUUGACUUGGAGAGGAUUUAAGGAGGCCUUUCAUGCUUUCUUUGUCCCAUCCAAAGCUAUUGAAGUGAGGGCAAAUGAGUUUCACAAAAUCACCCAAGGUGGACACUCGGUAUUUGAGUAUGCCAUCCACUUCAACUACCUAUCUUAGUAUGUUCCCUUGGAAGUCGCUAAUGACGUGGUGAAGUGUCUCAAGUUCAAGAAUGGACUCUCUCUAAAGAUGCAAGAUAAGUUUUCCAUCACUCCCUACAAGCAAUUAGUAAGUAUUGUACUUAUUUGAAUGAUCAUCCCAUUUGGAUUUGGAUCUGACUAUGCACCCAUUAAAAGAUAACACAGAAAUAGAAAGUUCUAAGCAACAUUUUGCAAAAACUAUAUGGAUUUUUGGGACAACUAAGUGACUCCUUGAAAGUGAUUAUGUCUUAUUUUGUCAUGUUAACCUGUUGGAAGCUCUUAGUGAUAACAUUGAUGAUUCAUGCUGAUUUUAUUAUAUAUGCCCCUCAUAGUAAAGUACGUAGAAAUUAGUGGGUUCCAAAAUACACCUUAAUGUAAAUGUUGGAUAUAGCAAUUUGUAACCUUAUAGUUUUGCAUGUUAUAGGCUCAGGAACUCAAGAAGUGAGUGAAAUAUGAAGAUGUACAUCUCUUGUAUAGCUAUCCCAAACUUCUAGUUGCAAAGUAUAAGAUUUAGGUUAAGAGCCUAAGAAAGUUCUAGUAACUAAGUGAUGCUUCAUUAAAAUGUUUAGAUGGUUUACCUGAUCUAGAAAUUUAGGUUCCUUACUUAUGGUAACUAGAUUAGAUGUUUUCUAGGUUUGUGAUGUGUUAAACCAUGCCAUGAAAAUAUGAUUCUUCAUGGUGCAUGUCUGUUAUGUGAGUAGGGAAUUUGGUUCCUUAACCUUCUAGCUUUUGAAUCUUAUCCACAUUAGUGUUUCAUGGUUUGUUAACCUUGUAGUUUUAGGCCUUGUUUAGAUCCAAAAACUUUUUGGAUUUAAACACUGUAGCACUUUCGUUUGUAUUUGGUAAUUAUUAUCCAAUCAUGGACUAACUAGGUUCAAAAGGUUCGUCUCGCAAAUUACAGGCAAACUAUGCAAUUUUUUAUUUUUUUAUCUAUAUUUAGUGCUCCAUGCAUGUGCCGCAAGAUUCAAUGUGAUGGGAAAUCUUAAAAAGUUUUUGGAUUUUAGAUGGAAUUAAACAAGGUCUUAGUUGGAUAAACCCAAGUUGUAAUAGCGCACUUCAAUCUAUAGAUCUACUAUUAAUAACGUCAACAAUUUCGAAAACCACUUAUUGCUAGUACCAAGAGUCAACUAACACAACAUGACAAACAAUGUAUGACUUGUUGUCUUCAUUCUUAGCUAUUUCCUUUGCCUAAUCUUUGAGACCACCUAAAAAAUUCAUGUUGGAGGAAGGACACACCCUUCAUGCUUUACGAGUGCCUCAGUUAUUCCAUACCACAUAACCCCUCAUUGGCCUACACCAACUUGGAGGUGGGGUGAAUCAAAAAUAAAAAUACUUGGAGGUGGGGUUGCUUAUCAAGUGCCACGAACAGAAUGAUUUUUGUGGAUCGUGCCUUUCUUUUAUCAUUUUGCAAUGGGCGACGUGUGGUGAACCCUGUGUCUUCCUAUGCAGGGCCACAUGGUACACCUCAUGUGCUACAGCGAAUGAUAUUUGACAUUUGCAACUGUUUAUGUUACUUUCACAGUUAGACUAUGAAGAUAUAUUUUUAUGGAAAGAGAAGUGUCUUGCUGUAAAUAUAGUGUUGGUGUGGAACAACUUAUUCACCGGGGAGUAUAUAUGAUCAUCCCCUUUCCAUCAUUUCACAGGUUCAUAAAUUGUCAAUAAAGCUAUUCGAAAUGUUACAAACAUUCCUUUUUUUUCCUCGAGUUUAAACUGAUAGGACGAACGGAUCACAUUCAGUUAGCAUGGGCUUCCAUAGUAUUCGUAUCUUUCAAGCAAGAGGGUUAUCUGUUGACUUUCCAUUCUUUUUUUAGUUUCCCCCUUUUACAAAUCCAAUAUUGAUCUAUAUUUCUAAUCCAAAUCAUGGAUGUUAAACAGAUGCAGAUUCGCCAGUAGGAUCAAUCUUCUUUUCCUUAUUUCAAGUUCAGCAAUCAAAUAGUUUGUAAGUAGACACUAGUAUAUUAUGUUCCUUCUUGGAUAUGGGAACAUCAUCCGUCGCUAACUAAGAUGUCAAUGGUAGUUUGCUUUCAGAUUAUUAAGUGAUGCAGUAUCAUUACUAUGUUAUUAGCAGAGAAGCAUUUUUCACAUGAUUGAAACUCUCAUCACUAGUACAGGGAAGGGCUUUAGCCCCGGGCCGUAAGGGCCUUUAGUCCCGGCUACGGAACCGGGACUAAGGUUUCGAGACUAAAUGUCCCACCUUUAGUUCCGGUUCCGAGGACCAGGACUAAAGGUCCACCUUUAGUCCCGGUUGGUAACAGCAACCGGGACUAAAAGGUGCGCCAGGGUGUGCCACCUGGCCUUCACUUUUAGUCCCGGUUGUUGCUACCAACCGGGACUAAAGACUUUUUUCUUUUUUCUUUUUCUUUUCAUUUGGUUUUCCAUUUAGGGUUUACAAUUAUGUUAUUGUUAUUUUCGAAUGUGUAUUGUUUGCUGGUAGUUUAUGGAACGCGCACCUAUAAUUUAUAUAAUUUAAAGCAUUACAUAUAAAUAUACUAUAAAACACUAUAUAUAUAUAUAAUAUGUAUCUAUAGGUCCAUAAUAUAAUAUUUACACAUAUGCUUCACGGACAAAGUAUUUACAACACAAUUUAUCUCCGCCACUCAAGCAUCGUACAAAUGAUCAUCGUUAUUUGGUUUCAUUGGCUCCUCAGGGUUGAAGUAGCACUCGCCGCCGGGAUUCAGGACUUGGUCGUUAAGAAAUCCUGCGAUUGUCUCCUGAAUUGCUGUGGGGGUAUAAACCCCUAUACCCUCAUGGGUUGACAUGGGCCGCACCAUCAGAGGUGGCUCGGCCCACAAGAUGAAGACGUGCGGCGCACGAUGCUGGUCGACGUAUACCGCAAGGCUACAAGAUAUUGUACCAAAUAGGAUACUUUGCUUGUAACUCUCUCCCUUCAGGAUAUAUAAGGAGGGGCAGAGGAUACUUUGCUUGUAACUCUGUCCCUUCAAGAUAUAUAAGGAGGGGCAGAGGUCCCCUAGAGGACAGGUCAUAGACAACUUAUCUCGUCUCAACUGAACACAAUCCAAUACAAUCAGACGUAGGACGUAGGUAUUACGCCCACACGACGGCCAAACCUGGAUAAAAACCUUGUCUGUGUCUUGCGUCACCAUCAAGUUCGUAGCUUGCGCACCGUCUACCGAUAAACUACUACCGUGGGUAUACCCCAAGGUAGAGUGUCGACUAGCUUUCGUCGACAGUGGCGUUGCGUACACCUCUCCCGACGAACAAGAUGGCUAUCAUCCCUGACUUCGCGGCCGUAGCAGGCGACUUCACGUUCACCGUCAGCUUCAACAGCUUCACCGCCACGACCACGGAGGAGGCGUAGAUCCGAUGUACACCAAUCACUUCUUCAUCGAUGUCAGUCGCGACUCCAACUACGCUGGCUACGACUCGGACUACUCCAGCAACGUUUCCGACCACGCCGAUGUUGACGGUCCUUAAGUACUAAAAUUAACAAUCAAAUAAACAUGGAAAAGGAUCAAUCUGAAACAAACAUCUAGAAUUAGGGUUUUAUCUGAUAGAAUUCCACGAGCUUUGGUGUUUAUCUAUUUCUGCAGGGGGUUAUCAGAGAAUAUGGAGAGAAGGCCCACAUGUCAUGUUUACAACGAGAUAAUUACGUGCCGCGCAAUUUUCUUCAAUCUAGAAGACUCCAGAAGCCACUAGACCGAAGCGGAGGCAGAACGGGGCCAGAGGCAGGGCGCCCGCCCUCCUGCCCUAGGCGCCCGCCCCCACUGUGAGUCCAAUCAGGACUCUGUUUCGUGGGAGAUCUCCACCGACCUAAAGGAUCAAUCUAAACCAUACAAUCAAUAUCGGUUUGAUCCGACGGCUCAAAUUCACUUGAAGGGACUAUAAAACCAAGGCCUCUCCCCCCUGGAGAAGAGAGAAGAGAAGAAAUCAUUAUUCAGAGGUAGCCAUCAAAGUUAGGGUUUAGAGCUUCUCUCCCACAGAGAAUUAGAAUUAGCUACUCCCUAAUCCUUCAAGUUUAGAGGUUUGAUUAGAUAGCAAUUAGAGAAGUAGAGCACUACGCUCUAGAUUCGGAUCUUCGGUAAUAAAGAUUGGUAUUAUUCAUAUCUUUCUCUAAUUCUUUGUUCUAAUUGCAUUAUGUCUCUAAUUAUUAUGUUCUUAGUUUGUUCUAGUUCUAUAUUUGAUAUAGUUCUAAUUGAUAAUGAGUUUAUGUAUAAGUUUGCAAAGCGCUUAGCUCUUGACGCGAGGGAGUUAGGUGAUAGAUCACAUGUGAGCGUGGUGCUUAGAUGUUAUUUAUCUGCAAAUGUAUCCUAUUGGCCGGGUCGUGUGGUAGUUCGUGAUAGUGACAGCUUCGUUGAUUCUUAUAUAGUCCACCCUCCGUUGAUAGGACAGGCAGAACCGGUAUUGUGGAGUAAGUCGUGCGAUGCUCUGAUUUACUUUAUCAAUGUUCCUUAUACAUAAAUGAAGAGUCUUUUAUGCUAUAUAUGAUCUUGUAGAUAACUAGAGUAGAUUAUGACUUAGUAGUUAGUAGAUAACUUAGAAUCCAUUCUCUAGCUAAUCCGACAUCACCUACAUAUAUGAGGAGUAGUCUAUUUUCUAAUCGUUGUGUUAUUUAUCCCUUGAACUUAUAAUUCAUUAUCAUUAUCUUUAUGGUUUACCCCCUGCUAAAGUAAGUGACUGUGUGACGAGUUUCUCAUUAGUAAUCAUGUCUUGCAAGUUUAUCUCUAGUCUAUGCCUUGAUAGAUUUUGCCCUUAAUUUAAUUUCAUCCCUUUUGUUCUCUUGAGCAAAAUUAUAAAUAACGAUACCUGGAAUACUUAUCCUGGUGAAAUGCUACAAUGAGGUGUUUUAUCUGUGCGCUUGCGGAUAGAAUAGAUUAUUUUCUAGAGAGCCUUUACAUUUAUAAAUACCUUUGUACACUCUGGCACCAUGCUGGGGAUGACAACCUAGUAUCUAAGUGGUGUUAGCUAGUGUCAACAAGCAUUUCUGGCGCCGUUGCCGGGGAACUCAUAAGGGAAUCAUAAGGACCAAAAGGGUAAUAUAUAGGAACGGUAAGGGAAGCUAGUAAAUUAGUCAAGGUUAUUCAUAUAAAAUAUUAGACUAGACUAUAGAGAAAUAAUUGCAUAAAACAACUACUAAGUGAGAAAUCAUAACAAGGCACCUCUGCUUUGGCAGGUUCACCCUGUUGUUUUCUAUGUUUACAUUUUUUAUACAGGGUAUAUCAGGAUUGACUUUGGGUACAUUCAACUCUUCAUCAUGAGAACCAAAGCAAUCAAGAAAGAGAAGAAGAAGCUAGCUACCAAUUGCUGAAGCUAUGGCACAAAAGACCUUGCAAGAAUUCUCUGCUCCAAGCCUCGAGAACAUUCCAACUGGUCCAAGACUUGCAGUAGAAGAAGGAGUACCCGAGUUCGAGCUCAAGUCAAGCCUCAUCAAUUUGGUACAAGCUACACAAUUCAGUGGAAAGGCACAUGAAGAUGCUAGUGCACACUUGCAGAAUUUUUUAGAGAUUGGAAGCACAAUCCACAUCAACGGAGUUGACAAAGACGUCAUACUGCUUCGCCUUUUUCCAUUCUCACUAGAAGGAAAAGCGAGGAAGUGGUUCUACACUCAUCAAGAUAACAUCAACAACUGGACGAACUUGUCAGAUGCUUUUCUAUCAAAGUUUUUCCCUAUAGGCAAAACAACUGCCUUAAGAGGAAAUAUUGUUGUAACACCCAAAAACUUUACUUAUUUAAAAUAGAUAAAUUGAAUUUAAAUGAAUUUAUUUUGUGAGCAUUUUCACUAUAGGAAAAUAAAUAAAUUUGGAGAAAUUAAAAUUUGUUAUAAACUUAGAGAAAUGUUUAUGUUGCAUUCAUGCCGGAGCAUUUCUUUUGUGAUGAUUGAUUGGAAAACAAAGUGAUUCUUUUAUUUUCUUUUUCCUGCUCAAAAUCUCAAUUGGAAAAAAAUUAGUAUAUAAAAAAAAAGAAACUUCUCUUCCCCUUCCUCUUUUCGGCUUGGAGGCCCAGCAACCCCCCCCCCCCCCCCGCGCCCCAUCUCCUUCUUGGGCCGGCCCAGCUCCCUUCCCCCUCUCUCUCUCACCCGCUGACAGGCCGGGCCUGCCUGUCAGCUCCCUCUUCUCCCAACCGACGCCCCGCUCCUUCCUCUCGGUUGGAAACCGCCCGGGCCGAGCCCCGCGCCCACGAUCCCCCUCUCUCCCUUUUUCCCCGCGCCUCAGAAGCUUUUGAAGAGCCCCGCGCCCGAGCCCUGUUCUUUCUCCCCCAUUCCCCCUCCUCGCCUCCGUUUUCCUCUCAUCCUAGCGCAGAAAAGAAACUGCCGGAGCAGCAAGCGCCGCCGCGCGUCGUUCCUCCGUUUGGAGCCCUUUUGCCGCGUUUCGUCCCCUGGGUGAGCAUCGCCUCCUUCCUCGCUUCCUCCCGGUGCUCGUUUCGUUCCGUUUCUUGGUCGUUGGGGUCGGUUUCGGCGAACUCCGUCGAGCUCCAUGGCCGCCGGCCAUGGAGCGGGCCACGCGUGGUCUCCCCGGCCGCGCUAAGCUUGGAAUCGAGUUCGCUGCGACCUCCUCUCUCUCCCGGUAGUUUCGGUUCGCAAAACCAUGCCCCGUAGCGCCCUAUCGAAUUUCGCCGGCGAGCUUGGGUCGGCCAGCAAUGGCCGCCGCCGCGCCCUCCUUUCCCUCCGGCCAGGAGCGCCGCCCCUCUCUCUUUUCCCCCUUUCUCUAAUCUCGGCCGUCCGUUCGCGAUCUGACGGCCCUCAGCGCACCAUACCCCUUCGGGGGAAAAUUUGCUUAAAGAGCCCCUCCUAGAUUUCCUAAUUCGGCCGCAGUCCCUAGCGCCUUCGAGUAAAAUACGUUUUCUCUUUUAGAAAACGUAUUAUCCGUCGGUUAGGUCAAAAUACGCUUUCGGGAAAUUACAGAAUUGCCACUGAACUUGUUUUGGCCAUAAAAUAUUCGUUAUAGCUCCGAAUUGACCCGUUCAAAUUGCGUUAGGUUCGUAAUUAAAUUCUCUACAUGAUAGUACCACUGUUUCUAUAGUUUGCCACUUUUUAUUUUCAGGGUUAGGUUUAAUUAAUUAAUUGCCUAUAGGAAAUCGCCGAAAGGUCGUAACUUGGUCGUUUUAGCUCCGAUUUUCGUGAUCUUCGUAUCUAUGUGAUCGUAGCGAAUCGUAGGUUCUGUUUUUAAAUAUUUUAUUUCAUUUUUGAUCUGUUGGUGUACUGUUCUAAUUAAAUGAUUGUUUGCUUGUAUGAAUGAACCUGGAUGCGUGUUGUUGUGUGGUACCGAUCGAGCGCAGACGGUGACGUGUCCGUGGGUGAUCCAUUUUACUACGAGGAGCAGCAGGACCAGCAGCAGUUCCCCUUCACUGAAGGCAAGUAUAACAUGGGUUUCCCUUGUACACCUAUUCACUUAAUUAAUUACGCAUCUGCAUGUGUCUAAUUUGGUAACCCUAAGGACAUCCUAGCUACCUGACUAUAUAUUUAUGACACCUAUGGGUAGAAUGCAUGUGGGUAGCUUUGCUAGUGCUUUAAUUAAUUGAGAAUUUACUAUCACUCUGACUUUAAUGAAUAUGAUGAUAAAUGUUGGGAAAAAAGGCUAUGGUGCAAUUGACUUCGGUCGAGUUGACCUAGACCCUCCGUAAGGACUUCUCUGUAAGCGACAAUCCGGGACUUACAGUGCAACCGUGAUGGUUAUAUGGCUCUAACUUUAGCUCAGUAAUAGGAUCUCAUCUAGCUGGUUAGAGGUUACCCGAAAGGGCGCAAGAGGGGCUUGCCACUUUGGGUAUAGAACUGCUUCUGUUCCUAUGUGUAUAGCCGUGAUGGAAAUGUGCCAUAGGAAAGGGGGGUUCUCUAUAUCUGCCUGCCGAGGAAACCUCGCGGCCCUAGCUGGUUAGAAGUGGCCUAUGGAAGGCUUCAUAGUGUUCCCUGCCCGCUCACCUUGGCAGUGUUAGUGGGUCUUGCAAACCCCGGGAAUAUGGGUAACACGAUUUACGGGAAAAGUGCACACCUCUGCGCAGAGUUUGAUCAAACUGGUAUACUAGCCGUGCUCUCGGACAUGAGCGGCCUUGGACCCUUACGGAAUAGUUGGGUGUGGAUGGUUAGGGGAAAUAACUUAUGAAAAUCUGACGCAUGGAUCGUGAUGAUUAAUGUGGUUUAACCGUGAUGGUGAUGGUGUUAGCCGUGAAGGUUAACGGUGUUAUUAUCAUGUGCUCAUUUGGGCUAAUCGGGAGCUUAAGCAUAAUUGAUGAUUAAAUAGGAUUAAAACAUUGACCAAUUAAAAUGCUAACUGCAGUAGCCAGUGUCUGACCUUUUUGAGCCGCAUAAAAUCCUAUGUUAUGCCUGCGGAGUACGAGAUGUACUCACGCUUGUCUUUAUCUUUCCUUUUGGACAAAAUCCCGGAUGGGUAACAGAUGACAGCUUCUACGAGGAAUUUCCUGAGGACUUCUAGGUUGGCGAUCCUCCAGUCGGUCGUCCCUGUGUUGGAGUUACCUUUCAUAGCUAGUAUGAGUUCAUUUUCCGUUUGUCGCAGACUUUGAUAUAUUUGUGUUGUAAUAACGAUAUGUAAGACACUUGUGAUGAUACAUUUGUAAUUUGUCGACUUGUGUGCGCGACUAUUCCUGGGGCGCACAUGAGCUUAAUGUACUCAAAUUUAUCCUUAAAUUUGGGUUUGACAAAUUGGUAUCAGAGCAAGGCUGACUGUAGGACGCAAACCUAGGUAGAAACAGUCGAUUUUAGGGUUUUUAUUUUCGCUUUAUUUAUUUCACUGCUCACUUUACUUUUUUGUUAUUUUAUUAAAAGUUUAUACUCUUACUCACUGUUCUAUUUAUGUAAACAUAUUGAUUCUAAUUCUUAAAACAAAAUUUAUAGAUGCCUCGUCGCAGCGCAGCCGCGUACCGUGCCCUCUUCGUCGCCGCCCGUGCUCCGGCAGUUGCACCAGCUCCAGUAGCUGCACCUGCACCAGUACCAGCACCCGUACCUGAGCCCGAGGUCGUCGCCUCUGGUGGCAGCGAGGAGGAGGAGCCUAUGGACACGGGGUCCCCUACGCCUACACCUUCAGCUCCUACACCAGUGGCGGUACCGAUUCCGCAGGCUGCCGCUCCAGUUCCACCUGCGCCUGCACCACCUGCACCUGCACCACCUUCGCCUGCACCCCACGCGUCGACGGGUUCAGCACCGACGCCUCAGUACCCUUAGGUUGUUCCAGAGAUGGGAUGGACCUCCAGGAACAAGUUCAUGGAGGCGGACGAAGACGCUCACUACCACACUCUGCUCACGGGUGUGUUGGCGAGCUACUACCCGGAGUUUGCUGCCACCAUCCGCUACCUUUGUUCGGAGCACAAGCACCUGUUGGAGAACACCUACUGGAAGGCCGAGGUGAUCACCACAGCUCGGAACAACGUCGACAACUCGGACGAGGUGGAGUCCAUACACGAGAGCUGGGUUAGGCGUGCUUCCGCCUACGAGAGCAUGGAAGAUGCAGCUCAGGCCGCGUACUUUCACUACCAUGGCCGCCGUUUUGAGGCCAUGCAAGAGGAUAGGUACCGGUUCCUUCCCCGCAACGACCCAGAUGGCAAGACAUGGCACGUCCUGGCACCUCCUGCCGGCGACCCUACCCUGGAUACGACUGUGAGACACGUCAGUGUCAUUCAGGAGAUGAAUGGGGCACUGAGGCAGGAGCUGCGUGUUGCGCAGCAGGCGGGGAAGCGCCUCCAGCGUCAGGUGGAUGAGCUGCGUGGUCAGCUUGGACAGCCACCCAUCUACAAGAAGAAGCCCCGCAAGUUCGUUCUCCAAGAUAGAGCUCCUUAGAUUUUCCCAGUACUUUCUAGAUUGACGUUAGCACGAGUAUUUCAGUAAUGUGUGGCAUGUGAACGUUAGUGAGUUGCUGUUUGUGUUGAUGAACAUUUAUGAUUUGGAGUUUUGUUUGAUUGUGGAAACAUGUGGGCCUGUCCGCAUGUUUCUAAACCUUAAUCUUAGAAGUAAUGUUGUUUAAAUUCGAGGUUGGGUUACUUUAUCUUGUCUCAGUCAUGCUGUUUCUGGAGCAGUCUGUGAUGCUUAUUCAGUAUCUCAUUAUCGGUUCAGUCAAAAAUUACGAAAUUUUUAUGGUGAAAACUAUACUGCUAUAUCUUUCAUCUCCAACUGGAAUCACCUCAUUAUCUAUUCGGAUCUGUGAGAUAUGUCCGUUUUAAUCUGCUGUACCUGCGCAGACUGAGAACCAGAGCAGAACCUGAUAAAUCAAAAUUUUGAUUAUGUUACUGUUGGAAUCAGUAAAUGUGGUCUGAAUAAAGUUUGUAGAGAAUUUCUUAACAUUUCCAACGAUGUAUACCAUAUUCCUUUUUGGAUCUGUAGGUUCUGAGAUAAGCACGGAUUACUGACCUGCUGAGUUUGAAACUUGUCCAGAAAACUGCUAGACUUGUUUUUAUUCAUUAUAAGCGAUGAAUAAUUAUUUUUGGAAGAACACUAAAAGCCAUGAAUCUUUGUUGGAAGCAGAUGGACGCCGAAGGAGCAGCCGCUGGUCGUGGACGUGGCCGUGGCCGUGGUCGUGGCCGUGGACGUGGUGUACCUGAGAAUCCACCACCACCACCGCCGCCGAUGACUAUUGAGCAGCUUAUGGGUAUGCAAGCUAAUUUGAUGCAAGCCAUGAUGAACCGUAUGAACAAUGAACCAGUAGCAGCACCACCGCCGGUUCAAGUCCGUGACAAGCGAGGGGAGUUCUUGAAAGGACGCCCUCCGGUGUUCACCCAUGCCUCUGAUCCACUGGAGGCAGACGACUGGUUAAAAGCAGUCGAGAAGCAGCUGAACAUUGCCCAAUGCAGCGACCUGGAGAAAGUGCUGUACGCAUCAGGCCAGCUGCAAGGACCUGCACAGGAGUGGUGGGAGUCCUAUCAAUAUGGACGCCCGAACAAUGCUCCGCCAGUCACCUGGAAGGAGUUUACGGAAGGGUUCAGGUCCCAUCAUAUUCCGGAGGGCCUGAUAGAACUGAAAGCGGAAGAGUUCAGAUCUCUCAAGCAGGGAUCAAUGUCAGUCAGUGAGUAUCGUGACAAGUUUGCUCAACUGUCACGAUAUGCUCCAUAUGAGGUGGCCAGGGACUCUGACAAGCAACGUCUUUUCCUGAAGGCUCUGUAUGAUGGACUGCAGCUGCAGCUGAUGAGCAACACCUACCCUUGCUUCCAAGAAUUGGUGAACCGCGCUAUUGUCAUCGACAACAAGCGCAAGGAGAUGGAUGCAAAGAAGAGAAAGCUCCAGGGGCAGCCGUCGGGCAGCAACACUCGCCCACGUGCGUACCCUCAGCAGGGAUUCCCUCAGCGCAGUCAAGGGCCGCCGAAUCAGUGGAACCGUGGUCAGUUUCCUCAGCGUCCCCAGUACUACCAGCAGCACAAUCACCAAAACCAACAACGUCCCCAGCAACAGUAUGGCAACCAGAAUCAGCAACGCCCCCAGCAUCAGGUCAGCAAUCAGGCACCACGCCAAGGAGUGCCCAAUAAUGCUCCCGGCAAGAGUGCAGCACCCAGCGGCAAUCCCAAUGCCUGUUACCGCUGCGGAGAGGUGGGACACUAUGCCUACCAGUGCCCCAAGAAGCAGAAUCCACCAGCCCAGCAAAAUCAGAACAACAAUCAGAGGCCUGCUCGACCUCCGUUCUCUGGGAAAGUGAACCAUGUGUCCACUGACACAGCUCAGGAAGCACCUGAGGUUAUGAUGGGUACGUUCAACAUCAACUCCAUCCCCGCUACAGUACUGUUUGAUUCUGGUGCUUCACAUUCUUUUAUCUCCCAAGCUUUUGUUAGAGUGCAUAGCAUCCCACUUUGUGCACUGAAAAAUUCCAUGCUAGUAAAUUCACCGGGAGGCACCAUGCCAGCUAAUUACUGGAGCCCCUCCACUAGUAUAUCUCUAAGGGGGGUAGAUUUCAAGGUGAAACCUAUUGUGCUAAGAACCAUGGGAAUUGACCUCAUACUUGGUAUGGAUUGGAUGAAGCAGCAUGGGGCAGUAAUACAGUGUCAAGAGAGGGCUGUGGUGGUGACAUCACCAGGUGGGGAUAGAAUAAGUGUGGAUGUGGCAGUGCAGCCUCAGCCGACUGCUACAGUGAAUUAGUUGAGUGGUGGUAAUCAAGAAGACCAGGUGGUGGACGAGUUCCCCGAUGUUUUCCCGGAUGAGUUGCCAGGUAUGCCACCAGACCGAGACAUUGAAUUUCUUAUUGAGCUUUUACCUGGAACUGCACCCAUAGCAAAAAGACCAUAUAGAAUGGGGGUAAAUGAAUUAGAGGAACUUAAGAAACAGCUUAAGGAAUUGCAAGAAAAAGGGUUUAUUCGUCCUAGUUCUUCACCAUGGGGUGCACCAGUAAUCUUUGUUGAUAAGAAAGAUGGCACUAGGAGGAUGUGUGUGGAUUAUCGGUCAUUAAAUGAAGUCACUAUUAAAAACAAGUACCCAUUGCCUAGAAUAGAUGACUUAUUUGACCAACUGAAAGGAGCAUGUGUAUUCUCCAAAAUUGACCUUCGAUCUGGCUAUCACCAGUUGAAAAUCCGUGCAACUGACAUACCUAAGACAGCUUUUACCACAAGGUAUGGCUUGUAUGAGUAUACAGUCAUGUCAUUUGGGUUGACCAAUGCACCUGCAUACUUCAUGUAUAUGAUGAACAAGGUGUUCCUGGAGUAUUUGGAUAAGUUCGUGGUAGUAUUCAUUGAUGAUAUAUUAAUCUUCUCCAAAACAAAAGAAGAACAUGCUGAACAUUUGAGGCUGGUCUUGCAAAAGCUUAGAGAGAAUAAAUUGUAUGCCAAGAAAAGCAAGUGUGAGUUUUGGUUGGAUGAGGUCUCAUUUUUGGGACAUGUGGUCUCUAACGGUGGAAUAGUCGUAGACCCCAGUAAAGUGCAGGAUGUGCUAAAUUGGAAGCCUCCAACCAAUGCUAGUGAGAUCCGUAGCUUUUUGGGACUAGCUGGUUAUUAUAGGAGAUUUAUUGAAGGCUUCUCUAAGUUAGCAAAGCCCAUGACAGCCCUACUAGAGAAGAGUGCCAAAUUUAUUUGGUCAGAUAAGUGUCAAGAAAAUUUUGAGGAGCUAAAGAAAAGGUUGACCACAGCCCCCGUGUUGACCUUACCAGAUCUGAGCAAAACCUUCUCUAUUUAUUGCGAUGCAUCUCGCCUAGGCCUUGGCUGUGUGCUUAUACAAGAAGGAAGAGUAGUGGCGUACGCAUCCAGGCAGUUGAGAAAACAUGAGCUGAACUAUCCUACUCAUGAUUUGGAGCUAGCUGCCGUGGUUCAUGCUCUGAAGAUUUGGAGGCAUUAUCUAAUUGGACAUAAGUGUGAUAUUUAUACGGAUCACAAAAGUUUGAAGUAUAUUUUCACACAGUCAGAUCUGAACCUAAGGCAAUGCCGCUGGCUAGAAUUAAUAAAGGAUUAUGACCUGGAAGUGCAUUACCAUCCCGGGAAGGCAAACGUUGUUGCCGAUGCACUUAGCCGAAAGAGUUAUGCUAAUGGGCUGCAAUUGACCUUCAUUCCCACAGAGUUGCUAGCUGAAAUAGAGCAUCUCAAUUUGGGUUUAGUGAACAACACUGUUGAAUUGGAGUUAGAGCCCACCCUAGAGCAAGAAAUCCGCAAAGGUCAGUUGGAAGAUGAGAAAUUAAAAGAAAUUUCAGAGAAUGUAGUGCUUGGAAAAGCACCGGGUUUCAAGUUAGAUGAAAAUGGUACACUAUGGUUUGGGAAGAGAAUAUGUGUGCCAGAAGUGAAAUCCAUCCGAGAUGCAAUCCUGCGUGAAGCACAUGACUCUGCAUAUUCAAUUCACCCCGGAAGCACCAAGAUGUAUCUAGAUCUUAAAGAAAACUAUUGGUGGUAUGGAUUAAAGAGAGAUGUGGCAGAGUAUGUAGCGUUAUGUGAUACUUGUCAGAGGGUGAAAGCCGAGCACCAAAGACCUGCAGGGUUGUUGUAGCCAAUGCAAGUGCCCGAAUGGAAAUGGGAAGAAGUAGGUAUGGAUUUCAUCACUGGAUUGCCCCGCACCCAGCGUGGGUAUGAUUCAAUUUGGGUAAUAGUGGAUCGACUCACUAAAGUUGCUCACUUUUUGCCCGUUAAGACCAACUAUGAUGGUGCAAAGUUGGCAAAGUUAUAUAUGGAUAGAAUCGUGAGUCUGCACGGAGUUCCGAAGAAGAUCGUGUCUGAUCGGGGCACACAAUUCACAUCUCAGUUUUGGCAUAAAGUACAUGAAUCAUUGGGAACAAAGUUGAACUUUAGUUCCGCGUAUCAUCCCCAAACUGAUGGGCAGACCGAAAGAGUAAAUCAGAUUCUAGAAGACAUGUUGAGAGCGUGUGCGUUACAGUAUGGUACCAGUUGGGACACUAGUUUACCAUAUGCUGAAUUUUCAUAUAAUAAUAGUUACCAGAAAAGUCUUGAUAUGGCACCGUUUGAAGCAUUGUAUGGGCGGAAAUGUAGAACACCUCUGUUUUGGAAUCAGACUGGUGAGAGUCAAGUAUUUGGACCUGAUGUUCUUAGAGAUGCAGAGGAAAAAGUGCGGAAAAUACGGGACAAUUUGAAAGUAGCCCAGUCUCGGCAAAAGAGUUAUGCUGAUACUAGAAGAAGGGAUUUGGCAUUCGAGAUAGGCGACUAUGUGUACUUGAAGGUGUCACCUAUGAGAAGUGUCAGGAGAUUUAAUAUGAAGGGAAAAUUGGCACCAAGGUACGUUGGACCGUUCAGAAUUCUUAGGAGACGUGGAGAAGUGGCCUAUCAGUUAGAGUUGCCUGCGAGUAUGUCGGGUAUUCACGAUGUGUUCCAUGUGUCGCAACUGAAGAAAUGUUUGCGAGUGCCUGAGGAACAAAUUCCAUUGGAGGAACUCACAGUUGAAGGAGAUCUAACUUAUGAGGAAUAUCCAAUCAAGAUCGUAGAAACAGCGGAAAGAGUCACCCGGAGUCGGGUCAUAAAGAUGUGCAAAGUGCAGUGGCACCGAUAUAAAGAAGAAGAAGCCACUUGGGAAAGAGAAGAUGAGCUGAGACAAUCUUAUCCGUAUCUCUUUGAGUAAGCACCGUCUCAAUCUCGAGGACGAGAUUAUCUUUAGGGGGGUAGAAUUGUAACACCCAAAAACUUUACUUAUUUAAAAUAGAUGAAUUGAAUUUAAAUGAAUUUAUUUUGUGAGCAUUUUCACUAUAGGAAAAUAAAUAAAUUUGGAGAAAUUAAAAUUUGUUAUAAACUUAGAGAAAUGUUUAUGUUGCAUUCAUGCCGGAGCAUUUCUUUUGUGAUGAUUGAUUGGAAAACAAAGUGAUUCUUUUAUUUUCUUUUUCCUGCUCAAAAUCUCAAUUGGAAAAAAAUUAGUAUAUAAAAAAAAAAGAAACUUCUCUUCCCCUUCCUCUUUUCGGCUUGGAGGCCCAGCAACCCCCCCCCCCCCCCCCCGCGCGCCCCAUCUCCUUCUUGGGCCGGCCCAGAUCCCUUCCCCCUCUCUCUCUCACCCGCUGACAGGCCGGGCCCGCCUGUCAGCUCCCUCUUCUCCCAACCGACGCCCCGCUCCUUCCUCUCGGUUGGAAACCGCCCGGGCCGAGCACCGCGCCCACGAUCCCCCUCUCUCCCUUUUUCCCCGCGCCUCGGAAGCUUUUGAAGAGCCCCGCGCCCGAGCCCUGUUCUUUCUCCCCCAUUCCCCCUCCUCGCCUCCGUUUUCCUCUCAUCCUAGCGCAGAAAAGAAACUGCCGGAGCAGCAAGCGCCGCCGCGCGUCGUUCCUCCGUUUGGAGCCCUUUUGCCGCGUUUCGUCCCCUGGGUGAGCAUCGCCUCCUUCCUCGCUUCCUCCCGGUGCUCGUUUCGUUCCGUUUCUUGGUCGUUGGGGUCGGUUUCGGCGAACUCCGUCGAGCUCCAUGGCCGCCGGCCAUGGAGCGGGCCACGCGUGGUCUCCCCGGCCGCGCUAAGCUUGGAAUCGAGUUCGCUGCGACCUCCUCUCUCUCCCGGUAGUUUCGGUUCGCAAAACCAUGCCCCGUAGCGCCCUAUCGAAUUUCGCCGGCGAGCUUGGGUCGGCCAGCAAUGGCCGCCGCCGCGCCCUCCUUUCCCUCCGGCCAGGAGCGCCGCCCCUCUCUCUCUUUUCCCCCUUUCUCUAAUCUCGGCCGUCCGUUCGCGAUCUGACGGCCCUCAGCGCACCAUACCCCUUCGGGGGAAAAUUUGCUUAAAGAGCCCCUCCCAGAUUUCCUAAUUCGGCCGCAGUCCCUAGCGCCUUCGAGUAAAAUACGUUUUCUCUUUUAGAAAACGUAUUAUCCGUCGGUUAGGUCAAAAUACGCUUUCGGGAAAUUACAGAAUUGCCACUGAACUUGUUUUGGCCAUAAAAUAUUCGUUAUAGCUCCGAAUUGACCCGUUCAAAUUGCGUUAGGUUCGUAAUUAAAUUCUCUACAUGAUAGUACCACUGUUUCUAUAGUUUGCCACUUUUUAUUUUCAGGGUUAGGUUUAAUUAAUUAAUUGCCUAUAGGAAAUCGCCGAAAGGUCGUAACUUGGUCGUUUUAGCUCCGAUUUUCGUGAUCUUCGUAUCUAUGUGAUCGUAGCGAAUCGUAGGUUCUGUUUUUAAAUAUUUUAUUUCAUUUUUGAUCUGUUGGUGUACUGUUCUAAUUAAAUGAUUGUUUGCUUGUAUGAAUGAACCUGGAUGCGUGUUGUUGUGUGGUACCGAUCGAGCGCAGACGGUGACGUGUCCGUGGGUGAUCCAUUUUACUACGAGGAGCAGCAGGACCAGCAGCAGUUCCCCUUCACUGAAGGCAAGUAUAACAUGGGUUUCCCUUGUACACCUAUUCACUUAAUUAAUUACGCAUCUGCAUGUGUCUAAUUUGGUAACCCUAAGGACAUCCUAGCUACCUGACUAUAUAUUUAUGACACCUAUGGGUAGAAUGCAUGUGGGUAGCUUUGCUAGUGCUUUAAUUAAUUGAGAAUUUACUAUCACUCUGACUUUAAUGAAUAUGAUGAUAAAUGUUGGGAAAAAGGGCUAUGGUGCAAUUGACUUCGGUCGAGUUGACCUAGACCCUCCGUAAGGACUUCUCUGUAAGCGACAAUCCGGGACUUACAGUGCAACCGUGAUGGUUAUAUGGCUCUAACUUUAGCUCAGUAAUAGGAUCUCAUCUAGCUGGUUAGAGGUUACCCGAAAGGGCGCAAGAGGGGCUUGCCACUUUGGGUAUAGAACUGCUUUUGUUCCUAUGUGUAUAGCCGUGAUGGAAAUGUGCCAUAGGAAAGGGGGGUUCUCUAUAUCUGCCUGCCGAGGAAACCUCGCGGCCCUAGCUGGUUAGAAGUGGCCUAUGGAAGGCUUCAUAGUGUUCCCUGCCCGCUCACCUUGGCAGUGUUAGUGGGUCUUGCAAACCCCGGGAAUAUGGGUAACACGAUUUACGGGAAAAGUGCACACCUCUGCGCAGAGUUUGAUCAAACUGGUAUACUAGCCGUGCUCUCGGACAUGAGCGGCCUUGGACCCUUACAGAAUAGUUGGGUGUGGAUGGUUAUGGGAAAUAACUUAUGAAAAUCUGACGCAUGGAUCGUGAUGAUUAAUGUGGUUUAACCGUGAUGGUGAUGGUGUUAGCCGUGAAGGUUAACGGUGUUAUUAUCAUGUGCUCAUUUGGGCUAAUCGGGAGCUUAAGCAUAAUUGAUGAUUAAAUAGGAUUAAAACAUUGACCAAUUAAAAUGCUAACUGCAGUAGCCAGUGUCUGACCUUUUUGAGCCGCAUAAAAUCCUAUGUUAUGCCUGCGGAGUACGAGAUGUACUCACGCUUGUCUUUAUCUUUCUUUUUGGACAAAAUCCCGGAUGGGUAACAGAUGACAUCUUCUACGAGGAAUUUCCUGAGGACUUCUAGGUUGGCGAUCCCCCAGUCGGUCGUCCCUGUGUUGGAGUUACCUUUCAUAGCUAGUAUGAGUUCUUUUUCCGUUUGUCGCAGACUUUGAUAUAUUUGUGUUGUAAUAACGAUAUGUAAGACACUUGUGAUGAUACAUUUGUAAUUUGUCGACUUGUGUGCGCGACUAUUCCUGGGGCGCACAUGAGCUUAAUGUACUCAAAUUUAUCCUUAAAUUUGGGUUUGACAAUUGUCAGUUUCCAACACCAGAAGACAGAAGCCAUUUUAGAAGCAUGGGAGCGUUUUCAAGGAUACAUAUCAGAUUGUCCUUACCAUGGAAUGGCCACAUGGUUACUUAUGCAGACCUUCUACCAUGGAUUAACCCAGAAGGCUCGUGAGUGCCUAGAUGCAUCUGCUAAAGGAUCAUUCUUAGAGCUUACAACUGCAAAAGCAAAGAUACUUUUGGAUAAGAUAGCAGAAAAUCAAAGCUGGUUCCAAGAUAAAGCUCAACAAUGUCAUCAAACUGAAGAAAUACCAGAAGAAGUAAAAGCAUUAUCAACUAAGAUGGAAAAUUUGCUCCAUUGGAUUGACCAGAGGGCCAAGUUCAAAGAAGAUCAAAGGGUCAUUGAGACAACAUACAAAUAUCAACCAACUUCGAGUCAACCCAAUAGCAAAGGUAUGAAUUCAGGUAAUACUUUCAAACAACUUUCAUUAAAAGAGAUAAUUGCUCAACAAACUAAAACUAAUGAUGAAGUUAAACAAAGGCUAGAUACAAAUAAAUCAUCUCUAAAAGAUAUACACAAUAAAAUGAAUUUUCUACUAACUGCCUUUGAUGAGCAAAACACUCUCAAUAAAAGGGUAGAGCUUAAAUUAAUAAAGUUAGCUGCUGCACUGCCUGUUGCUACUAACAUUGAGCAGGUAAAGAAUAUAACUACUAGAGGAGGCAAAGCCACCAGAGAUCCCCCAUACCCAAAAGAGAAACAAAGAACAUCAGCACCAGUGCAACCAGCAGUGAUAGAAGAAGAAAGCCCAGUUGAAGCAGAAGAUCUGCUCCAACCACCAAGAACUGGAGAAAUGAGGAAAGAUUUUUACGACACCAACUAUUUGCCAUUUCCGAGAAGAAACAGAGGACUGUAGUCGGAUGAGCAGUUUGGUAAGUUUGUAGAGGUAAUUCAGAAAUUAUAUGUCAACAUACCUCUGCUGGAUGCCAUACAGGUACCUACAUAUGCGAAGUACAUCAGAGAUAUUCUUAACAAGAAGAGACCACUGCCCACCACUGAGGUUAUCAAGCUGACAGAAGAAUGUAGUGCAGCCAUCCUCAACAAAACACCAAAGAAGAAGGAAGAUCCAGGAUGCCCCACUAUUGAUUGCUCGAUCGGAAACCAACACUUCAACAAUGCACUUUGUGAUCUCGGAGCAAGUGUCAGUGUGAUGCCAGCAUCAGUCUACAAAAAGCUUGAGCAUGCGACCCUAGAACCAACAUCAAUGUGCCUACAACUAGCGGAUCAAUCGGUUCGACAUCCGUUGGGUAUCGCCGAAAACAUUCCAGUCAAGAUCAGAGAUUUCCUUGUGCUAGUAGACUUCGUAGUAUUGGACAUGAGUCCUGACUCAAAAGUGUCCAUCAUCCUUAGAAGGCCAUUUCUGAGCACUGCCAAUGCCCACAUUGAUGUCGGGAAAGGAAAAAUCAAGUUCAACAUAAACGGACAAGAAGAACACUUCACAUUCAAACCAGACCAGAGAGAGACUCUACAGUGAAGGAAGUUCAUGAAGAACCACUGGAGACACCAUCUCCUGAGGAAGGUAAUUCAGAAGAUUAAAAGAUUUGGAGGUCCAGCUUGGGGGACCUAAAAAUCCCAAACCCUCACCGGGAGGUAAAUCGGUAUUUAUCCGCAUUAUUAAUUUUCUCAUAUUUAAAUUCUUGCAUAACUAAUUCUUGCAUUUAUUCAUAGCAUUAUUAUAAUAAUCAAAAGCCCCAUAUAAAUAAUAUUCAUGGUGCGUAACAACCCAUAUUUAUUAAUUAUUGUGGAGGCACAAAAAUAUUUUCCAUAAUCAUCUUAAUUAAGUUUCAAUUCUCAUAGAUUUUCCUGCAUUAUAUUUAAUUAUAGUAACCUUCUAGAAGCAUGACCCACACUCCUUGGGUCCCACAUGUCAUACACCACACCUCACAUACAUCCUAUCACAUAAUUUCAUCCACCAAUAUGUUUCCACUCACCAGACAUCUUUCCACCAUCCAACCACCACCAACACAAUAUUAUUCUGCGUGAGAUCAAAGCAAGGAAGCAAGUAGAGGAGGCACACCUAGGAUGGGCACCAGGGGUGGGCGCCCGCCCACCUACCCAGGGCGCCCGCCUUGUUCCCUGCUCAGCCUAUAAACAGCCACCUCCAGCUCCCCUUCUCUUCACACACACAUUUUAGAAAACCUUGCAAGCUCGUAGUUCUCGGUUUCCAGAGAAUAGCUCUGAGUGUGAGAAGGUUGAGAGUUCUUUUGAGUGAGAGAGUGAGUAUCACCUAGUAAGUAGUGAUCCCGUUGUCUAAGCGGAAAUAAAAGUUGUUUAGCGGGAGGCUCUACCAAAAUAGAAACUUGUCUUGAACGAUUAACCCCUGGACUACUGAUAUUCCGGACAGCUGACCGCUAACAUUUUCUCUCACAUUUUCCACUAGUUGUGUUUUUGCCAACUUUUGUUUGCAGGAUGUUUAAGAAGGUGAAGAAUGCAGGGAAGGCUCUCAAGAACAUUGGUACAAGAAGUUCAUCCCGACACUCCUCACACCCGUCAGAGAUGAGCGUCGACCCAACGCCCACACAAGCUCCGUCAUCUUCAUCUAAUCAGCAAGUCAAGGUCCUUCUCAAGAUAGGAGACCUUGGACUAAAGACCCGAAGAGAGAAAGAAGUCUAUCAGCAACUGAAGAACAAAGAUUUUAUUCACACCCCUACUCUUGAUCCAAUCCUACUACAAGAAACAGGUAUGGACACUGAAUUCGACUUAAUUUUUCAGAUGAUAGGUUGGACAAAUUUUUGGAAUAUAACUGAGCUGGGUUCUCGUCUUCUCACCCUCGAAUUUCUUUGCACCUUACAAUAUUAUGAGGGAGGAAUUGUUUUUCGGAUGUUCAAACAGGAGAUUAUGUUGUCUUGGAGAGAGCUGAGCGACCAUCUUGGUUUCUCUUCAAGAUGCAUCCUGAACAUUGACUCCGAUCUACCUAAUUUUGAGAGACACCAGUUUUGGAGAGAAAUAUCUAGAGAUAAUUUUUAUAGUCAAGCCCGAACCAGUGACAUGAAACACCCCACUCUUAGGAUGUUCCACAAAUGGCUUGGGUACAAUCUUUUCUAUCGUGAUGAUAUUAGGAAAGUAAGAGUAGGAGAUUUACAACUUUUAUAUGCUGGUAUUAAUAAAGUACCCACUUCACCUGUUACACUAUUAGCUUCUCAUUGGCUUAGUGUACCUAGUCUUCAGGGACCAGUAGGAUGUACUUCACUUAUCACUCGUCUAGCCUUUAAUCUUCACUUACUAGAAAACUCAUCGUUGGACUUCAUAGAUGAGUUAAGAAUUUAUCAUGGCUAUGACACAUUUAGACAAGCUCGGAUGCUAAAGAAAGAGGGGAAUAUAAUAUAUAUGUUAAAUGAUGAUAGAGGCAAGAUUCGGUUACCUAACCCGAACCUUGGCCUCUACGUUGUUCAAAACUUUUUGAUUGAGAUUGCAGCAACACCAGUGAACCAGAGAGCUCCACAACGAGUGGCAUCUGAAAGGAUGACCACCCAUCGAGAACGCACCUGGUAUGGAGCUGAUCCCGGGCCAGAAGAAGCAGCGCACCUGCAUUAUUGCGAUUACAACCCCCGAGUCCUUCGAGACCCAUGGGUUCGACAUGCGCAACCACAAGAGCCAACAGAGGAGACAUGGCCGGAGAGCCAAGAUCAUCAGUGGACUAACCCACCUUUUCAUACGGGCAGGUACUCCACUGAUCCAUAUGGAGCUUCAGGAUCCAGACCUCCGCCCCAAUUUGAUGCAGGACGAUACUCCGACGCCUCCUACGCUUUCACGAAUGACUACUAUCAAGAGGCCGGUGCUUUCUCCACUCGUACCGACAACACUCUCCUCGACAUCCAGAACACGCAAGCAGAACAUGGAAGACUCCUGGAAGAGCAAUAAAAAUGGAACCAGGACCAUACCGCUGCAGUACAAGAGCUGAGACAAGAUACAACAACAAUGAACGACAACAUCACAACCAUGAUGCGGUUCUGGAACAUCGGGUAAGACCGACAGUAACAUCCAGCUUGGGGGAGUUCCUCCCCAAUUUAUCAAGUAAGUUUUUAUUUGCACUUCUUAUUUAUUCUUUUCUAUUUUAGUAUUUUAUCUUAAAAGAAAAACUUAGAAAACCCAAUAAAUAUUUUCUUGCUUUAAUUUACUGUAUUUUAUAAACAUGAAAACAAAAUAAAAAGAGUGUGUAGAUAAGUGUGCUUUAUUUAUCUGCUAAAUAUUAAUCUCUAGAAAAAAUAAAAAGACCAAAAAAAAUGCAUGAUGGAAAUGAUGAACAGUUGCUCUGUUUACUUACAAGUACCUAGCUUUUAUAUUAGAGUUCUUCCAGGAAUUACUAAAACUAGAAUUACUAUUUUUUUAGAACAUAAAACUAAAGUCUAGGUAAGAGAAAGGCAUGAUAUAAAGUUGAGCUGCUGUUUAUCUUGUUCCUACUACACUAAGAUUCUGGAGAUUUAUUUUGAAAACUUACAAAGCACAUGAUGAGUUCCUAGCAUAACAAACUACCUACCACAGCCAUACUUGCUAUAACAUCUUUUACUAUAUUUACAUUGAGUUUAAUCGAGAUGUGUAGACCCUUAGGAGCUUUUCAUGUGGUUAAAUUAAGAUAUUCACUUGCACACAUCUACUACACCAUCCAUCACCAUUUAUUAAAAUUGCUAAAAAUAUUAUCACUCACUGUCCCAAAUAUUGUUAUUCUCUCUCUCUAAAAAAAGAUUCAAUGCAGAAGAGGCAUGGGUUAUACAAAAAUAUGCGAGGAAAUAAAAAGGGGCAAGUGCCCGGAACCUCGAAAAAGAAAGAAAAAGAGUGAGACGAGAGGUAAAAAUGGACAAGUGUCCGGAGUAGAAUUAGGGGUACAAAGAUGCCCACUUGAGCGGAAAAAAUGGACAAGUGUCCGACAGUAGAAUUAGAAAAGAGAGAAAAGAAAAAGAUAACCCAUGUUCUCCCAAAGCAGAGAUCAAAGAAGAGGAGAGAUAGCAACAUGAGGAGCAAUGAGAAGUAAGUUUUAUUAUCACCAUCACUACCAUUUACUCCACCACACAUGCACAUCUUGAUUUAAUUAUAUGCUGAGUUCCUUUGGAUCCAUGGCUCGAUUAGACAACAUAUGUAUGAGCUGUUUUUCACUCCUAUGAGCUCUACUUAAAUAUUCCAUUAGCUAUAGGUAAGUGACAUUAUGGUAAGGAUCCACAAAUACUACAUAUAGAGAGACUUGAGAGAAUCAUUGCUGGGAACUCUGAGUUUUAUUUUGAAAACUUAUGAAAAACUCUGGAACAAAGGUGAAGUAUAGACAGGAGGAAUAGUGCUUGACUCAAUUAUUUUAUCUUUCAAUUACUUAAGACUUAAGUACAGGUACUAAGCUCCAUAACACUUCACUCUAAUCUGGAAGAAUUUUUAUGUAAAAGCAUGUGUCCUUGUCAGGAAAGAAAACAUCGAAGUAACUCCUGAUCCGUCUGAGUUUAACUAUUUGCUCAGGGACGAGCAAAGGGUAAGCUUGGGGGAGUUUGUUGACGGUCCUUAAGUACUAAAAUUAACAAUCAAAUAAACAUGGAAAAGGAUCAAUCUGAAACAAACAUCUAGAAUUAGGGUUUUAUCUGACAGAAUUCCAUGAGCUUUGGUGUUUAUCUAUUUCUGCAGGGGGUUAUCAGAGAAUAUAGAGAGAAGGCCCACAUGUCAUGUUUACAACGAGAUAAUUAUGUGCCGCGCAAUUUUCUUCAAUCUAGAAGACUCCAGAAGCCACGAGACCGAAGCGGAGGCAAAACGGGGCUAGAGGCAGGGCGCCCGCCCUCCUACCCUGGGCGCCCGCCCCCUCUGUGAGUCCAAUCAAGACUCUGUUUCGUAGGAGAUCUCCACCGACCUAAAGGAUCAAUCUAAACCAUACAAUUAAUGUCGGUUUGAUUCGACGGCUCAAAUUCACUUGAAGGGACUAUAAAACCAAGGCCUCUCCCCCCGGAGAAGAGAGAAGAGAAGAAAUCAUUAUUCAGAGGUAGCCAUCAAAGUUAGGGUUUAGAGCUUCUCUCCCACAGAGAAUUAGAAUUAGCUACUCCCUAAUCCUUCAAGUUUAGAGGUUUGAUUAGAUAGCAAUUAAAGAAGUAGAGCACUACGCUCUAGAUUCGGAUCUUCAGUAAUAAAGAUUAGUAUUAUUCAUAUCUUUCUCUAAUUCUUUGUUCUAAUUGCAUUAUGUCUCUAAUUAUUAUGUUCUUAGUUUGUUCUAGUUCUGUAUUUGAUAUAGUUCUAAUUGAUAAUGAGUUUAUGUAUAAGUUUGCAAAGCGCUUAGCUCUUGACGCGAGGGAGUUAGGUGAUAGAUCACAUGUGAGCGUGGUGCUUAGAUGUUAUUUAUCUGCAAAUGUAUCCUAUUGGCCGGGUCGUGUGGUAGUUCGCGAUAGUGACAGCUUCGUUGAUUCUUAUAUAGUCCACCCUCCGUUGAUAGGACAGGCAGAACCGGUAUUGUGGAGUAAGUCGUGCGAUGCUCUGAUUUACUUUAUCAAUGUUCCUUAUACAUAAAUGAAGAGUCUUUUAUGCUAUAUAUGAUCUUGUAGAUAACUAGAGUAGAUUAUGACUUAGUAGUUAGUAGAUAACUUAGAAUCCAUUCUCUAGCUAAUCCGACAUCACCUACAUAUAUGAGGAGUAGUCUAUUUUUUAAUCGCUGUAUUAUUUAUCCCUUGAACUUAUAAUUCAUUAUCAUUAUCUUUAUGGUUUACCCCCUGCUAAAGUAAGUGACUGUGUGACGAGUUUCUCAUUAGUAAUCAUGUCUUGCAAGUUUAUCUCUAGUCUAUGCCUUGAUAGAUUUUGCCCUUAAUUUAAUUUCAUCCCUUUUGUUCUCUUGAGCAAAAUUAUAAAUAACGAUACCUGGAAUACUUAUCCUGGUGAAAUGCUACAAUGAGGUGUUUUAUCUGUGCGUUUGCGGAUAGAAUAGAUUAUUUUCUAGAGAGCCUUUACAUUUAUAAAUACCUUUGUACACUCUGGCACCAUGCUGGGGAUGACAACCUAGUAUCUAAGUGGUGUUAGCUAGUGUCAACAGCCGACAACGCGUCACCCGUUUUCCUGCUACAAAGGGAGGCAGAUCGACAACACCGACCGGCUUGGGCUAUCGACCAAAUUGUUUAGCCUACUUGCUCUGACACCAGUCGCAAUAAUAAUCGCCGCGAAGAACGGCGCUACGACAACAGCGACCACCGUCAUGACAAGUCGAAAAGCUCGAGGGCCAGACAAUUUUGUCGUCACCGACUAGACUUUCGUCCAAAGAUAAGUACACUUCUAAUAUUUUAUUUAUUUUUGGCAUAAUAUUUUUUAUUAUCCUUUAAAAAUAACUUUUUGGUUAGCCGACUAGUUUUUUCUCCUACACGAGUUUUCUAGAGCCAGCACUGUCUCCGACUCCUCCCUACACGUGCAUGAGAUCUGCCCUCUGCGUUCCGGGUGGUCGGCAGUAGCUCUCUGGCGAGGCAGGCAAUCCUACGCGUGCCUAGGUUCCGCACCUCAAGCUGAUUGUUGGCUAGACCAGAGCUGGUACAAGCUUUAGGAUGAAUUAACUACUUGUGCUAAUUUUAUAACAAAAAAAUCUAAAACUUGUCUCUGUGCUGAUUUAUUAUCUAGAGUUUAUUUAUAUAUCAUGUACUACCUAUUCUCUAUAUUUAUUUUUCAGGAGUUUGGCUCAGUCAACAAGCUACGCUCGGGGACUCGUCGACUAUUCCCUACGCUGUGCUCGGGGACUGCUCCGACUACCGAGCAUGUUUACGUUCCCAACCACACUCGGGGACUUGUCGACUAGUCUCUAUGCUGGGCUCGAAGACUGUGCCGACCACCAAGCACAUUUACGUUCCCAACCAUGCUCGGGGACUUGUCCACCAGUCCCUACGCCGUGCUCGGAGACUGUGCCGACCACCGAGCACGUUUACGUUUCCAACCAUGCUCGGGGACUGGUCGACCAGUCUCUAUGCUGUGCUCGGGGACUGUGCUGACCACCGAGCACGAUUACAUUCCCAACCGUGCUCGGAGACUCAUCUAUCACUCUCUGCGCUGUGCUCGGGACUUGCUUCGAUUACUCUCUGACCACAGCUUGGAGAUUGGACGUGAUAAUUUUUAAUAUUUUAGACCUUGCUACAAGGCUCAUACUUUGCCUUCCAGCAAGCUCGGGGACUACAUCGGUACGAUGCAUCUGGCGAUGCAUUUCAGUAUCAGAUUUUCUAUAUGGUUUUUUCUCUUUAGACCAUGGCACCACGUGUCUACGUCACCUACUACCAGGCUCAGGGACUAAGUGGGCACACUUCACCUUACGGUGAAUAUGCCUGCUUUUUUGAGGUCUAUACUUUUCACAAAAGUAAAGUGGGCACACUUCGCUAGGAAAGAAAUCUUUUUUGAUUAAGAGCACCAUGCAUUCUUCGAAUAACCUGCUUCUUCGAUGUCGAUGUUGAUCAACUGUCUUUUGAGUUUGUUAAAAUACUGUUGCAACUGUUUCGGCGACUUUCCUGCUUAUCGAAGACGUCAAGCCUCGCUGAUCGAAGAAGCUCAAGACGGCGUGUUACGUCACAAUACAUGGUGCUCGGGGACUAGGUGUGGGGGUAUAAACCCCUAUGCCCUCAUAGGUUGACAUGGGCCGCACCAUCAGAGGUGGCUCGGCCCACAAGAUGAAGACGUACGGCGCACGAUGCUGGUCGACGUGCACCGCAAGGCUACAAGAUAUUGUACCAAAUAGGAUACUUUGCUUGUAACUCUGUCCCUUCAGGAUAUAUAAGGAGGGGCAGAGGUCCCCUAGAGAACAAGUCAUAGACAACUUAUCUCAUCUCAACUCAACACAAUCCAAUACAAUCAGACGCAGGUCGUAGGUAUUACGCCCACACGACAGCCGAACUUGGAUAAAAACCUUGUCUGUGUCUUGCGUCACCAUCAAGUUCGUAGCUUGCACACUGUCUAUCGAUAAACUACUUCCGUGGGUAUACUCCAAGGUAGACUGCCGACUAGCUUUUGUCGACAAUUCCUUUUAGGCGCACCGCAUCCAACACCUGCUCCUUCAGCCACAUCUCCUUUAAUAGACAUUAAAAAAAAAGUUAGAUGUAUGAAUAGGAUUUAUUAAAUAGCAACAAAUAAAUGAAAUAAACUUAUUGUAUAUACAUGUUACGUACUUUUAGGUUCUCAAGAUUAGUUCUUUUGGCAUAGACCGUCAUAAACUCGCACACAUAGUAGCCACACAAAUUGUUGCCCGGUGUCUGCCGUAGAACCCACUGAAGUAAGAUGGUCUUUGAAAGUGCUGUAUUCAACUCUGGACAGUGUUUCUGCACGAAUCCAGCCCAAACCCUAGCAAUAAAACGAUCAUUAUUAAUUAUCUAUUACCAAGUUAAAAGAGCAGAAUUUAAUAUAUAGAGAUCGGAGUUACCCUUGGAUAAUAUCUAUCAUUUCUUGGUAAUCGUCCUGUGGUUUUCUCAACGAGUCAUUGAUUACCAAUUAACAUUGCCAGAGAUCAAUGACAAUUAGUAUCCAAUGAAAGCUGCAUUUGUGUGCAUAUGUAGGCAAAAUUAGUAUAUAUCUUCAUAUUGAUCUGAUUAAUUAGUUAAAUAGAAUGUACACACGAUAACGACACUGACUUAAAGUUGUAGGGAAAGAGUAUAUAUCUUUUAUCUUUUUGGUUGAUCAAGAACCUCCGUAGAUUUCUCUCCGUUUGAGUUCUCCAUAAGACAUUUCAAUACAACAUUUGGAUCUACAAAUCAAAUCUCCUUGUCAUUUCUAACUCUGAGGUCCCUCAUCAUGUUUCUGCAUAUGUAUAGCGGGUUUCUGUAAUUAGUUAUAUAUAUACAUGAUAAGUUACAGUGACAUUAUUGAAGGAAAGAAUCACUUAUAGACACAAGCAACUCAUUAGAGAUUUGUCAAGAGCAUCCAUGUGGCAUAGUUGGUGUAGCUCAUUAAAUUGAACAUAAAUAAUAUCAUCACCACAUAAAUAAUAUCAUCACCACGUAAAGUAUUAUAAGUUUCUAAUUUUUUAUACAGAAAUUAAAGUAACAAAUAACCUAAAAUUCUCUAUUUCUAGUUUUUCUAAACCAGCAAAAUUAAAAAGACAUAAAAGUUCUCUAUUUUCUAACUAAUCAUGAAAUGUGGCAUGCAUACUAGUUAUAAUUAACUAAUUCACCAUGUCAUAAAGUGCAAAUUAAAGAAAUAUAAGUUUCUAAUUUUUAAUAGAGAAAUUAAAGUAACAAAAAACCUAAAAUUCUCUAUUUCUAAUUUUUCUAAACAAGCAAAAUUAAAAAAGCACAAAAGUCUUCUAUGUUUCUAACUAAUCAUGAAAUGUGGUAUGCAUACUAGUUAUAAUUAACUAAUUAACCUUGUCAUAAAUUGCAAAUUAAAGUAUUAUAAGUUUCUAAUUUUUAAUAGAGAAAUUAAAGUAACAAAAAACCUAAAAUUCUCUAUUUCUAAUUUGUCUAAACAAGCAAAAUUAAAAAAGCACAAAAAUUCUUUAUUUUCUUAAAUAUCAUGAAAUGUGGUAUGCAUACUAGUUAUAAUUAACUAAAUAAAUUGGUCAAAAUUGCAAAUUAAAGUAUUAUAUGUUUUUAAUUUUUUUCUAAACUAAUUAAAAUAAAAAAAACAUAUUAUCACUAUUUCUCUGAAAAACGCCUCACGGUUGAGAAGACGAUGAAGCUAAUAACCUCUUAAAAAAACCAUAAAAUAAAAAACAACAUACAUAACACUAGGAAAUGACAUAUGCCGCUGCUAAAUGUUGAGAAGAUGAAGCUAGUGACCUCUUAACAAGUCGAUGACGGCGUAGAAAUGAUGAAAUGAAUCAAUAGCCGGAGAUGAGAGCAAGAACAAGCAACUCUAAAUGAAGAACACAGCAAAAGAGUGAAGAUCGAUGGGCUCGGCCAGAGAAAGAAGAGUUCAAAUAUGGGAAAGGACAUUUAGUCCCGGUUCCACUUAAAAACCGGGUCUAAAUUCCAACACUAGUCCCGGCCGGUGAGACGGACCGGGACAACAACUUUUAAUCCCGGAUGGUGGUACCAACCGGGACUAAAGGCUAGGCUUUUGUCCCGGUUCGUGAGACCAACCGGGACUAAAGGUCCCGUCUGCCGAUCUCUGACACCAUAGCCGUUGGGCAGGGGACUUUUAGUCCCGGUUGGUCUCACCAACUGGGACUAAAUAUGUUUUUGUCCCGGACGCUGAUUGGACCGAGAUUAUUGUUCAUUUUGGACAACUGACCAAAGGCAUGUUCUAUACUAGUGCAUGUCAUCUACUGUAGGCCUUGUUUAGUUUCCAUUUUUUUUUACUAUAGUACUUUCAUUUUUAUUUGAUAAUUAUUGUUCAGUUGUAGACUAACUAGGUUUAAAAGAUUUAUCUUGUAAUUUACAUAUAAAUUAUGUAAUUAGUUUUUGUUUUUAUUUAUAUUUAAUAUUUCAUGUAUUUACCGUAAGAUUUCAUGAAUUCAUGUAAUAAAGAAUCUUGAAACGUUUUUGUUUGAGUGGCCCCUUGCAAUUAUUCGGCUCAAAGGAUUUGGCUCCUGGGCAGAGCUUUCCACAUGUGUUGACAACGACACCUCCCGGAAGCUUUCCGUGCUGGUGUUGUUCUUGUUUUUCAUGUAUAUCUUGGUCAUGUUUAGUUCCCAAAAAAUUUUGCUAAAUUUUUCAGAUUCUCUGUCACAUCAAAUCUUUAGAUGUAUGUAUGGAGUAUUAAAUAUAGACAAAAAUAAAAACUAAUUACACAGUUUGGUCGAAAUUGACGAGACGAAUCUUUUGGGCCUAGUUAGUCCAUGAUUGGAUAAUAUUUGUCAAAUACAAACGAAAUUGAUACUAUUCACAUUUUGCAAAAUUUUUUAGAACUAAACAAGGCCCUUGUGUGAUGAUACUCUUGUUCGUUUUUUCCUCCACUUGCGUCAUGGAUUUGUUUCCUACUAGAUAUAUGCCCGUACGAUGAAUGGGGCUAUAUUUUUACUCACGCGCAACUACGAUGACAAAUUUGAUUAUUUUUCAGAAAAUAUUAAAAACUAAUACACAAAUUUAUAUGGGCGACCCUAAACUAUUUCUAAAUUUCCUUUUUUAAAUAUAUGAAACCAUGUUACCUUUUUAUCUACAUUGUACAUCUUUUUUUCAUGUUGGAGUGUCCGCCCGCAAAGGUUUUUUCUCACAGUUUGCGUACGCCCCUCGCGGCCAUAAAGCUCUAUAAGAGCAACUUCAACAGGGCCCUAGGUAGCUAGUCUAAAAACAAUACUCCAGUAGAGCCUUUACUAGAGCCCCAAUUUAGAGUGGGCACCCAAAUCUAUAUAUGGCCAAACGGGCCACACGGUACGAGCAUGGAACGGCACGUCGCGGCACGGGCACGGUUCGGCACGGGCACGAUUUGGCACGCGUGUCUGCCGUGUCGUGCCUGACGUGCUACCGUGCCAGCCUCCCAGCACGAGCACGACACGGCUAGAUCUGGAGCGUGCCGUGUCGUGCCGUGCCGCUAGGCACGGCAGCACGCCAGCACGAGCACAAGCACGAGCACCCCGGCAUGAGCACGAGAACGACACGGCCGUGUAACAGGAAGAAAUGGACGGAGGAGAUCGCUUGGGGAAGCGAUCCAACGGCUCCCGUGCCUGGAGCGGGCUGAUGGAGCGGGUCGUGCCCGUGCCGUCCUGUCGUGUGCGGCUUCCAGCACGGGCACGGGCACGGGGGCGUGCCGUGCCAGCACGGGCACGAGGCAGGCCGGGCCGGGCCGUUUUCGGACCGUGCUUUCUCGUACCGUGCUCGUGCCGGCCCGUUUAAAUCGGCCCGUUUGGCCAUCUAUACCCAAAUCUUUCCUGCAGACCCUAUUUGUGUUGGCCCAAUAGCCCAGCCUCAUCCUUCGUGAUGUGACCAUUACUUCCCCACAUGGUACAGACGUAGCCUCGCCCACCUUCCUCUAGUGCCCAUCUCCACUACCGUGCUCCCUCCCUCCACCCCCGACCUCCACCGCUGGGCAGAUUCACCGGUGCGCAAUUCCGGCGCGGCCUCUUCCCCGCCACGCGGGCACUGCUCAUCUCAUUUGCGUUCUAGCCUUUGCGUGGAGGAUGUGAGGAAGAAAGAUUUGACCUCGUGACGUGUGGGUCCCACAUGUCAUUGUCUGCUAAUUUGGAUUUGGAGGCUUUUAUUUAGGGGGUACGGUUAGAGUGGAAGCAAAAAUUUUGAGCAUCCAAAUGAAAAGUAGGAGUCCUAUUUUUUAGGCUACUGCUGGAGUUACUCUUAUACAUAUAUAUUUCUUUAAUUCGUGAGCAGCUGUAUUAAGUCCUUUGUCGUGCAAUAUCUCUUUGAAUAAAGUUGCAUUUGUUCCGGAGAAUAUAAAAUGCAUUCACGGUGCGAGAAGAGGAGCCUCAUCUUUUUUGCCUUUUGAUUGAUGAUAGUCCUGGAUUCGCUCCAGUUUGGUCUAUCGGAAUAAUCAUGAUGAUCUCCUGCUGCCGGAUCAAGACAGCAAGGACCGCUAACCUGGGAAGUCAUUUUUAUUCCCUGGUCGCUAGGGCUGAAAGAAUUUCUCCUUUGUUGACAAUUUCCUCCAGAGAAUUCAGGUCACAAGCAUUGAUCGUGAAUUCUUGGCAAUUGGUGAUUCUAUAAAUGUUGGUGAUUCAAGUCACAGUUUGGAGGUAAGUCGCAUCGGUUCUUAGAAUAGAGAAUUUGACCGGAAUGUAGAAUGUUUGAAUUGAUGUGAUGACGAAUUAGUACAUGCUAGUACAAUAUGGUCGUACCACCUGUUUUCAGUUUCGAUUUUCUUUCUACACCGUCUUUGCUUGAACGUAUUAGCAGUAGAAUAUUAUUUUUCUCUCACAACAAAUCAAAUCAACAGAAUCUAUACUUUUUUUAACCAGCCGAACAGCGUCUAAUCCGUUGAUCAAAAGUAAUAACUGUUGUUGUUGAUUGGUGAAGGGAAUAACAAUAUACGGUUCAUUUUAAAUGACACCAGAUGUUAAAAUUUUCUCUUCUGCUAUGUCUGUGUGUCUGUCCUUCUUGCAUACUUCCUCCUAAAGAUGGCAAGGCAAUGGGUACCCGAGAUCCGAAACCCGAUGGGUUUUUGCUCUAUUAGGGUAAGGAUAUGGGUCAACUUUGCUACCCGUGGGUUUGUUAAUGGGGCAAAAGCUAGACCCAGCGGGUUUGUGGGCAUAGGUCUAGGUGUGUAGUACCCAAACCCGCAAACCCAUGGGGUUUUUAAAUCCAAAUCACCAUAUCAUCACACAAUAUAAUUAGUACAUAAAGUACAAAAUGCAAAAAAAACAAAAUAGAGAACAUGCAUGCUCCAUACUUUUUUUAGUAGAAGCUCCUUAUGUGAAAGCUGCAGCUAGCUAGUGCGUCUUAGUGCAUGCACUCAGUUCAUCUAGACUCAAAGAUAUGACAGAUGUUGGCAUCGAGCAUUAGCAGGUCAUGGCCCAGUGCAUGCUAGAGGUGAGUGUUUCUGUGAGAACUCGCAAAUUUCUAGUGCAGAGGUGUAAUAACACAUAACAUGAGUCCCACCUUGCCAAUUAAUUCAACUUUAAGUAUUUUGGUGCGCUAUAGAGUAGACUUGCUCACUUGACUGGAUGACCAUCUUAUGACAUGCUGUGACGAGCACGGACAACCCGUUAAAUACCCGUGACCCGAUGGGUAUGGGUUUGGGCACAAAAUCAAACCCGUGACGGGUCAUGGGUUUUUUAGUGGGCAUAUUUUAUAUUAAUGGACAUGGGUUUGGGAUGGCAAAACCCAGUGGAUUUGUACCCGUUGCCAUCUUUACUUCCUCCGUCCAAGAACAAAUGCAACUAUAUGUUUCGUGUCAAAAAAGUAGUUCAUAUUUAACCCAAUUUCUAAUGAAUAUUAUUCACUUUUAUGACUUCAAAUUAAUUUAAUAUAAAAACAUUUCAUAAAUAAUCUAAAGAUAUUUAUUUGAUAUCACAAAUAUUAAUACUUUUUAAUCUAUAAUUGAUUAAAUUUAAGAUACUAAACUAGAACACUAUUAGAAUUGUAUUUUUUCGAUGGAGAGAGUAUAUAAUAUGUAUAUACCGAAAAUGUUUAUAAAGGCUGAGUGAGUUGUCUUUUUCCUCGACAAUAUAAAGAAGAUAAGGAAAAACAAGAAAGAGAAUACGUACUGUGUUUUGCAGCACAAUUUCGGGCAUUCUUUAUCUGUAACUCACGUGCGUCAGCACUUAGCAGCUCGAGACAUGAGAUCCCCUGCAGCAGCGGAAUUUAUAACCCUCGUGCGGCAGGAUCACACGUGACCACAUCUCGCCGGAGCAGCGUGGGACAACACGAGCUACUGAAAACCAAAAAAUUUUCAAGAUUCUCCGUCUCAUCGAAUCUUAUGACACAUAUAUGAAACAUUAAAUAUAGACGAAAACAAAAACUAAUUAUACAGUUUAGCUGUAAAUCACGAGACGAAUCUUUUGAUUCUAGUUAGUCCAUGAUUAGAUAAUAUUUGUCACAAACAAAUGAAAGUGCUACAGUACCAAAAACUUUUCACUUUUCGGAACUAAACAAGGCCCUAGCUAAAAUAUUAGUACAGUACUAGCACAGAUCAAAUAGGACAAAACCCAAAUGUAAUUACCUCUAUAUUAAUGUGUCUAUUAGUAUGUUUUUUUGGCUGUGAAAGCGUGUGCAGCAGGUAUUAUUAAUCGGUCUAUUUUUUCUAUUAUUAAAAAACCGUGCAUGUCUAUACAGGAUUACGUCAUUAGGCCCCACUACUUUGCAACCAAACACUUCGCUAAAAAAAAGGUAAAACCACAACUUUUGUCAGCUUAAGCAUGUCCAAGAGUUUUCAGCGCCUACUCUUAACCUUUAAUUUUUGGUGAAUUCUAUUAAAUAUGGAAAUAUAUAGAGACUACACAAGUAAAUUUAUUUUGAUAUAUUUAUAAGUAGUAUAAAUUUUAUUGUGCUUACUGUUGCAAUAAUGUUAAUUUUAAUAUAUUCAGGGACACCCCUGUUCAUGGGCUGGUUUUUGGUGGUUCUGGUUUGCUUCUAAAAUAACCCAAGCUAGGUGUGGUUUAGGCUGGUUCUCACCAGGUUGCUAUGAAUUGGUUUGAAUGAUUUACAUAGUUUUUGUAGUUCAUUGUGAAUUUCUCUUUGGCUGACACAUAACCAUACACUCAAUACGUAUGUGAUUUCUUUGGAAUCACAACAAGGGCAUAGAAAUAUUACGCAUACAUAGUGAAAAAUGUAGUUACAUGAUGCUGAUAUCAUUGUGCUAAUAGAAUGUUUUUUGGCAUCAGAUAAAAAAUACAAUGUUUCAAAAAUGUAUCCCAUUGCCGCAUCUCAUAUUUUCCACCCAUCUUUAUCUAGCACUACUACAAAAAUGCCAUAAAUAUUGUCUAAAAUAUACUAUCAUACCCUGGAUAAAAAAAUGGAUUCUCACUAAUAGUGAAAUAGCUAAUUUAAACAUAAAGAAACUCCAAAGAUCCAUAUGUUUAAACGUCUUCAGCGGCCUCUCUUACACUUAUUUUGUUAUAAGAUGUACAUAGCCAAUAUUGUACGCAAAUUAAGGCUUCAACUGGUGUGCUAAUUGAUACGUUGCACCAAUGCUAAAAACCGACUCCGAAGACACUGUAGAAGCAGGCACACACACACAUCUUUUGCUAGAAAGAGAUGAUAUAAGGUAGUUUCCAAAAAUUUAAUAUGCUAAAAUUUUUAUUUCCUAUCUCAAUCUUAUCAACCAAAUACCUUGAUAGCUUAGAAAGAUUUUUCAGUCCUAGAUACCUCCAUAUUUUUUUCAACACGAGAGAUCUCAUUCCAAUUAUAAAACAACAGAAAUCCAACAUUCAAGUUUCCAGACUUAGACAGAAAAAAGAAAAUAGUUUCCAAAUUAACAAAAUUGCUAGAAAAGCCCUAGACUGACUUAGACAGAAAAAAGAAAAUAGUUUCCAAAUUAACAAAAUUGCUAGAAAAGCCCUAGACUCACAAAUUUUGCAAACACCUAUUCCAGAUGUUGUCUAAACCUUCUAACCAUCGAAACCUACGCAACCUCAAACUUAGAAAGUUUCAAAAGGCCAAGAGUUUAACCCAACACCACCAAAACAAAAUAGAGCAAAAGAUAAACCAACAACCAUUGCUAAACUACGACAUCUAGCUAGUUUCCAGGAUCUAACUCCCCAACUUUGACCCUCAACUUAAGUUGAUUCUUCAUCAAUGUCUUUCGCCUGACUAUGAAGUAACAGCUUGUUCACUUGUAUUGUCGUCUGAGCCACUAAUACUUUCUUGGCCACCUUCAUCAUCAAGUUGGCGCCCUCUAUUAGUUGCUCACCAUCCAACUCAGCAUAUAGUCCUGCCCAAUAAAUCAUAAGCACAUUUGCAUGGCAGAUUAUUUCAAGAGGGCUAUUGAUAAGUUUUCUCUUAAAACAUGCUUUAUUCUUGCUCUUCCAUAUCGCCCAGCAAAUGGCAGCAACACUCCAAGGGUGAUAUUUUUAACCAAAGGGGAACCAAGUUUCACACCAGCACCAACACUAUUGCAGAUUCAUUGGAAAGUUAGACACCCCAAAACACUUCACAAACUAACCAAAUUACCUUUGCAACUAGACGUUGGAAAAACAAAUGGGAAAUAUAUUCAUCACAACCACAGAAAAUACAAGUAGGAUCACCUUGCCACUUUCUUUUGCACAAAUUGUCUUUUGUAAGAACAACAUCAUAGGACAUGAAGCACAAUUUUUUGCAGGCACUUUACCUUUCCAAAUCCUUUUUAAAAAACAUCUUUAGUCAAACCUUUAUAUACCAAUUUCACAGAGAACCUGCCACUCUUCUCAAGACUCCAUACAACACUAUUAGGUGUGCUAUUUUAUUAAAAAUUGGAAGCAACUUGCCAUACCUUUUUCCAUAUCACUCUAAGUUCCUAAAAAACCAUCUUCUGAAUGUAAUGGGUACACCAUUCAUUGCUUGAGCUACAAUUAUAUUCUUAUUCUGACAUAAUUCAAACAAAACAGGAACAAUUUUAGACAAUGGUUUUGGAUAUACCCAAGGAUCCAACCAAAACUAGAAACACAUCUUCCCUGUAGAAGAGUGUGUCCUCUUCAUAUAUAUAAUGUGAAUUGGUGCUUCAUUUGAACAUCUAUUGGUAGAAGCUCCAAUAGUUUCAACAAAACCAAAUAAUUCGGCAAGGGUUGAUUCAACUUUCUAAGCUAAUUUCUUACCCACGUAUGGUUCAUACAAAAUUUCUAAGCAAAAUACCACAUACUUCAACUUGUAUCUCAAAUCUAAAAUCAUAGAAAUAAAUAACAAGAAGUUUGAAUUACCUUCUUACUUCUAAUACUUCUAAAAUUUCAAAUUCAUCUUGUAGGCCAUUGAAGCUAAUAUUGAAUCUUCUCUCAUGGCAGUCUCAUUUAAUAUUGCAUGAAUCAACAUUAUGUCAUAAAAUAUGAUGCCUCAGUUCAUGUGCAAGGAAGAUGAUAGACAUGUUAUUACCUUUAAAAAUAGCUUGAAGAAACACAACAUACACCUUGCAGCUUCCUAAUCGUGCACUAGGGGGACCUUGGUCACCAAACUGAGCAUUGAAUGGCUUGUAGUCUUUCGCCAAUCAUGCAAAGGACUUCUCAAUUUUUUCUAUAUCUUCCAACAUAAGAUAGGUAGCAUUCCAUCUUGUGUCCAAAUCUAAGUUCAAAAAACUUUUGCUUGAUUUUUUCUCCUAUGAAAGGAUCAAGAUGCCCAAGAGGGGGGUGAAUUGGGCUUCUCUAAAAAAUUUAAGCAACCUACAAGCCUCAAUUCAACCCUUGUGCCUAGUUGUGUCCUAAAGAGCUAACGGAUAAAAGUUUUGCAAUCUAGUUCCAAUCCUAUUCUAGCAUGACAAUUCUAGGAAUGUAAAGUGCUGAAUUUAAAUGCUGAAUGUAAAGGAUGAGAGGGAGAGGAACGCCGCGAUGUUUUACCGAGGUAUCGGAGAGUCACCACUCCCCACGCGUCCUCGUUGGAGCACCCACGCAAGGAUCUUGCUCCCCCUUGGACCGUGCAAGGACCAAGUGCUCUCUAUGGGCUGAUUCUUCGACACUCCAUCACGGUGAAUCGCUCACAACUGCUCACAAGCUUGACACGAGCCACCCACAAGGACAUUGGGUGAUCUUUGUGCCUCCAAUCACCACAGAACCAUCUAGGUGAUGGCGAUCACCAAGAGUAACAAGCAAUGAACUCUCACUUGACCCAAACAAGGCUAAAGAGAGUGGUGGAUGCACACUUGAACUAUUGAUUCUCACUAGAGAAGGAUCACUCAAGAAAUCAAUCAAAACUCAAUCCUCUCUAGGCUCUUGCUUCUCCCUUGCACCACAAGAUGUUUCUUAGCUGAACAAAUGGGCAAGAGGGCUAUCUUGGGUGAGGUGGAGAAGUAUAAAUACCCCCCAUCAAGUCUAAGAGCCGGCCACAUAAAAUCGGCAGAUUUCGUAUGCACCGGACGCUCUUGAUGUUGCACCGGACGCUCUCCACAGAGAGUCUGGUUCCUUACCAAUGGCUAGUUGUACUUUCAAAACCUGCUGACACCAAACACACAGGUGCAUCCGAUGUCCUCAUCCUAGACGCGUCCGGUGAGGGAACUCCUUUGACAUGCUCCCUAGGUAAGAGAAUGGACGCACCCGAAAGCAUCCGGUGCUAUGUCCGGUGCCAUACCCUAGACACGUGGCAUGCUGGCUCAGCACCUGCAUACACCGGACGCACAAGCAGUCCCACUGCUGCGUCCAGUGCCAGCGUCCGAUGUCUAAAAAUAGUGAAUAUUUUGUCGAAUCAUGAACUUUCCAAAAUGAAGUUUGAUCCUCUCGAUCUAAGGACUCUCUCUGAGCUGCCUGCACCACACCUAAACCUAAAGCCUUGCUUAGGUCAAGCUACCCAUUUGUCGCCCCAAAUUACUAUUACUAACGUGUGUUUUGCAGCGACUAAUCAUCAAAACUCAUCUGGGGCCUAGAUGCUUUCAUCCUACUCUACACACUUUUUCAAAAGCUUCAACGUCGAUGGCAAAGAUCUAACAAAUUGAACCAUUGUUCUUUUUUGUCAAUAGAUUCAUUGUGCUCCUCCAGUCCACUCUUCACAACUAGGAUGACUAUGUGGGCAAAAUACUACACAUGAAGGAAUUCAUUAUUUAACAAAAACCACUUCUAGUCUUUACAAACUCCCUUCAAAUACAAAAUUAACCAAUCAUUGGAGCUCGCAUUGUCAACUAUGAUUAUGAAUAAAUUAUUGAUACCCCACUCUAGUAAGCAUUCUUCAACUCUCUUCCCAAGGGUUACUCCAUUGUGAACUAUCAUUUCUGCAACCUCCAUUUAUCAUCAAUCUAAUGUAAAGUGAUGGACAUAAUUUAAAUUUUGAUUUGAUGUCCAAGUAUAUGUUGUUGCUAGACAGAUUCUUUGAUUUGCCAAAACCUUCUUCAACUUGGAUUUUUCUUUAAUAUAUCACUAUCAGCAAUCCCUUGCUACUGUGACUCCAAAAGGUGGUUGAAACCUGGGAUAUAACAUUUUGGAAUAUCUCUUGAACCCCGCACCUUCAACUAUUCUAAAAGGUGUCUCAUCAAUUAUAACUAAGCAAUAGGAAAUUUAUUGUCAUGGUCUACACUUGAGAAAUGAUCCUUUUAGAUUUGACUCUUGAAAUGAAGGGAAAAACAAAAAAAAUCAAAAUGAAUUAUGAAUAGCAACCAAACUUUUUGCCCAUAAAAUAGUGAGUCAACUAACCACCUUCUUAUCAUACGUCAAGUUUAUAAAAAUUGUAUUAGCAAUGUGCCAUGAGCCUUAGUUCAUUAGGGGAUUGGAGGAUAACCAUUUCCUGGAGCAAGGUCGAGCAAAGUCGGUGUGGAGGGAGACUAGAGGAUUUGGGGGAAUUGGAUUCGGGGUGAGGUUUUACCCCUCUGCAUCCUGUUGUUAAAGAAGAGGAAUUGGGAGAUAGAAUUGUCUUGUUAUUCCUUAGUCCCCUGAGAGCGGGUACAUGUAUAUAUAGGCACUUGGACUACUAAAUAAAAGGACUCCAUAACUUCCCAUAAAUCCCCUAAUUCUUGCCUUCCUUGUAUGCUGAUCUGCAUGCAACUCCUUGAUUGAUGCUGGUGCGAUCUUGGCACUAUCUUCCAUGCACGUUGAUACCUGCUAAUCCUUUGCUAACCAAAUCUGAUUGGGGUAAUUACGCCCUCUAUGGACACCAUGCAGUCAUUCACCACAUAACAUUUCUCUCCCUUUCAGAGUAGCUCACCCAUGAGCUACCACAGACCUACUUGACGGACCAAGGGUUAAGCCUUUUACAUCUCAGCUUACCUUUGUUAUUGAAGACAAAGACAUGAAAUAAACUUAAAGCGCAAGCUAAAAUAUGAAAGAAAUUUGAACUGCAACUACAUCCUCCUAGAUCCCAUAUGGAAAGAGCCCAACCGCUAACUUCAUGUGAGAUGAGCAAGAGAGGAUGUACCAACCCACUAGUGCUCUAGGCACCACCAAGGCGUGUGCCAGAACAACUGAGACAGCUAGUUGCUAUGUUGCUCUGGUUGUUCAUCGUGCCAUACAUGGACCUCUACUUCAAUGGGAGCCAUAGGACAUACACGAGCUUGAGUGGUUAAACACGCACGAGCAGAUCAACAUGCGCAUCUUACACACCACCCACCUGACUAGGAACCCUUGCACUACUACUUGCAGGUGCACCAUUGCAUGCUCCUCCGAUGAUAGCCACAUGAUAGACCUAGAGAUAUAAUAGCCAUACACUUCUCGCUAUGUAUAUACUACACCCACAGAUGUGCAAGGAGUCCACAUGUUGCUGCUUGUAGGCGUACUAUUGCUAGGCAUUCACAUUCCUCCACCUUGAGCAAUGCCACUAAGCGAUCCAACAUGGUCGACAUAUGACAAAGCUACUUAGACAUGUGACAAUGCCCAUCAAUGAGGAGGUGAAAGAGUCAUCAAUAGCAGAAGUCAUGCGUUCAGAUCGAAACCAGGCAAGCCGAUACUAGAUGCCAUGAUGAAAACCCAAGUUUGGUUUUGGUAAUUAAUGACACCAAGUUGCUAAUACCUUAUGUUUAAGUGAUUUGAGUUAGGCAUAGCAACACAUGUGAUGAAGGUGCAAGGUGGCAUGGAAAGGUGGCCACAUGAUUACAAAGAGAUGAAGCAUGAAGUCGAGAUCAUGGUGAUAGACAAGGAGUAAAGUAAUCAAGGCAAAGGUAUAAACAUAGGGUUUUGCUUUUGCCAGUCUAAGUUGAGUAGAGAAGUGAUUGACCAGGUUUAGGAUAGAUAGCCGACUAUCAAGAGGGGAAAUCACAGUCAUCUCUCGAAUCAAGUGCUACCAGGUCCAUAUCUUGAGCAUAUGCAUUAGGAUCUAGUGAAGUGCUAACCUAACUCCUUUGAUGAAAAUGUUUGUGAAAAGCUAAGACACAUGCACAUUGGUGGUGGUCACUUGGUGGUGCUAGCACAUUUGCAAAGGAGGUGGAGUUCCUAGGGUAGAUAGGGUUUGGGGUUCCUAGAUUCGACGCUUUUGGGAAAUUGAAAUGUAUAUUUUCUAUUGCACCAAUGGAAAGUUUGGGAAAGUCACGAGAGUGUUUUUCAUUGGAAAAUACUCACCAGACGUUAGCCUCGGAGGCACCGGACGCUGCUCCUAAGUGUCUGGUGCGCUCUCAUUUUUGGCAAAGGUGAAGGGAACACCGGAUGCUGAGCAUCGGAUGGUGGCCAGACACUAUUGGUGCAUCCGGUGUUGUCUGACAUCAGUAGGUGUUUCUGACUGAGAGCACCAGACGCUCAAGGCGCGUCCUGUGGUGUGAGUUCGGUGUCCCUAUGCAUUUGCAGCACUCUCUGAGUAAGGGACCGGACGCUUAGGGUGUGUCUAGUAGUCUGCAUCCGCUGACCCAGCGCGUUUUACACCCUCUCUACAUAUGGGUCUGGUGAGUACCUGACGCGUUCGGUGCUCACUUGAUCGUGUCCGAUAGUUUGUAGGUGACCGUUAGAGAUCGACAUGUGAAAGUCAAAAGGACGACACGUGGUUAUCAUCAAGGCACUAGACGCAGGGUUCCAGUGUCUGGUGGCUCCCCAUUGUGUGUCUGAUGCCCCUAAGUUUUACCCAGUGAUAGAGCCAAGGACUCUAUUUGUUGAGAGGGCUUAUAAAUAGGAGGUGUCCAGCUUUGGGGGGUCUCUCUUGCACUUUGACAUACUUGAGACAUUCUUUGAGCUAGAGAACACUCCCUCCACUCAUCUCCUUGCUUGAUUGCUAAUCCUAGUGAGAUUGAGUGAGAUUCAAGUGCAUUGCUUAGUGAGUUGCAUCUAGUGGCACUUGAUUUUUGAGUUUGUUGCAGAUUUCUUGUUACUCUUGGGUGUUUCUCGACGCCCUAGAUGUCUUGGAGAAGCGAAGGUGUUGAGCUCAUGAUUAGAGAUUGUUUUGAGCCUCACCAAGUGAUUUGUGAGGGGUUCUUGAGCCUUCCCCGCGGGAGAUCGCAAUUGGCUACUCUAGUAGAUUGCUCGUGGCUUGGAGGAUCCUCAUCUUGGAGUGGAUGUGCAGCACCCGCGGAGGGUUUGGCUUUGAAUUGCCAAUUAGCUCGUGAUCCAUCAAGUGGGUGUAUCACCACAAUGAGGACUAGCUUGCCGGGAAGCAAGUGAACCUCGAUAAAAUAUCGUGUCAUAUCUUGCCGAGGAUUCUCUCUUGUGCUUGUGAUUGUAAGUGAUUGAUUGAUUGGUCAUAUUCCUACUCUACAACGUUGGUAUAACAAUCACUCCCCACUCCUUUACUUACUAGCAUACCUUGCUAGUUGUUUAGCUUGUUUAGCUUAGCCUUGUUGUUUAGGAGUGUAGGUAGUUUUAGUUGUGCUUUCUUGUUGUGACUUAGUGUUUAGCUUUCUUGCUAGAAUUGUGUAGGUGGCUUGCAUAGCUUAGUUAUGCUAGUGCUAGAAUAACUUCGCCAUUUAUUUUACUAACACACUUGCUGAGUGAAGUUUGUAGAAAAUUUAAAUAGGCUAUUCACCCCCUCUCUAGCCAUUUGGACCUUUCAAGUGGUAUCAGAGCUGAGGCACCAUUUAAUUGAGGCUUAACAACCUUCGGUGAAGAAAUGGCUCUUAGUUUGCAUAUCAACAACACCAAGAAGGUACCUUAGUUUGAUGGCACCAAUUAUGCAUAUUGGAAGGUCAAGAUGACCACGCAUCUUAAGUCAAUCAAUAGAGAGGAUUGGAAGGUGACCCAAAAAAAGUUUGAGGUUGCAAAUGACAAUGCACCAACACUGGUUGAAGAAAAGAAGCUUCAAUGCAAUGACAUUACAAUAAGUGCUCUUCAUGAAGCUCUUGAUGACAAGACCUUUGAGCAAAUCAAGAACAUUGAGAUUGCUCAUGAUGCAUGGGCAAAGCUAGAAGAAACAUUUGAGGGCACUAAGGGCACCAAGACCACCAAGGCAUACAUCCUUCAAGAAAAUUUCUCAAGCUUCAAAUGCAAGAGGAUGAAAGUAUGCCGAAAAUGUUCCAUCGGUUGCAAGUCAUUGUGAAUAAGCUCAAGGCACUUAGGGAAGAAGUGAAGGAUAGUCAAUUCUCUAUGAAGUUCUUGAGAAGCUUACCCAAGAGAUUUAACACAUUGAUCACCGUGCUAGUCAAGACAACACUUAGUGAAUCAACACCUAAACAAGUAUUCCAAGAGGUGAUGACUGAUGAUGCCUAUAGAGAAGAUGAUGAGAAGGAUGAGUUGGUCAAGAAGAAGAAGAAGAAAGGUGAAAAGAAGGAUGAUGAGAAUAAGAAGAGUGUAGCAUUUAAGGCCUCCACAUCUAAGGGCAAAGUCAAGAUAGAAUCAUCAAGUGAAGAAGAAGCAAGCUCUUGUGAUAGUGAUAAAGAUGAGGAGAUGGCUCUUCUUGUCAAGAGAUUUGGCAAGUUCAAAAAGAAGAAGGGCUACCGGGCUAGGAGAAAGAAGAGCUCUUCCAAGAAAAAUUAUCAUGCCAUGAGAUACUUUAGAUGCCAUAGCAAGGAUCAUCUCAUCGCCAAGUGUCCCUAUGAUAGUGAUGAUGAAGAUGCUAUCAAGAAGGAAAGAAAGAAGCAAAAUAAGAAGCAAGAAAAGAAAGAAGGCUCAAACAUGAAGAAGGGUGAUGCCCAUGUUGCAACUUGGGAUAGUGAUGACUCCUCAAGUGAUGAUGAGAGCACCAAGAAGAAGGGGGCACGCUAGCAUUACAAUUCAAGGAAAGAGCUCCAUCUUGGACACUCCAUCAUGCUUCAUGGCUAAGGCCACUAAGGUAUCAUCCGAUGAUGAGAGUGACCAUGCUAGUGAUAGUGAUAGUGAUGAUGAUGAACCUACUAAAGAUGAACUAAUCAGUAUGCUAGAAGACUGCACUUAUCACUAUAAAGAAACUAGAAAGGAGUGCAAGGCCUUGCUCAAGGAUAAGAAAACCCUUAUGCAAGAACUUGAUGAGCUUAGAGCAUCUUAUGAGAGUCUAAAGGUAGACCAUGAGAAGCUACAAAAGACUCACCCUAAGCUUGAAGAAGCUCAUUCCUCUCUAGUUAACAAAUGUGAAAAUGAGCCAACAAAAAUUGAGAAAGCUAAAACUUGCAACAUAGGCCUAACAUGUGAGAUCUUAAGUAAGCCUAUUAUUGUUGCUUCUACUAACCCUUCAUGUAGCACAUCUACAUCAUCCUCAUCAAGUAGUGAUGGUUUCACUUGUGACACCACACUAAAAGCUGAGAAUGAAAUUCUCAAGAAGGAGGUGAAAGAGCUCAAUCACACCUUAGCCAAGGCUUAUGGUGGUGAGGACCGCUUGCUUAUGUGCUUGGGUAGCCAAAGAGAUUCUCUCUACAAAGAGGGAUUGGGCUAUAACCCCAAGAAAGGCAAGGCCACCUUUGCUCCUCACAAGACACGUUUUGUGAAGAACAAUGGCCGGUUAUUGCAAAGCUUGCAAGCAAGUUGGUCACUUAGAGCAAUAAUGCAUGAACAAGAAACCCAAAGCUAAUGUAUCCUCAAUUAAGCUUAAUUCUUUCUAUGUGCUUACCAAGGAUACAAAAGGUGUUCAUGCUAAAUUCACUGGUGCACCAUGGAUGGGCUCAAAGAAGAAAGCCAUUUGGGUACCAAAGAGCUUAGUUGCUAACCUUGGAUGACCCAAUCAAGUUUGGGUACCUAAAAAUAAUUGAUCUUGUCUUGUAGGUCAAUUACAAAGCCGGAGGAAGGCAUUGGGUGCUUGAUAGUGGGUGCACUCAACAUAUGACCGGGGAGUCUUGUAUGUUCAAAUCAAUUGAUACUAGCCAAAAUGGUGGCUUUGAUUCUAUCACUUUCGGUAACAACAAGAAAGGCAAGGUCAAAGGGCUUGGUAAAAUUGCUAUCUCAAAUGACAUGAGCAUAUCAAAUGUGUUGCUAGUUGAAAACCUAGAUUUCAAUCUCUUGUCAAUUGCUCAACUUUUGGACCUUGGUUUCAAGUGCAUCUUUGGUAGUGAUGAUGUUGAGGUGGUUAGUGUUGAUGGAUCCAACUUGAUAUUCAAAGGAUUUAGGCAUGGUAGCUUAUACUUGGUUGAUUUCAAUGAUAGUGACACUCAAUUGACAUCUUGCCUAAUUAGCAAAUCAAGUUUGGGUUGGUUGUGGCAUAGAAGCCUUGGUCAUGUUGGAAUGAAACAACUAAACAAACUAUUGGGGCAUGGCUUAGUUAGAGGCUUGAAGGAUGUCACUUUUGAGAAGAACAAACCAUGUAGUUCUUGUCAAGCCGGAAAGCAAGUUGGAAAUGCACAUCCUAAAAAAUGAAAUGAGCACAUUAAAGGCAUUUGAGCUAUUGCACAUGGAUUUAUUUGGGCCGACAACAUACACUAGCAUUGGUGGCAACAAAUAUGGCUUUGUGAUAGUUGAUGACUACACUAGAUACACUUGGGUGUUCUUCCUCUAUGACAAGAGUGAUGUUUGUGAUCUAUUUAAGUCUUUUGUCAAUAGAGUGCAAAAUAAGUUUGAGACCACUAUCAAGAAGAUUAGAAGUGACAAUGGUAGUGAGUUCAAGAACACAAGAAUUGAGGAAUUGUGUGAUGAUCUUGGCAUUGGACAUCAAUUCAAUCCAACAUACACUCCUCAAUCCAGUGGUGUAGUUGAAAGAAAGAAUAGAACCUUGAUUGAUAUGGCUAGGUCAAUGCUUAGUGAACACAAUGUUAGCCAUUCAUUUUGGAGUGAAGCUAUCAACACGGCUUGCUAUUGUAGCAAUUGUCUCUAUUGCCAUGGGAAGCUUGGGAAGACACCAUAUAAGCUAUUGAAUGGAAGAAAGCCCAACAUUGCAUACUUUAGAGUGUUUGGUUGCAAAUUCUACAUUCUUAAGAAAGGAACUAGAUUGAGCAAGUUUGAGAAGAAAAUGUGAUGAAGGGUUCUUACUUGGUUAUUCCAUCACAAGCAAGGCAUAUAGAGUUUGGAACUUGGAAAGUGGCACUUUAGAAGAAGUUCAUGAUGUUGAGUUUGAUGAAACCAAAGGAUCCCAAAAUGAAACUCAAAAUCUUGAUGAGGUGAGAGGAGAUCAAUUAGCAAAUGCAAUGAAGAACAUGGAUGUAGGUGUCAUAAGGCCGAGGCAAGUUGAUGAUGAUAAUGAUAUUCACAUGAUCAAUCAAGAAGUGCAAAUUGAUACAAAUCAAGCUAGUACUAGUGGCUCUCAUGAUCAAAAUCAAAAUCAAGCAAGUGAAAGCAAUCAACUCCCAACACUCCAACCUACAAGCAUAGCAAGGGAUCAUCCAUUGGAUCAAGUCAUUGGUGGUAUUCAAAGUGAUGUACAAACUAGAUCAAGACUAGCAUCCUUUUGUGAGCACUAGGGAUGAAAAUGGUAUGGAUAUUUUCCGAUCGUAUUCGAGACCGUAUUCAUUUAGAGGGGUUUAGAUCUAUCCGUAUCCGAGUCUGAAUGUUUAAUAUCUGAUACCGUAUCUGUAUAUGAAUACUUAAGUCGUAUAUUUAUGAUGUUGACAUACAAUCGUAUCUUAUCCAACAUUAUUUAUAUUAUCCGUAUUCGAAUCUGAAUCUGACCAAAAAUAUGAAAACAAAUAUGAUAUCAAUGAUAUCUGUCUGUAUUCGAUCCGUUUUCAUCCCUAGUGAGCACCAUUCAUUUGUCUCAUUUGAAGAACCAAAGAGAAUAGAAGAUGCAUUGAAAGAUUCCAAUUGGGUAAAUGUCAUGCAUGACGAAUUGAACAACUUCACAAGAAAUCAAGUGUGGGAGCUUGUUGAGAGGCCAAAGAACUAAAAUGUGAUUGGUACCAAGUGGGUCUUUAGAAACAAGCAAGAUCAAGAUGGUGUAGUUGUAAGAAACAAAGCAAGAUUAGUAGCACAAGGCUACACACAAGUUGAAGGUCAUGACUUUAGAGAAACUUAUGCACCGAUUGCAAUAUUGGAGGCAAUUAGAAUAUUAUUAGCCUAUGCUUGUGCCCACAACAUCAAGUUCUAUCAAAUGGAUGUGAAGAGUGCAUUUCUCAAUGGAUAUAUCAAUGAGUUAGUUUAUGUUGAACAACCUCCUGGUUUUGAAGAUGACAAGAAACUCAACCAUGUUUACAAGCUCAAGAAGGCUUUGUAUGGUUUGAAGCAAGCACCAAGAGCAUAGUAUGAGAGAUUGAGAGACUUUCUCCUCUCUAAAGGGUUCAAGAUGGGAAAAGUUGACACUGCCCUCUUCACCAAGAAAUUAGGCAAUGACUUGUUUGUGUUGCAAAUCUAUGUUGAUAAUAUCAUCUUUGGAUCAACCAAUUAAGACAUUUGUGAAGAAUUUGGAAGAAUGAUGGCAAAUGAGUUUGAGAUGUUCAUGAUAGGAGAGCUUAGUUACUUCCUUGGACUUCAAAUCAAGCAAAUAAAGAAUGACACUUUUGUAAGUCAAGGAAAGUACAUCAAGGACAUGAUCAAGAAGUUUGGGUUCUAAGAAGCUAAGCCAAGGAGCACACCUAUGGGCACAAAUGAUCAAUUAGGUAGUGAUGCAAGUGGCAACAUGGUAGAUCAAAAGCUAUACCGAUCUAUGAUUGGAAGUUUGCUCUAUGUCACCGCAUCAAUGCCGGAUGUAAUGUUAGUGUGUGCAAUUGUGCAAGAUACCAAGCUUCACCUAGGGAGAGUCACUUGAAGGCAACCAAAAAAAUAUCGAGGUAUCUCAAGGGCACUCAUGAUGUUGGAUUAUGGUAUCCCAAGGGGUCUAACUUUGAGUUGAUUGGAUAUUCAGAAUUCGACUAUGGUGGCUGCAAGAUUGAUAGAGUGAGCACAAGUGGCACUUGUCAAUUGCUGGGAAGGUCUCUAGUUUCAUGGUCAUCAAAGAAACAAAAUAGUGUUGCACUAUCAACCACCGAGGCCGAAUACAUUAGUGCCGAUAGUUAUUGUGCACAAUUGAUUUGGAUGAAAGCUAUCUUAAAUGACUUUGGAAUCAAAUUCAAGAAUGUGUCUUUGCUAUGUGAUAAUGAGAGUGCAAUCAAGAUGACACAAAAUCUAAUUCAACAUUCAAGAACCAAGCACAUUGACAUAAGGCACCAUUUCAUAAGAGAUCAUCAACAAAAGGGUGAUAUUAGCAUUGAAAGCAUUGGCACCGAAGAUCAACUAGCCGACAUCUUCACAAAGCCACUUGAUGAGAAGAGAUUUUUCAAGUUGAGAAAUGAAUUGAACAUACUUGACUUCUCCAACUUGAGAUGAGUGCACCCCCACAUUUAUAUAUGACAUGCCUCUCCUCCAACAAAGCAAGGUAAAGUUGGUUGACGUAGCAUUCAUACUUUGCUAAGGACAUGAUUAGAACAUAUAGACAUGUUUGCAUGAUAAUAGGCUCAUUCAUGAAAAUCAAAAGCAUUUGAUGUAUGUAUGGCACCACUAUUGUUUCUAUGAUUAAUUGAUCUAGUGGUAGCAUAUGACAUAUUUGUGAGCUUGCAAGCCUAGUGUUGAAUCUAGAAUAUGAGCUUAUGAUGUAUAAUUCAACAUGGUCAAGAUAACCCUUAUACUUGAUGAGGUGUGAAAAAGCUUGUCCUUGGAUCAAAUCGAAUUACAUGUUCUAGGCAAGCGAUCUAGAUUGAACCAUAAUUUGACCCUCACAUUGAUUGACUUAAUUCUCACUAAAAUUUAAACCUUUGUGGUUAUUGAUGACAAAAGGGGAGAGAAACAAAGAUAAGUCCUAAGUAGGGAGAAAAGAUAAGGUAAUUGCUAUUCAAGAGAAAACCUUUUUAAAACUUGAGCACACAAGUAAGGGGAGCAAGCUCAUGAACUAUUUGUUGCAUUUGAAUGUGCACUAACAUAAUGAGGUGUUGCAUUGCAAGUUUAAAUUCACUACUCUUGUUUGAUUGGUGAUUGCUAGAAAUAGAACUUGAAUGAUAUUUUGAAUUCUAGCAUAGAGUAUUAUUUACAUGUGGUAUCUAGACAUAUAAUAUGAUCUCACGUGGUAUCUUGAGUUUUUGAUGUAUGUCUAGCUACAUUGGUGCUAAGGAUGGGAUAUUGGCAACUCCGAUUGGUAUCACGCUUCAAAGGUCCAUUCUAUACACCUUAGCAUCAUUUUGAUAGUAAAAAAUCUCCCAAAUCUCCAAAUCAUGCAUAUGUGCAAACUUGAACCAAACUCACGGAAGCACAUAUGUAGGGGAGCUAGUACUACCAAAACCGAAAUUGAAAUGUUUGUCCAAUCUUGUCUCAUGAUCAAAAUGCUUUGGACAAGCAAUUCAAGUUCUUUAUAAUUUCAUUUCAUAUCUUUGUGAUGGUUGUCAUCAAUUACCAAAAAGGGGGAGAUUGAAAGCCCAAGUUUGGUUUUGGUAAUUAAUGACACCAAGUUACUAAUGUCUUGUGUUUAAGUGAUUUGAGUUAGGCAUAACAACACAUGUGAUGAAGGUGCAAGGUGGCAUGGAAAGGUGGCCACAUGAUUACAAAGAGAUGAAGCAUGAAGUGGAGAUCAUGGUGAUAGACAAGGAGUAAAGUGAUCAAGGCAAAGGUAUAAACAUAGGGUUUUGCUUUUGCCGAUCUAAGUUGAGUAGAGAAGUGAUUGACCGGGUUUAGGACAGAUAGCCGACUAUCAAGAGGGGAAAUCACGAUCAUCUCUCGAAUCAAGUGCUACUAGGUCCAUAUCUUGAGCAUAUACAUUAGGAUCUAGUAAAGUGCUAACCUAACUCCUUUGAUGAAAAUGUUUGUGAAAAGCUAAGACACAUGCACAUUGGUGGUGGUCACAUGGUGGUGUUAGCACAUUUGCAAAGGAGGUGGAGUUCCUAGGGUAGAGAGGAGUUUGGGUUCCUAGAUUCAACGCUUUUGGGAAAUUAAAAUGUAUAUUUUCUAUGGCCCCAAUGGAAAGUUUAGGGAAGUCACGGGAGUGUUUUUUAUUGGAAAAACACUCACCAGACGCUGGCCUCGGAGGCACCUGACGCUGCUCCUGAGUGUCUGGUGCACUCUCAUUUCUGGCAGAGGUGAAGGGAGCAUUGGACACUGAGCAUCGGACGGUGGCCAGACAUUGUUGUUGCGUCCGGUGUUGUCUGACAUCAGCAGGUGUUUCUGACUAAGAGCACUGGACGCUUAGGGCACGUCCGGUGGUGUGAGUUUGGUGUCCCUGUGUGUUUGCAGCGCCCUCUGAGUAAGGGACCGAACGCACAGGGCUCGUCCGGUGGUCUGCGUCCGAUGACCCAGUGCAUUUUACACCCUCUCUGCAUACGGGUCCGGUAAGUGCCUGACACGUCCGAUGCUCAAUUGACCGUGUCUAAUAGUUUGCAGGUGACCGUUAGAGAUCGACGCGCGAAAGUCAAAAGGACAACAUGUAGCUAUCAUCAAGGCACCCGACGCAGGGUUCCAGUGUCUGGUGGCUCCCCGUCGUGCGUCCGGUGCCCCCGAGUUUUGCCUAGUGAUAGAGCCAAUGACUCUAUUUGUUGAGAGGGCUUAUAAAUAGGAGGUGGCCGGCUUUGGGGGAGUCUCUCUUGCACUUUGACAUACUUGAGACAUACUUUUGAGCUAGAGAACACUCCCUCCACUCAUCUCCUUGCUUGAUUGCUAAUCCUAGUGAGAUUGAGUGAGAUACAAGUGCAUUGCUUAGUGAGUUGCAUCUAGUGGCACUUGAUUUUUGAGUUUGCUGUGGAUUUCUUAUUACUCUUGGGUGUUUUCCGAUGCCCUAGAUGGCUUGGAGCAGUGGAGGUGUUGAGCUCGUGAUUGGAGAUUGUUUGGAGCCUCACUAAGUAAUUUGUGAGGGGUUCUUGAGGCUUCCCCAUGGGAGAUCGCAAUUGGCUACUCUAGUAGAUUGCUCAUGGCUUGGAGGAUCCCCAUCUUAGAGUGGAUGUGCGGCACCCGCUGAGGGUUGGGCUUUAAAUUUCCAAUUAGCUCGUGAUCCAUCAAGUGGGUGUAUCGCCACAACGGGGACUAGCUUGCCAGGAAGCAAGUGAACCUUAGUAAAAAAUAUUGUGUCAUAUCUUGCCGAGGAUUCUUCCAUGGUAUAAGAAUGACCCUUUCAUAAUGACCCUUUCAUAAUUCGUGUAGCACUUGCCAGGAAGCAUAAACAUUCGAGGUCGAUGGUAUAAGAAUGCCCCUUUCAUAAUGGCCACAGAUGCUUCACAAGUCUUUUUCUUGGAAGAUACACAGUUAGGUCCAUGUUGGCGAGUGCUACAAGAAUUUGGGCACCGACAUAUAUUUGAUGUCAAAGAGUCUGACACAAACCAACCAAUUCAAGAACAGAUAUAGAUGAGAGGUUAGGAGGCAUACCAAGAGGAGCAUAUUUCAGCUGGAGAUGGUGCAGUGGGAGACAUUUGUCCUGAUUUGGAUUUGUUGCACAUGGAUACUGAACCAGGCAGCCCUAUUAGUAGAGACCUACAAGGAGAUGAAAUCCGGCAGUAGAAACACACACCUCGAGGUGAUGUAGCAGAGGAAGGAGAUGAAGAUGAAGAUCAAACCUAUCUUGAGUACCAUAGUCCAGUAGAAGAAGGCAGUACUUCAGGAGGAGACAUGGAUGACGACUGAACUUUGCAUUUCUGCAUAUUUUCAUUGUUAUUGAUGACUAAUCUUUAAGAUAAGGCAAUACUUCAUUUUGUUAUUGCCUUUGUUGUAUUUGUAUUAUGCUACCAGAAUUGUGUUUACGAUUAUGAAAAUGUAAGACCUCAUACGCAAUGAUUAUGUUUUCAGUACUUGAUGUAUGAGUUAUGGUGCUCAGAAUUUUAUCACAUGUUGCAGGUUCAAGUGCUCAGAUUUAUAUCACAGAAUGCAAGUUGCAAUCCCCAGGUUUAUGACACAUCUGUUGGGUAUUUUCAACACAAACAGAAAAAUCCGCAAGCGCACAGAUACCGAUGUAGCUUUCACCUGGGAGUAUUCUAGAGUAUCGAUUUUGCACAGGGAACGUGAGUGUACUAAUUAAGACUCAAGAUCGCCCAAGGAUAACUAUAUAAUUAUUUUUGCUAGGAAGAGAGGAAGUUUCCUGAGAGUUCUCUAGUUGAUCUAAGAAUCAAGAAUUACUUCAAAGAUUAUUUAUUUCGGGACAUCAGAACAAUAACCACAGAAAGAGAUGAGAAGGGGGCUAGGAAGCUCUGACUACGGUCCUACAAACACCGAUACGAACGAGAUGGAAUACGUCGACCGUUAGGGCUGUCACUAACCUAGGGCUACCACAACAAUCCGCAGGAUUGGGUGCAAUUCCAGGUAAUUGCAAGACUAAACACCACGUCUAAUCUAUUAAUUACUACUCUAGCGUUAUAAAGACUAAAGCACUUGAUGCAAGCGGGAAUCCAAUAAAUAACUUGAAUGUAAAUAAAAGUAAUUAAAGAACUCAGGAAUUAUAAAUUGAAGAACUUGGAGAACGAUGAAGAACGAACUAGUUGCUGCAAAAGAAUAAUGUUGAGGAAGAUCCGACAGAUCCGGCUCCUCCUCCGCUCUCCUCUUCUCUCUCCCUAUUUUCUAGAUUACAACUAGAUCUAACUAGAACUAGAACUAGAGGAACUAGAACUAGAACUAGAUGAACUAGAGGGAUCCUCUCUACUUGGAUGAAGAAUUGAAACUCUAGCUUUGAUUUUGUAGAAGAGGUAUGAUCUCCAAGGGCCAGGGAGCCUUGCUUAUAUAGUCUUUUCAAAUGAAUCUGGGCCGUCGGAUCAAACCGACAUCAAUCACACGGUUUUCCUUGAUCCCUUAGGUCGGUGGAGCAUGAUCUGCAAAGUUGAUCGUGAUUGGUGGAAAAAGGUGGGCAGGCGCCCUAAGGAGUAGGGCGGGCGCCCUGUCCCUGAGCCCUCUCAGCUUCCCGUUCGUUCCGGUGGCUUCUGGAGUCUCCUAGAUGAUAGAAAAUUGCGUGGCAUGUUAAUAUCUCUAUGUAAACCCAACGUGUGGGCCUUUCUUCCGUAUUUCCUGAUAACCCCCUGCAGAAAUAGACAAACACCAAAACUCGUGGAAUUCUGUCAGAUAAAACCCUAAGUCUGGGUGUUGGUUGCAUUUGGAUCCUUUUCCAUGAUUAAUUGACGGUUAAAUGUGAGCAUUAAGGACCGUCAACAAGCUCCCCCAAGCUUAACCUUUGCUCGUCCUUGAGCAAAGAUGAACUCAAGAGUUUCUGCAGUGGUUUCAUGCCUUAAAGGUACACAUGCGUUCAAACAAGAUCUCAGCUCUGGGUUAGGGCAAACUGUUAAGAUUUAAACUUACUCAUUUUACCUUCCACCAUGGGGCUUGCAACCAUCACUUAUGUCUUGAGCAGUUAAAAGAUAGAAUGGUCUAGUCAAGCGCCAUGUCUCUUGUUCUUCGAUUAACUAUAGCUCUGGAGUUUUUGCAGAUUUUCAAAUAAAACUCAGAGAUUCCUUGUAUGACUCUCUCUAGUCUCUCUUUUAUGGUAUUUCUGGAUCCUUACCAAGGCAGUAAUGGUGUAUGCCUUCUCUCAAAGUAUGUGGUAUUUUUGGCAUAAAGCAUAGUGACAUUGCCUUAUCUCUCAUCAUACUCUAAUAAGGCUUUUGAUAUCUGGAGCUCAUAGGUGGGAGACAGCUAAUACAUACUUAUAAGACAUUUAUUGCAUAAUCAAACCAUGGAUCCAGAAGAACAAGUCAAUAAGUCAAAUCAACAUGUGCAUGUGUGGCGAAUGAAUGAUGUAUGGUGAUGAUGGUGAUAACAAUGGUGAAAGUCUAAUUCUACUUGUGCUCUUUUGAGGGGAUACAUACAUUUCUUGCUCUUUUGAAACUUUUUGAGGAGAAUGAGAUGCUCUAUAUUUUAUUUUUCUUUUCUCUCAGGUGGGUAUCUUGUACCCCUAAUUCUACUGUCGGACACUUGUCCAUUUUUACAUCUCGUCUCACUUCUUCCUUUCUUUCGAGGUUCCGGGCACUUGCCCCUUUUUAUUUCCUCGUAUCUUCUCUCUCUUUUUUAGAGCACUCAUCUCUUGAAAUAAUGUAGCAAGUGGUAGUAAACGAAAUAACUUGAGCAUUUAUUUCAUAGGGGAAAAUAGAAAUAGGAGAAUGUCUUUGGCUAUUCUCUCCCGGAUUAGGAGUAGAAUAUUUUUGGAUGGUUCUGGAGAUGGAAAUGGGUGGAUAUAUGUGGAUGCGUACUUCCAGAGUAGAAGCAGCAUGUGUGAGUGAACGUGCAAGUGAAUCUUGAUUUUAACCACAUGACAAGCUCCUAAGGGUCUACACAGCUUGACCACACUCAAUGCUCAUAAGCAGUAAAAAGUAGAUGUGUGGCUCAAAGUCUAGCAAGUAUGUAUAUAUGGCUAUGGUAGGAAUUUAAACUCUCAUCAUACAGAAACUCAUCAUGUGAUAUUUUAAAAAAUUUCAAAGAUAAAAUUCUCCAGAAUUCUAGCAUCUCAAGGAACAAAUAAACAGUAGCUCAACCUUCCCAUAUCAUAUCCAUUAACGACUUAGACUUUAGAUCAAGUACUCUUCCCACAAGUUCAGGUUUAGAACAAAUCUUAAUUAAUAACAGUCAUGCCUAAACUUGAGAGAGAUUUCAAUUUUGAGAACUAGUCAUGGCAGAGCAACUAUUCAUCAUUUCCAUGUGAGAGCUUAUCAUGAGGGUUCAUAGCAAACUUUAUUUAUUUAUUUAUUUAUUUAGCAAACUAAGCAAAGAUAUAUAUAAGCACAAAAUCUUUAUUUGGGUUUUUAUGAUUAUGCAUCUUUUUAUUAUUUGAGUAAAAUAUAAACAUGAGUGGAACGCUUAGCUAGAUAAAUGGGGGUGCUCUCCCCCAAGCUGGAUUUUGACGUAAUUUCUUCUGGUGUAGCUAGCAAGUGGCGGAGGUGUAUUUGAAUGUUGGCAGCACCCUGACAGCGAUUAGGAUGUCCUCCGUCUGCUAGUCUUCUUUGAUCCUUGAAUUCUGUGGAGCUCAAAUAGACAACAAAGCUUUGUGAAACUGGUUAAGUGUUAGCAUAAAUAUCUAGCCUUUAUCAUGUUGAGCCUCCUCAAUAAAUGUUACUCUCUUUAGUAGGAUCAUAAAUUUAUUUUUAUAAUUUUAUUUUUAUAGGACAGGAAUAUAUUUAUUUUAUUUUUAUGCCACCACAGUGAAUGUACUUAUGGGUUUUAUGCCAUGAGCAUACUCACAUGGGGCUUACUAUUUUUAAUAUUUUUAUUUUCUUUUCGAGAUGAUAUGAACCUGAUUAACUAAGCAGACUAUUUUAAAUAAUUGAAAGGAAAAGGAUAACUACCAAGUUUACCUCUUGGCCAGGCGUUCGGUGUUUUUAAGUCUUCCGAACAAGACUCUCUGUUUUCUCAGUCGUCCUGAGAUUCGCUGGACGGCGUAGUCGGUGGUUCCGGCGGCGCCUCCUCUUCGUGUAUAACUAUCUUCUCUCUCCAUACCUGACUCGGUGCUACGGUCUCCUCAAGAUAGUUUUGUUCAAGUUGUAUGUCUUCAGACCUUACAACUUCUCCUUCAUAGUCUACCCAUCCGUCCUUGAUGAUUUGUCUCCUCUGGUUGCGGUUGCGUCGUCUUCUUCUUGUCCUAACCUUCUUAGAGUCUUCCGCUAUAUAGUUAGGGUCAGUGAAAUAGCGGCGUACCUUCUCAGAGGGGAAGUUCAUGUGGACUUCUCCGGUUCUAAUGUAGAUGAUUGCUUUAACGGUGCUGAGGAACGGUCUCCUAAGGAUGAUGGGUGGAUCGUACUCGUCUUCAACAUUUCAGAAUGUCUAUGUGCCAUCUGGAGCUGAAUGUAUGUCGGUUUUAUGGGCAUGGUUCCGAACAGGAGCUGAUAGGUGACUGCGGCCAUUAUAUUGACGCCUGACCCGGUGUCGCAAAGCAUCUUCUGGAAGUUGUAUCCAUUAAUAGAGCACUGGAUGCUUGGCAUACUUGGGUCGUCCUUUUUGGUCAGGAACGGUGACUUAAGUCGACGAUCUUGACCUCCUUGAACUGCAGUGAUCAUCUUAGCUGACUCGGUCCACAUUUGCUUGUUCCUGUCCCUCCUGUUGGUCCUCUUGCUUGGUUCAUAUCGAGAUUGCUCUGAGACUUGUGUAGUCUUGUUCUUGAAGGAAAACAUCUCCUUCCUCCCCUUGAUGUAGAAACUGAUCUUGGCAGCACUAGCGUAGAUGACAGCUCCUGAGGUGUUCAGGAAUGGCCUCCCUUGGAUGAUGGGUGCCCUCUCAUCAAUACCAGUCUCUAUCACCACGAAGUCUGCUGGGGCGUACAAGAUACCAACUCGGACGCAGAGGUUCUUCAAUAUUCCCUUUGGGAAACUUAGUGUCUGAUCUGCAAGAUGCAAACACAUGGUUGUUUCUAGGAAAGGAUGUGUAAAGAAUUUUUCAUAGAGUACCCUGAGCAUAAUGUUGACAGUGGAGCCAAAGUCGCAGAGUGCUUUUAGGAAGUCCACCAUGCCGAUGGAGAUCGGGAUGACAGGGCGUCUUGGAUUGUCUCUCUUGACCGGCAGAAGGUCAGUAAUUACUUCCACAACGGGGUUACUCCAGUAGUUACAUCCUCAAGCAUCUCAGGGCAGUGAUUGCCUGAGUGUCCAGUAUCUCCAGUGUGUUUGUGCUCGUAGAUCUAGGUUCUUCACUUAGUGGAGUCUGGGAGUUGUAAAAGUCCUUCAUAUUUCGCUCGAAGUGUACCUGCUCAUAAAGACAAGGCAGAGAUCAAGUGCAUGGGCCCUGUUGGUGGAAAACACCAACAGAACCAAAAGUGUAUUUGCUCUUCUCUAACCUCAAGUAUAGUGAGCAAGACAAAGUUGAUGGAUAAUAAGAUCAUGAGUGUAACAUUUAAAACAUUUGUCAGAUCAGAUCGCUCAAACUAAUGGAAAGAUAAUCUAUCUAUACUUAUGUUAUAUAUAUAUAUAUAUCUUCCAAAGAUUGCGUGUGCAACAUUUUAGUUCAUAUGAUUAGGAGUGUGGGAUCACAAAGGUGGAAGGACUAAACAUAUUGAAUCGACUGGGUUGGUUAAUCUAGAGUUGUAAAUCAUACAUGUUUAUCUCUUUUAUUCAUGUGAACGCCAGAACCAAGGAGAAGCUUAUAGAAGUGAUUGUCAAGUACCUUAAGAUGUUACCUUACUUGAAGAGUGAUGGUACAGUAUCACCUUAUGGAAGCUUUCCUUUCUUAGCGGUUGUGCAUCGUGUUUGUGGUACCCUCCACGGAUCAUCUCUUGUGAGCUAUGCCUUUCUUGUGUAAAUUGUUAACCUUCAUGCGUCUCUCUCUUUGUCUCCAAUGUGAGUUUAUCUCAGGACUUCCCAGGUCGAUAUUGAAAUUUUUCCUGCAGGGGUUAGUCCAACAAAAUAUCCAAUAUCUACUAUAGCAUACUAUCGGCUCAAAAAUCAACCUAGACACCAUGUCUAAUUUGAUUUAGGAGGGCAUUUUAACCUAAGCACCAUGCUUAAUUUAAAAUCCUUUGGAAGUAAGAUCAUCAUUCCUAAACUAAGCACCAUGCUUAAUUAAGAGAUAAAUGAAACUACUCCAAACCUAGACAUAUACUAAAGCAAAUAAAGGUAGCAUGAGAGCAUUUAUAGAGUUCUACUCAAGUGGAGAUGAAGUAGUGUGAUUAGUAUUUAACAAAUUGAGCAUGUCUCAAAGGUAGGGACAACCAACGUAGCAACAUGGCAAAUGAUGUUUCUAUGUAAAGUACUCCCCCAAGCUUGAAUUUUGCAAAAUUCAAGUUUGGAUGAAUUUAAUUCAAUGUUGUAUGAUGAUUGGUUGGACAUACCUUGUGCUUGUCAUUCAUUCGAUCUUCUUGCUCCAAUCUUGGAAAGGUUAGUGACAAGAAUACCCGAAGAAUUUUUUUUACAAUUAUCCUUAUAUGCUCAAUACACAAGGUAAUAUUGCAAAUAAUUAAAAGCUCAUGUUAUGAUCUGAUCAGUGCUUAUUUUAGGACACUAAGCUUGUCCUUGGGAAACCAUCAAUUUAUGUCGGCGAAGUGGUUUCCCCUUCAACGCUGACCUAUAUCAAGAUCAACUCAACGAGAUCUGCAAUAUUUAUUAUAGACAUAUGUAUCGACAACUGCCCUUUUAAACUUUUUAUAAAUAGAAAGGAUGAGGGGGUUGGAGAUCUCGAAUGUGGUGAUGUUGGAGAGACCAAAAGAUUGGGAAGAUGUUGCAUAUGAGCAUGGAGUAAAUGAAGUGGCUAUGAAUUAAAUUCCAUGCUCAUUAAUGCAUAGAGUGAAAUCCAUGUGGUGUGGUGAAAAUGGUAAUUUAAGGUGAGUGUGGUAAAAAAAGGAAAAGAAAAAAGAUACACGGACGACUUGGUUUGAAACUAGCACAGCUACCUUCCCCGGCAACGGCGCCAGAAAGCUUGUUGGGUAUUUUAAACGCAAACAGAAAAAUCCGCAAGCGCACGGAUACGAUGUAGCUUUCACCCGAGAGUAUUCCAGAGUAUCGAUUUUCCAUAGGGAACGUGAGUGUACUAAUUAAGAUUCAAGAUCGCCCAAGGAUAACUAUAUAAUUAUUUUUGGUGGGAAGAGAGGAAGUUUCCUGAGAGUUCUCUAGUUGAUCUAAGAAUCAAGAAUUACUUCAAAGAUUAUUUAUUUCGGGACAUCAGAACACUAACCACAGAAAGAGAUGAGAAGGGGGCUAGGAAGCUCUGACUACGGUCCUACAAACACCGAUCCUAACGAGGUGGAAUACGUCAACUGUUAGGGCUGUCACUACCCUAGAGCUACCACAACAAUCCGCAGGAUUGGGUGCAAUUCCAGGUAAUUGCAAGACUAAACACCACGUCUAAUCUAUUAAUUACUACUCUAGCGUUAUAAAGACUAAAGCACUUGAUGCAAGCGGGAAUCCAAUAAAUAACUUGAAUGUAAAUAAAAGUAAUUAAAGAACUCAGGAAUUAUGAAUUGAAGAACUUAGAGAACGAUGAAGAACGAACCAGUUGCUGCAAAAGAAUAAUGUUGAGGAAGAUCCGACAGAUUUGGCUCCUCCUCCGCUCUCCUCUCCUCUCUCCCUAUUUUCUAGAUUACAAUUAGAUCUAACUAGAACUAGAACUAGAUGAACUAGAGGGAUCCUCUCUACUUGGAUGAAGAAUUGAAACCCUAGCUUUGAUUUUGUAGAAGAGGUAUGAUCUCCAGGGGCCAGGGGGCCUUGCUUAUAUAGUCUUUUCAGAUGAAUCUGGGCCGUCGGAUCAAACCGACAUCAAUCACACGGUUUUCUUUGAUCCCUUAGGUCGGUGGAGCACGAUCCGCAAAGUUGAUCGUGAUUGGUGGAAAAAGGUGGGCGGGCGCCCUAAGGAGUAGGGCGGGCGCCCUGUCCCUGAGCCCUCUCGGCUUCCCGUUCGUUCCCGUGGCUUCUAGAGUCUUCUAGAUGAUAGAAAAUUGUGUGGCACGUUAAUAUCUCUAUGUAAACCCGACGUGUGGGCCUUUCUUCCGUAUUUCCUGAUACCCCCCUGCAGAAAUAGACAAACACCAAAACUCGUGGAAUUCUGUCAGAUAAAACCCUAAGUCUGGGUGUUGGUUGCAUUUGGAUCCUUUUCCAUGAUUAAUUGACGGUUAAAUGUGAGCAUUAAGGACCGUCAACAACGUCAUAAUGUCAUAUAAUGCCCAAAUUUUGUCAUGGAAUGUACUGAAACCGUCACAAAAUGUAUAUGCUGAAAGUAGCUAUACCAAACAUUCAUCAAACACAAGUAAAUCACCAUAAUGACACAGGACAAUAUCAUGAAAUGCAAAUAAUUUGUCAUGCAAUGUAGAAAUUUUGUCACAAAAUGUACUGGCCAGAAAAAACUUCCUAGAUUUCUCUAUUAUCAUGACCAAAGACAAUGUCAUUAAAAGUACACAAGCUAUCACAAAAGAUACAUGCACACAACAGAUGUCCAAGGGGACAAAGGCCCAUAGUUCAUAACAAAGACAAAUCUAGCAUAAUAAGUUCAUUACAUCAUUUUCACCAACACCCUGCUUCAUCAGCCUUGCCUACUUGAACACUACAGCUAGCACCAAACAGAUGCCCAACACCUUCAUCAGCCUUGCCUACUUGAACACUACAGCUAGCACCAAACAGAUGCCCAACACCUUCAUUAGCCUUGCCUACUUGAACACUACAGCUACAACCAAUAAAAUGGCCAACAGUAGAAACAGUGUUACAUUCACACAUCCACAGACUAGACAAAUGCAGCUUGCCAUGCCAUCCUUGUUCUUCACUACCACUUCAUUCAGCUUGUUCAGGCUUUGGGUGAAGCUUUCAAUUUUGCCUACGUCCUUGGCAACUUUUGUCGUCCUCGCAGCUGAUUGUAUAUAUCCAUUAUCCUCUAGAUAGAGCACAUAUUCUUCCUCAAACCAAUAGCUAGAACAUGUCCCCUGCACCACAUUGCAAAUCAAUUAAAUUUGGUCAACGAAGAUAAAAAAUUGGGGUCCAAAAAACUGUCACAGCCAACAACACUCACAUAGCUUUGCCUAGCACACUUGAAGUAUCUUUUUCCACGGUUAACCUCAGAUUUCAUGGUAGUGGCAGCAAACACCCUCCUAUCCUUACAUUCAGGGCACUUUAUCAAUGGCAACUUCAACACUUCAUCAAUUGGUGCCUCCGGAUCGACAGUUCCAGACAUGUCAGGUGGUGAUGUCCGCCGAGUGCGAGCAGUACAUGAUGACACCUGAGACAUGAGGCCUGAUUGAGAGACAUGGGCUCAUUAGGUCAUCGACAAACAUUUCCUCAUGAAAAGCAUGGACAAUUUAUCAUUGCCAUUGGAAAUAAUCUUAGAAUAGCUACAACAUGAACAACAGUAGCAGCACUAGCUUGGACUUGAGCUCAGGUAAAUUAAUUAGAAGAACAACUACUAAUAAUCAUUCAAUCUACAUGAAUUCUCUGGGUUGUUGGACACUCCUAGCUGCGCUUGAACACCGAUUGAGACCGGUAGAUGAUGAGGCCUGAGACAUUAUCACUAAAUAAAAUGGAUAUUAAUUAGGCAUAGCAUUAAGCAUAGCAUUACACAUCAAUUAGGGAAGAUAACUCUGUGAAACAAAACAAGUUGGGGGAGAUGAGCAGAGGGGGGACGCGGAGGGGAUGAGGGUGCAUCGAAGGUGUCCGGGAGGGGGAAGAGGGUGGGUGGCACCUGGGGAGAAGGCCAGAGCCUAGCGCGCCUAGGAUUGGAGAGAGGGAUAUACCUGCCUCCACCGGUGCCUUGGUCCCCGCUGAAAUCACCGAGAUGCCGCCCUAGACUCCACCCACCAGCGCCCAAACGCCGCCACGUUGUCGACGGGGAAGAGGGAUAGGGGACCCGCCGCACCGUCCUCCACCCUUCGCCGUCGGCCCCUCGCUCCGUGCUCACCGCCCUCCGCCACGCCCGCGACGACCUCGCCUCCCUCCCUCAAUUCAGUUGACGCCGGGAAGAUGGGGAAAGUGAAGUGGUCAACGUAUAUGGAUAGGGUCCACCUACAAGGAGUAUAUUUACUCUGUGAAUGGUCAUUUUUGGAACUUACUUAUUGUGACACAAUUUAAACAUCACAUAAAGUCACACCAUAGUGUCAUAAAAGGACAAACGACGACAGGUGCCCCGUGUUUGGCAAUUUGUGACAAACCUGUUGACCUUUAUGUGACACAUUAGAUACCAUCGUCACAAAUACAUCUAGGUCUCACAACUUUGUGACGACACAAAAAAUAUCGUCAUAUAAAGCCACAUUAUGUGACAAAAACUACCCCCGCCAUAAGCUAUUUUGUCACAAAAAGAUAGAUUUCUUGUAGUGCUUGUGCUUGUGAUUGUGAUUGUAAGUGAUUGAUUGGUCAUAUUCCUACUCUACAACGUUGGUAUAACAAUCACUCCCCACUCCUUUACUUACUUGCAUACCUUGCUAGAUGUUUAGCUUGUUUAGCUUAGCCUUCUUGUUUAGGAGUGUAGAUAGUUUUAGUUGUGCUUUCUUGUUGUGACUUAGUGUUUAGCUUUCUUGCUAGAAUUGUGUAGGUGGCUUGCAUAGUUUAGUUGUGCUAGUGCUAGAAUAGCUUCGCCAUUUAUUUUACUAACACACUUGCUUAGUGAAGUUUGUAGAAAAUUUAAAUAGGCUAUUCACCCCCCCUCAAGCCAUUUGGACCUUUCACAUGAACCUUAGUUCAUUUGGGGAUUGAAGGAUAACCAUUUUUAGGAGGAAGGCUAGGCAAAGUCAGCAUGGAGGGAGACUAGAAUAUUUGGGAGAAUUGGAUUUGGGGCAAGGUUUUACCCCUCUGCGCCCAGUUGUUAAAGAAGGCGAAUUGGGAAAUUGAAUUGUCUUGUCAUUGCUUAGCCUCAACAAGAGCUAGUACAUGGAUAUAUAUAGGCAUUUGACCUGCUAAAUAAAGAGACUCCAUAACUCCCUAUAAAUCCUCUAAUUAUUGCCUUCUUGCAUGUUGGUUAGCAUGCAACUCCUUGGUUGCUGUUGGCGCCGUCUGGGCACUGCCUUUCCUACAUGCUGAUCCGCUCCUUGUUGAUCCUUUGUUGACCAAAUUUUGUUGGAUAAUUGCGCCCGCUAUGGACACCAUGUAGGUGGUCACCAUGCAAACCCCGCUGUCCACACAAUGUGUUGUAGACUUGAAGUGCCAAAUUAAUUUAGAUAUGUCAAACUAAAGGUCUAAUCAUGUAGAGGUAGUUGAAAACUCCAUCUAAAUUGGCUUAUAACUCAUAUACCAAAUCCCACAUUGAAGGAUCUGAUAUAGUUGCGGCAAUUACUAUCUUCGAGAUACAAGGUAGAAAUAAUGAUAAGGAAUGAAUCUAAUUGAUUAUGAGGCCCUAGAUAAGACCCUAGAUUAAAAAGCGACCCAAAAGAUUCCACCAGACGUGCUAAUCUUAUCCAUCAAUCCAAAAAUUGAAGCAUAUGAGAGUAGUGCUAAAGGAAGGGAUUGAAUGAACCUGCAGAUGGAUUGAGAGCUUCUAGAAAAGCUUGGAUGCGUCGGGUGUUGGCUCUGAUGACCAAAAUCGGAGGCUCAGGUGUUUCCAUCAAGGUCUAUACUGCACCACAACAAGUCUUGCUCCACUUCGGGGCUAAUAGAGAAAGAUGCCCGAGCUUCUCAUAGUUCCCACACUUUCUUAACCACUAGUGCCACCUCUAUCUCAACGGCCCGAGCACUGCUGCUGCACUUGCCAUUGCCUCGCUUGCCACUAUCGUGCUCGCGUAGCAUGUGCGACACCACCGCUAGCUACUUUUUGGGGUUUCAAUGGGUUCCAAUGUUCUUUAAGUGUGACUGGAUAUGGCUCUCGAAGGUUAUGCUAAUGCAUGUUGGUUUUUCCUAGGCUGGUAACGGGCCAACAACUAGUUUUAUUAAACCAUUGAACAGACUAAUUAACACAUGCUAAAAUGGAUUCUAACUUAAUAAAAUGCACUUUCUUUGUUUUCAAACAAGUUUUAAAAAAUUUCUUACAGUAUCGUAAGAGUUUCCAAAACUCGCUCUCAAUCUUGAUUUUUUAGUAGGAUUAAAAAAAGUCUCUCUUCUUAUCCUAACUUCCAAUCUUUUUUUAGGCAAUUGAUUGAGACGCGUGAAAAGAUAAAUGUGCGGGUGACUUGAAAUUUGCAUUAAUGCGACUUCUCCUAACUUUUUUUUCGCACCAAGAAAUAAGUUGCCACUCCCAUCUCUUCCUACCAUCCCCUAGGGAUUCAUCAUCACUACCUCCACCGCCAAGAAGGUAAAAUCAGUCAUUUUGCAUAGCCUCUAUUUUGCAUGCCCUAGCCAAAGUCUAGAGGUCUUUAACCAACCCAUCCACUAAUGCUUGGUUGUUGCUGUUUUUUAGUACAUUGUGCCAAGCUGUGGGCAACUAUAGUUGCGUAGGGAUGGCUGCAGCGGCUGAGGAUGGCUGUUGGCCACUUGUUGCCGGCUAGGGCGUGCCUAAAGGUGGUCAGGAGGCGGUGAGGUUGUGGGCAACAUGUACAAUCUAUGUAGAAAGAAGAUCAAGUUGCACCUAACAAACCUUUAUAUGUGAUCUUUUCUAAUUUUUUUAAUGAGAUUUAAAAAACAGUUAGAAUUUAACAGAUAUGUUGACAACUCUUUUUAGCGACUUAAAAACUUAUUGAUUUACGAUUUUUUUUAUAUUAUUAAAGAUUUGCUAACAUCUUCCUACUUGUUAUCACCACCAUGUAAACCUAAAAGUCCUAAAAAAUCUUAGAGCUCAUAUAAUGUACAUAGAAGAUGUGCACUAUAUAAUUUGUUAAGGACGUGACACGACUAAAAUUUUAGCUGAAUUUUAGUUUUUUAUGUGACAAUUAUGACAAAUAUUUUAUAUUAAAAUUAUCGUUUUAGUUGUUGCAAUUUAUAUAGUCAUAAUUUAUCAAUUUUCAAAGCCAUUCAGUAAAAUCAUAAAUACAACAAACCCUUAUCUGUGUUAACACAAAGAUAAUUAAUAAUUUACUAUUAUAUUAGAUACAAGACAACUAAUAAAUCAAGGAAAUAACAAUUUAAUUACUUUAAUUGAUUUUAUAAGAGUGUUACUAAAAAUUAUCUUAAAAUUCAGACAACCAAAAUAUUACUCUCUACAUCUUAAAUUAUAAGUUAUGCUAAGAAUCUUAUAGAGUCUAAACAUCUUAGGUUUGACUAAAAUUAUAGAAAUAGUUAUAAAGAUUUAUGAAAUCAAAUAAAUAUACUAUGAAAAUAUAAUUAAUGAAGAUGGAGUGAGUAUAAGAGAAAUGAUAAAAUAUUUGGAAGGAAAAAAAAAGAAAGGAAAAGGGUGCAGGCUUUUGAUUUGCUUCGGUCUCCUAUUUAUAGCCAACUGCCCCGAAAGCGAUCUCGUCUCGACUCAUCUCAUUUUUUUCUCAUUUCGCCCCCUCCACUGUUUCAAUAAUAAUAAAAGGAUUCUCGAUUCGAUUUCCUCGCCAAUUUUUCCGGUGAGCGGCGGCGAUCGGCUUCGGAUCGGCGCAGCGGAGAUGGUUGCCGUGGCGGCGGAGGUCGCGAUCCGCGGUGCGGACGCCGUGCCGGCGGCGGAGAGGGAAGCGGUGAGGGCGGCGGCUGCGGAGGCGGCGGCGAAGGGCGGUGAGGGGGAAUCGGGGAAGGAGGAGGUGAGGUACUAUGCGAGCGACAUUAGGAAGCUGGAGGAGCUGUUUUCGAAGCUGAACCCCUCGGCGGAGGAGUUCGUGCCGCCGUCGCGCCGCCGCGUGGACGGCGGCGCUCGUCGCCUCUCGGCCGACGCGCCCGUGUUCGUGUCGCCGGCGAUCGACUACUACGCGCGCCACCACCAGCUCCCGCCGCCGCCGCUGCAGCAGCAGCAGCCGAUGCACGUGCUUCAGUUUGUGGGUGGCGUCGGCGGGGGUGGCAUGGGUGGCGGCGGGGGGAGGGACUCAAGCAGCGAUGGAUCCGUCAAUGGUCAGCCGAAUCGACGGGUAAUCAUUGAAUUGCCGAGUCCGAUUCGUUGCGGAUUGUCUCCGGGUAGGGGUUUGCAGUGGGCUGUUUCUGGGUCGAUCGAUCGGUCGGCUUUGGACUUCUUUGUGAUGUUGAUGGCUUUGGAUUUUUGGUCACUCUCGCGCCAUCGCUUGGGGGAGCUGAUCUUUUGGGAGGGUUUUAGGUCUAGAUUGGUUGCAAUAUAAAAUUCAAUCCAUCUGCCAGGAUCAAUUGAUACUGAUACUCUAUGAUACAUGGGAUGUUUAAAAGAUUCUUAUCAGCUGAUUACUUCCUGAUCUCCUGCCAAUGAAUUUUCUGUCAUUGGAUUUUUCCUUAUGGUUUCUUUCUCCGUUAUAUUCUCCCAACAUAUUAUUCGCCAGUGCUAUGAGUUGGGUAAUACAAUUGGAGUACUUUCUUGAGAAUAAUCAGCUGCAUUUGGUCUGUGUUUACAGAGAAGGAAUGGUUUCAUCCAGGGGAGGAGAAGGAUGAUGGGUGGCCGGCCUCGUCGAUCUGACAGGGAGGAUAGUGUGCGGCGGACAGUCUAUGUCUCUGACAUUGAUCAGCAUGUAAAUUCUUGAGAAUGAGCUAUCGUGUUUGGGUAUAUUUAGUUUUAUUUUUUUUCUUGAUCUGUUGAUCCCUUUGAUUUGCAGGUAACUGAACAGAAACUUGCUGAAGUUUUUUCAACCUGUGGACAGGUGUGUUCUAAGGUUCCUGAUAUUCAAUCUAGUUGCGAUCAUAUGAUUUUUAUUCGUCUAUAUUCUGAACACCACAAAUAAUGAAAUAUGAACAUCCUACCAUUUUUCUUACAUGUGCUUAGCUCAUUUGUAAGUUGUAUCUACUCUGUAAGCAUGUCUGGUGGGUGCUCAUGGUUAUGUGUGUGCUGGUUGGUCUUUGGCCCUUUGGACUUUAUGUUGAUUGCAUCCGAUGUUUGUAUUUUUUAGUAUCUGGUUUUGUGCUAGGAUGUAUGAACUUGUUAACAAGUUGGAUAUGACUGUAGUUUUGUUGAUCCUGAGUAAUGAAAUUUCGGUUCCCUCAGUAUGGGGGAAAACUGAUCACAACAUUUGUCUUUUGGGCUUAAAGAUUGCAGGGGGCACACUUAUUAUCUGGAAGUUUCAAAUACAUGGACAUUCUGUACCUUGUUAGAAUACUGGCACCUUUGCAUUAUAAAUAAGCUAUCAUGUGUACAAUUGAAAUCUUAGUCUGUAAUUUGUAGGAUAGGUGAACAAAGAACGAAUUUGCAAUAUAAUCUGUACACAUAUUUUCAAUUUUGAACUUAAUUAGGUGUCAUCUGGUCAUCUGGACUUAUAAUUCAGUUAAUUGCACACAAAAAAAUUAAAUCAGUUACUUGUUAUUUGUAACGGAUUCCCAUAAUUUUUAGGUUUGCCAUGUUUUCUUGAAUAGAUGCUAGCCAAAGGAUAAUGUCUCUUGCAGAAUUAAGAUCAACAUGGUCUAACCUUUUGAAUCAAUCAAAUACUUAAUGCUUUUCAUGGAAUUGCAGAUUUGUGCUUCUGGUAUACUUUUGUCAAGAAAGCAGGCAUCUAUUUUUUAUUCAUCUGAGAAAGUAGAAACCAAAAAUUCUCUCUUGGGUAACCAAUGGCCACUGAGCUUGUAAAUCCUGUGCGUAAUCAGCCCAUGAAAUGAUGAUGGUGAGGUCUCCUUGAGUGCUCAUGUAGACCAUAGUCUUUAGGCACGUUGUUUGCCCCCUUGCGCUCCCUGUGCUCAAAUCUAUUUGAUCCAACCAGGCAGCAACGCCUCCAGAUACUGAAGCUGCAGGUCCAGCCAAGCCAUUUUCCCGGGUUUUCUGUUUCAUUUGUUAUGCUUGGGUGUUGAGUUUUUUACCUGUGUGGCCACAUGGUCCUCCUGAUUGCCUGGUAUACUCCCUCCUUGUCUAGAAAGCAUCAAGUUGGUACACUAAUCAUCUACCUAAGAUUGGUUAGAAAUAUUAAGGAAAGAUGGAAGUUUGAGUUCAGAUUGAUAAGCAUGAAUGGUUCUUCCUUAGUCAAAAAAAGAAGAAUGAUUCUUCCUUUGGCAUUUCAAAAGGGACAGUGACAUCAAAUUGGGGUAUAUGGAUUAUAUUAUUUCACGAAACAUGAGUACUACCCAUAUGGAGAGUUAAAUCCAUAUAAUGUAAACAGGUAGCUUAAACAUGGUCGUUUCACUGCACGCUGUCCACUGCAGUUUCAAAAUGCUUCAUAAUGUGGGCAAUGUUCACUGCACCCUGUCCACUGCAGUUUCAAAAUGCUUCAUAAUGUGGGCAAUGUUGUGUGGUUACAUUUUAUCUCUCUAUGUUUGACUUGUUAUGACACAUCUUUUUCACAUGUAGGUGGUAGAUUGCCGUAUCUGUGGUGAUCCUAACUCAGUGCUCCGUUUUGCUUUUAUCGAGUUUGCUGAUGAUGGUAGUAGCUUUUGACACGCCAAUUGUUAUUUGAUAGUCUUAUGUCGGUGUAAGAAACAUUCCUUAAUGAAGCUGCUUUUUCUGCAGUUGGUGCACAAGCUGCACUAGCACUUGGUGGAACCGUGCUUGGCUUUUAUCCUGUCAAGGUUCUGCCAUCAAAGACCGCAAUUUUGCCUGUGAAUCCUAAAUUUCUUCCUCGAGUAAGUAGACAAAUAAAUUUACAUUAUCUGUUAAUCUUAAAUCUCUGUAAUAAAUGCAUUAUUUUUAUUUUCCUGCAGACUGAGGAUGAAAAAGAAAUGGUAUCCAGGACUGUGUAUUGUACUAACAUUGACAAGAAGGUAUGCUUUGUGCUAUAUCAUUUCUGUUUCCCUUUUAUUAUGGUAAUGUUAAUUGGUGAAAUGUGAAAAUAAAAGUCAUUCCAAAUGAUAAGGUCUCCUUUUGGGGCCUUCUAUUUUUUUUUUCUGCUCAAAUGCUAUAUAUAAUUAUUGUACUACAACUUAAGGCAGAUAUGUUUACAUAGAAACCAAGUUUUUUUUGGGUGUGUGCAAGGGUUCUUGCCCCUUUUCUCCUACAACUAAAAAGACUAAAGAAUGGACAAUUUUUGGUGCAACAAUCGACUUUGGUUCGUCCGUCUGCCGUGCGAUACCUUCCCCGCGCACUCCCUCGCUCCCCCAUGCGCGGUGGGCCUGGUCUUGCACAGUCCCCACGGAAUCCCCCUCUCUCAUGCGCCGCUCGUGGAGUCCUCGUCUCCCCUGACCCGCGCCGACUCCUCUUCUCCCCCACACGCUGAUGGAUUCCUCUCCGCCAUGCACCGAUGGCCACUAGGUCGCGCACGUCUAGGGCGAACACCCAGCCUGAUCCGACCACUGUGGCGAUGACGCACGCAGCCGAGCGCGACGCCACCACCUUGUCCCUGUCGCCGUCCCCGUCCCUCUCCACGCCGGCCCCUCACACCCUACGCCAGCUGGAUCCUCCGUCCACCCGCCGUGGCGCCGCGGCUCGACCGGUCGAGCGGAGCGGAGAUCCAUCCAUCCGGCCGUCGGUCGGUCUCGUCAUCUGUUAUUGGUGAGUGCCUUCUAGCUGCCUCGUUUGCCUGGAUAGAUAGAUUCUCGUUCAGAUUGUAGUUGAAUCCAAUCUCCCUAUUUUUUCUCCCUUCAUUGGUUCACAAUUCUAAUUACUUUCUGCUAUUGCACUAAGUCAGGAUCCUGCCUCGUAGAAAAAACAGUGGCUCCUAGAACUCUGGAUUUGCUGCAGCGUUACCAGAUCCAUCAUACUAUAGUAUUAGGCUACAAUACUUGCACAUGUAUCUUCUGAAAAAGGACGUAGACAUUGCUUUGAGAAUUAACGAAUUUGACAUUGCUUAAUCUAAUAAAGGUGACUAUGUUCUAAUGAAUAAUUUUUCUAAUUAUCUAAUAUACUGUUUUCUUACGAAACUGUCCUCAUAAUUUGUUUGGUAAAAAUUCGAUAAGUAGACUGACAUUAUCGUGCAAUCGGUGUGUCCAACUAAUAAUUUGUUUUUUUAUUAAAUUUCAUUUUAACACUAGUAUUUAAUUAUACAGUAUUGUUAUCGUGCAAUCGGUGUGUUUUUAAUAUAAAAGUUUAGUUGUCCCGUAGCAACGCACGGGCACGCUACCUAGUCUCUUCUUAAUAUAAAGGAGAAAAAAUUGUACUACAACUUAUUUUUGUGUGUAGAUUGGAGAAGAUGAAGUGAAGCAAUUCUUCGAGGGAACAUGUGGUGAAGUAUGUGAUCUCUAUGCUCUUAUUGUAGGCAUGUGUUCUUUUACAUGACUGAGUAUAAUAAUAAUCUAGAUACAUAAUUAUCUUCCUUUUCCUUUAGGUUUCUCGUCUGAGGCUACUUGGUGAUUAUGUGCACUCCACAUGCAUUGCCUUUGUUGAGUUUGUCCAAGUAAGUAAAAAUGGAACUUCAAAAUUUAAUAUAGUCUCAAAUAAAUCAAUUUCUAUAUCAGAGAUAAUGCCAAACACAGUAAAUGAACAACACAAACACUUUUUUAUGUAAACAUUCCCUGUUGGAAAGGUGAGAAAUGCAAUAUUUUGUUUGUAAAAUCGGCUAAUUGGCGAUUGCUUUCAUGCUUCAUAGCAAUUUCGUCAUUGAACUUAGCUUUUCCAUCCUUCCACAUCGUAUUUCCUUCAGACUGAUGAUUCACUCUCAAAUGCUUAGUAUUUACCUGAUUCAUAUUUGGAUCAUUUAUUUGCAUUGCAUCUGACAUCAUUGAUUAAGCAAUAAGCAAUAGUUAUCUUAUUAACUGAGGGCUAUUAGCAGUCAUUUGAAUUUUUCAUUUCUGUUUUGGGUGGCAAGUUUCAAGAGUUUCUACUGUAUUAGAAAGCUUCUUGUACAUUAUUAUCAUGUAGAACUGAUGUCAAGCUGUAAGGACUUUUUGUUUCCUAACAGACAAAGUAAGGUCAAUUACUGAUUCACACCACAAGCAAUCGUAGCUGUAUCCACCGACACCUUUCUCCUGGCUUCAUCUGCAUCUCAUCUUCCUACUGCUUUUAUUCUAUGUCAGCUGCCAGUCUUCUAGAAACUUGUUACUCCCUCUUACAAAUUUGUCCAUGGCUUCAGGGAUAUAUGUUCCAGAAGAUUUCUCCAUUGAGAUCAAGACUAUAGUUAUAUCUAUGUUUUCAUUAUCUAACUCUAAUCUAAUAAAAUGCUUUGAAAGAAGUUAAGUACUUCUGUCAUAUUAUUCGUUAGGGAUAUAGAUGGUCAUUUUACUUCAAUAUUUUUCUUUCUGGAAAUGGCACAUCCUUGGUGGCUAUGGAUGAGUAUUGUAGAACAGAGGGAUUAUUUUACAUCCUCUUACACGGCACACAUAACCAUAUGUGUUCACGUUACUUGGAUCAUUUAUGCUUCUCAGUCUUGAGUCCUAAUUGUUAUAACAUAGAUACUUCAAAUGACAAUGUCAUUUUUUGGGCGUAGUUUCGGGUUUUUGAAAACAUACUGAUAUAAUACAUGCGCCUGUAAGGUCAGCAAGUUGUGGGCAAUUUUGUGGUUUAUGUUGGGCGACGACCUGUCAGCAGCAAACAAGCACCCAGUAACCUUGAACUUUCAAGUAUGAAACUUAUAAGAACAUACUUUCAACUGAAACAUUUGUGUUUUAGCGAAUUUCGGUCACCAUGUCGCAAAGCAAUUAACUUCCAAGUAGUACCGAAACAAACUUGGGCUUCAUUAAUGUUUAUGAUAUCUGUAGUGAUCCAAAAUGGAGCUGUCAGUUACUUCGCAUGCAGAGAAUAGAAAUGUAUACCUGUAUAUGUAAUGUAAUUUUAACAUGUCAUAUCCUGAAGUUAAAUAAUACAUGCAGUUCGACUGGUUACUCAAUGAGUCAUAUCUCAACCAGUUGUCUGUGAAUGGUGUCUCCACAAAGUAUUUAUUAAAAUUGUUAAACUGCAUGCAUCCAAAAGCACCCUUUAUAUUUUAGUGUCCCCUGAGGUGCACAAGCACAACACUAGUCAGGCAGCUCUGCCUAAUCUAGCAAUCUCCAAUAGGUGAUCAGGCAGGCGGCAGGCCUGGCCUUAUCUGGUAAUGUUGUGUACUUGUGUUGACUAGGAAUUAUCUGCUGACACCUUGGGCAAUUAAUUCCUUAUUGAAGUAAUAGUUUCAUUAGAUAAACACAAUUUAUCUCAAUGACUUUUUCUGACAAGAGUUUCUUUCUUUGACACCUGCAUCUGCAUUUCUCUCGGCUUCUAGCACCACUUCUAUUUUUGUUUCCUUUUAAUGAUAUGAAACCAAUAUCUUUGAAUUGAUGAAAUGUUUAGUUGCCUGACGAUUUGUUCCUUUUUAGAGCUUGACCAUUUAAAAUUCUGUUUAUGCAGGCAGAUAGUGCUAUUCUUGCUCUGAACUGCAGUGGCAUUGUUCUUGGAACGCUUCCUGUUAGGCAAGAACAUAUUUUCUGCAUGUGUUCGAAAGUUCUGACUAUGGUAAAGGUGUCUGUUGCCCAUUUUUUGCUUACCCUACUCUGUACCGUUGAUUUUUGCAGGGUGAGCCCAUCAAAGACACCAGUCCGCCCUCGAUCGCCCCGUGUGACGUCAUACUGAGUUCGGCUCAUCUGAAGCCGUCGUCCAGGGCAGCAAAUUUCUGGGCAGCAAAGCCUUAGUCGUGUGGCCUUAGAGACUGUCGUUUCGCGGAUCAGUAAUUGUUGUUGAGCAGAGUUCUCGUUGGUUAAAAUCUAGUCUAGUAGAAGGCCCCUCAGCUGAUGUUUCUCGGAUCAGAGACCCACCAUCUGUAUGGUCGCUGAUGGGAGAUCUAUUUUGACCUCCUUUUUUUUUGGUCUUUGUUAUCAUGGUUGGAUUCUAUGACAGCCUUGACAGUCAUUCGAACAAUAAUGUCUAUGGCUUCUCUUAUCCGCUUUCGUCUUUAAGCAUGUUUUCCCAAUGACUGUUGUGCACAAAUGCUGUUACUGCUCCGAGGCGGAACUGUCUCAGGAGUCAGGAUAGGCCUGAGGCACUCGCCCUGUAACAGCAUUUCUAAUAUAUGCAUAAUCUUUGAUUUAGAGGGAAGUCGGUGUAUAUAGUCCAUGAUUAGUGGUGCAAUUAUUAUAGAUAUAAACGUUAUUUCCGUGUGGAAGUGGGAGGUGCUUUCCUUAUUUGUUUCGUUAGAUCUGGAAGACGGACGACCACUUCUCUUUUACCAUCUCGUGGUUCGCAUCUUUGAUACUAACAAGUACUGUUAAAAUUGAGCGCGUUGAGCAAGCUUGCGCGUUGAGCUAUAAUUAAUUUAACAAUACUCGAAUUUUGCACUUAAGAUCGUAAUUGGCUAAUUGGAUAUUUGCGAUCAGAUGGGAAUAACCAAGCUUUAUUUUCCAAUGAGGCUUUGUUUGUAGGAUGCCUUGUUUGUGUUGAAAUAUAAAAUGGUUUGCUCACUUUUCAUUUCAUUUUAAAUUUUUGUUUUUGGUUAAACUAAUCUGUGCAUGUAACUUGAUAUACUACUUGAUACAGAUGUUUUGAGUUCGAAUUUUAGCUAGCAUAAUUAAAUAUAGUUGUUGGUCGUCUCUAUUUUACAACUAUGAUCUUAUGGAGCCUCCACGUAAGAUGAAGUAUGAUCUUAUGAAGUUAAUGUUCAUUUUUUGUACCCGCUUAAAUUUUUUCAUCAUAUUGACCGGUGAUUAAAACCUUUCUUUAAUUAAUUUUGCAGACCAUAAUAUUUCGUUUGAACGGAUCAAAUAGAGAGACCGGUUGCCGCACCAUUUAAUGCCCGUUCGUUUAAAUUACCGAAUGUACUAGUCAUUAUUCUUCUAUCGUAACAAAUCAGUUAGAUAUAAUUUUUUAAAAAAAUUUUAACACUGUAGCAUUUUCAUUUUUAUUUGACAAACAUUAUCCAAUCAUGGAGUAACUAGGCUUAAAAGAUUCGUAUCAUUAUUUACCCGUACACUGUGCAAUUAGUUACGUAAGAUUCGAUGUGACGGUGAAUCUUAUAAAGUUUUGGGUUUUUGACCUAAAUAUGCUUUUUGAACGAGCUGAGGCCGGUUGCAAACUCUAGCAGCGGAAAAAAGAAAACUCUGCACCUUCGGUAGCUCGGAGAAGCGUCACCUACUCCGCUUUCUGAGCAACAAUCGUGAUUAGACGAUCCGUAGUGUACCUACCUAUAUACAGAAAGCAAAGGAACAGAAGCACGCGGACCGUGGCGCUGUCACCUUGCGUCACGCGGCACCAGCCACAGGCCACAGCGACCCCAUCGACAUCCAUCGAUCACCCAUGGCCUCCUCGCUCCGCCAUUUCGCCGGCCUCGGCUGUUUCCCCGCCGUGGCCUCUACCUCUGGCUCCACCUGCUGCCUGCGCCGCUACACCCCAAACUUCUGCGCCUUCGUGGCGCUCCGUCCGAUCAGCCCGCCCGCCGCCACCGCCACGGCGACUGCCAAGGCCCUCACCUCUCCGUCUCCGGUGGAGCAGCACCUACAGGCCGUCGUCCCGUGCCACGGCAUCAGCGACCCGCCGGCGGCGUCAUCGGCAGCAGCGGUCCCGGCGGCGCCGCUGCGGGUGGGGAUCGUCGGGUUCGGCAACUUCGGGCAGUUCAUCGCGGGCGGGCUGCAGCGGCAGGGCCACGUCGUGCUGGCGGCUUCCAGAUCCGACUACUCCGUCUACUGCGCCAGCCAUGGCAUUCGCUUCUUCAGGAGCGUCGACGCGCUGUGCGAGGAGCAGCCGGACGUGCUGCUCAUCUGCAGCUCCAUCCUGUCCACGGAGGGCGUCGUCCGAGCCAUCCCCUUCCGCAAGCUCCGCCACGACACCAUCGUCGCCGACGUGCUCUCCGUCAAGGAGUUCCCUCGCAACCUCCUCCUCGAGGUAACCAAUCAAGGCCUUGUUUAGUUCACACUUAAAACCAAAAAAUUUUCAAGAUUCUCGGUCACAUCGAAUUUUGUGGCACAUAUAUGAAACAUUAAAUAUAGAUAAAAACAAAAACUAAUUACACAAUUUAGCUGUAAAUCACGAGACGAAACUUUUGAUCCUAGUUAGUUCAUGAUUAUAUAAUAUUUGUCACAAACAAACGAAAGUGCUACAGUACCGAAAACUUUUCACUUUUCGGAAGUAAACAAGGCCCAAAACACUCUAAUUACCGGUACGGCAUUAACGAGGCUUUUCAAUUUUUCAACACCCACCUACCGUUCCCGAUCAAUAAUCAAUAAUGCACCUGCUCCUGCUGACGGUUGGCAGCUGAGCUGAUGUUGGUGAACGACAGAGAAUACUAUGCGGCCGUUUGGAUCGCAGCCUGUGAAUAGUAUUUUUUUUAAAGAAUAAUGGCUAAUGAGAUGUAUCCACCAAUAAACCUAUUAGCUUUUAUUAGCCCAUAUUUAACAUUUCUAGGACAUCGUCCUGGAAUAUAAGAGUCAAUAUUUUUAAGACGACUGGUGGUGUCUUGAUUGAUGUUAGGGGAUCGUCCAGAACAAUUAGUCGUCGUCCAGGACGAUUAAUCGACCCUGGACGAGUCUCCUGGUUGUCCUGGUCAUCUCCUACGUAUGAAGACCGAUAUAUACCAUAUGUAUUAUGUAGUUAUCACAUUCUAGAGUCUAGAUAGGUCAGGACAGGUAGAACAUCAAGCUUGAACGAGGAGGUGAUGAGUGACCUGAGGAGGAUGAGCUCAUCUUUGUAGUCCUCCUCCCUUGCACAGUUGGACCUGUGCCACCUGCUGGAUGUGCAGGUCUAUACACUUGCAGCAGCAGCCGCAAGGAAGAGAGGGAAGAAAGCUGAGAGGAACUGAGGAAGGGAGGGAGGAGCAGCUAGGAACCGAAAGGGAGGAGAGGAGAGAAGCAAUGGAGGUGGCUGCUGCGGGACAGGAGAGGUGAGAGGAGUAUGUUCCGCUGAAAUGAGUGAGUGAGGGGUAAGAAACAACAUAAAUUUUAAUAGGCUUGGGCCAAAAUUUAAGGCAACUAGCUAGGUUCAACUCUGAGAUGCAGUCCACCUAUUGACUGGACGCCCAAACAACUUGGACGGACGAUUAAUCGCGAUUGGACGACGACUAAUCAGACGACUAGUUUCCUGGUUGGUCUGGCCGAGUCAGAGACCCUGGUCGAGUAGCUCCAACUAUCCAAGACGAUUAGUCGUGAUUAAUUGUACAAUAGUUUAUAGUCAAAAUAAUGCUGAUGCGAAUGAGUAAAGAGAUGAGAGAAAUGAGAGCUUGGCUCCUAUGCAAACACAACAGGGCAUGAAGCAUACAUGUUUAUGGGCCCAAGUAGGCUAUCAAAGCAUAUGUAUUUGUGGGUCCAAGUAACAAGCGUUUUGAGAAGGAAUAGGAGAGAGAGACUUUUUCACACUUAUUGUAUAACUUAGCUCUUAUAACUUGUCUUAUAGCCAAGUAAAUUGGCUCUAUUGUUGAUCUUGUUCUAAGGCUUAAAGGUAGAGACUAACGCAGUGGCAGACCUAGAAUUUUAAUACAGGGUAUGUCGCACACAAAAAAUUUUUAUGUAAUUUGGUAAAACCAUUUUAUUCAGUAAAAAUUCUAUCAUUAAAUUUUAUUAAAAAAACUGACAUGAUAAUACUAAUGUUCGACGAACCAUGAACCAAUCUCUAACCACCGAUCUCGCUAAUAUUCCCGAUGCAUAACUAAUGUUGGAGUGCAUAAUUCGUAAAGCUGACACGACACUAUAUAUAUAGCUAUCAAUUUUCAUGCCAUGCAUAACUACAAAUUUUCAUGCUAUACAUAGCUAUAGAUUUCCAUUCCAAAUAUGUCACAGGACACAAUAAAAUGAAAUGGGAUGAAAACAAUUGGAAAAUAAAGGAUAAAAAUACAACACAAAAACUAAAAAAAUAUAUUAUCUAUGGUUAGUUUUUGAAAGGGACAUAAAAAGUUAGCUUUUAAAGGGAACAUAAAAUAUAAAAAUAAAACAAAAAUUGGAAGAAAAAAAAGAUAAAAACAGAACACAAAAACUAAAGAAAAAAAAUGAUCUACAGUUAGUUUUUGAAGCGAACAUAUAAAAAGUUAGUUUUUAAAAGGAACAUAAAAAUAUAGAAAAUUUAAAGGAACAUAAAAAUAUAGAAAAUUAAAAAAAAACAUAGAUGCGGAUAUUUGAGCCAGGGAUCUCUUGGUUAAAAAGCAAAUAGGCCAUUGGGCUAUAAAGACAUAUCAUCAAAAUAUUUAGUUUCAAACAAUUUUGUUAUAUACAUAGUAGUUCAUAGCUGCUCCACUGGGUAUGCCAUGGCCCAUCUGGCAUACCCUGUGGCUCCGCUCCUAACGGAAGUUUUUAUCUCUGCUAAUUAUCUUGCCAGCCAAAAAAAAAGCUUAUGCCCUAUUUAGUUUCUUACCCAAAAACUUUUUAUCCAUCACAUUGAAUCUUUGGACACAUACAUAUAGCAUUAAAUAUAGGAAAAAAAUUAAUUGCACAAUUUGGUUGUAAAUUACGAGACGAAUCUUUUAAGUCUAAUUGAUUAGCCAUAAUUACUACAGUAACCAACAUAUGCUAAUAAUGGAUUAAUUAGGCUUAAUAAAUUCGUCUCGUAGUUUCCAAGCGAGUUAUGCAAUUUGUUUUAGCAACUCCAACAGUUUGCUAAAACUCACUUGACAAAUCUAUAGUUUUGUCAAGUCUCAAAACCAAAUACCAAAUGAAAAAAGAGGCCUUCUCCAACAGUUUGCUAUUUGAACUUGGCAAAAGAAAUUGGUAUCCUAGAACUUUUGCCAAAAUCAUAAAAUUAAGCCUUAAACAAGUUGGCAAAACUGGUUUGCAAAUUGGGAUACACGUAAUGCCAAACGACGGAGGACUUGGCAUAUUUACCAAAUGAAGGGGGAAUUUUGCCAAGCUCACAAAAUCCUAGCAUGCCAAGUAUUUUUAGCAAACUGUUAGAGUUGCUUAGUAUCAAAAAUCUCACUCGACAUCGGCAUAUCUAAUAUAAUAUCAAAAAAUUUUCUUUUUGUGAAAAACAAUCCUUGGUUGAGAAACUACGUUACUCGUGAAAGUAGGCGUGUUUUCGCGUAGGGAGUAAACGAGCGGUUUCUACGGGUAGGGCGUCGCCGUUCAUGAAGACUUCACAGGCAGUAUCGCCGACGCGUAGGCUGCCACACCGCGAACGCACCUCCCUGCCGUGCCUCCCGUGCCCGCAAUGAACGCACCACCGCGCCAUGCAGGCCAAGGCUCCACGCCGCCGUCGCUCUUGCACCAGCCAUGUCUCCGCGCCCAGGAUUGUCGAGCCUCCGUGCCUCUGCCCAUCCGCGCUCGUCGUUUGCCCCUGCCUCACCGGUGACCAGCAGCCUCCCUUCCCUUCCUCUGGCACUCAGAAAAGAGAAAAGAAAAGCAACAUUUAUUAUGCGAAGACACAUAAAUGUACUUACUAUUUCUUGUUUAUUUGACAAAAUAGAAAAUAGUCACUCCAACAGUUUGGUAAAUGGGUUGCCAUCUUUUGGUAACUUACCAUCCAGCAGCACCGCGCGCCCAUAUUUAUCAACUUGCUAUCCAGCAGAUUAGUUGAUUUGGUUGUUAGUUGUGGGUCUUUUUUUUUAAGUUUAUCAAGCCCAAUUGACAAACUGUUGGACAUAGAAGAAAAUCUCACUUGCUAUAUGUUUUAGCAACUUGCCAAAUCACAAAAUUUGGCAAGUGAGUUUUACCAAACUGUUGGAGAUUACCCAGCACUAGAACAGAUCUUACCAUAUACUACGAUUCAAAGACCAAGAAAUAUAUUUAAUUCUUUAUCUUAGCAUUAGUAUUUAUGAGACUUAAACAAAAAGUAGUUACCGCUUAUAUAUUAAGACGGAGUGAGUGUUUGUCAUACAAAACUCAACUAAUUUUUAGCUCUAUGUAUCAACACCCCUACGCCUAUUCCGUGGUCCAGAAUUCGUUACUUCAUUUUCUCUGAAUUUACUUGAUUUUCUCUGAAUUUCUGACAAAGACGUUACCCUUAUGUUAGACUUACCAACUGUACUUACAAGGAAUGGUGCAUUGCCGUGUGUGGAAUCUAGAAUGAGGAUUGCUGAUACACUGAUACAUUGCCAAUCUGUCAGGUUCUCCCACCGGGAUUUGGGAUCAUCUGUACGCACCCCAUGUUUGGGCCGGAGAGUGGUAAACACGGCUGGGGCAAGCUUCCCUUCGUCUUUGACAAGGUCCGUGUCGCGGAAGACGGGGAUCAGGCAGCAAAGUGCGACCAGUUCUUGAGCAUAUUUGAACAGGAGGUAAUUCUACCGGGACUUUUGAUCUCUUUGUUUUGAUGUUCAUUCACAGUGGACCAUUUUUGGGAGUAACCUUUGGUCACAACAACUGACUGACUAGAGUUACUCAACAUGUGGAUUUUUUGUGUGUGUUUCAUUUUGUUCUAAACGAUGUUUGUAGGGAUGUAGGAUGGUGGAGAUGUCAUGCGCGGAGCAUGAUCGCUACGCUGCGGGAAGUCAAUUCAUCACGCACACAAUUGGGAGGUCAGCAAACAUUGCAUAUCUGGAAUGUUUUUACAGUUAUUUAUUACACCAAAUUGUUUCCUGUAUCUGCCUGCUUAGCUUCAUGCUAUGAAUAACUCGCGUUGUUUGGUGCAGGGUUUUAUCACAACUGAACCUCAAGUCAACGCCAAUCAACACCAAGGGUUAUGAAACCUUGCUGCAACUUGUAAGUGGUGAAUAAUGGCAUGGUCUUGUCCGUUCUUGAUUGCUGAGACGAGGGGCUCUUAUCGCCUACUACGAACUUGCAGACCAAGAACACCGUAAGCGACAGUUUCGAUCUGUACUAUGGGCUCUUCAUGUACAAUGUCAAUGCCACAGAGCAGGCAAGUGCUCUGCACUCUUCAUAUGCUGUGCUAUCGCUAUCAUCCCCUCAACACAUCAUGCAUUAGUUGCAUAUAAUAAGCUAGUUUUGGUUAGCCUGUGGGUCAGCGAUUGCUGUAAUGCAUAUAGUGCUAUUGUUUGUUAACAGUACAUAUGCCUAAAAUUAAGCUCAACCAUCAGCCUAAUUUUUCACUACUUCACGCGCAGCUCGACAAACUGGAAAUGGCAUUUGAGAAGGUGAGACAGAUGCUGUCUGGCAGGCUCCACGACUUCAUACGAAAGCAGAUUGUGGAGAGGGCAGCCCAUGUGCCAGCAGAUCCUUCAGGAAAAUUGGCAAAUGGUUUGUCCAGUUCUCCUGCAGCUCGCCUCUUAUAGACAGUAACUGAAGAAAAUAAGACACAUGUAUUGUUUCCUACACUUCAACCGGAUACUUCCCAAAUCCCCAUUUGUACAUCUUCCUAACUAUUACUUCGUCCCAAAUCCCCAUUGGCAAAUAGUUUAGAUGUUGGUGGAUUUUUCUGCAGAUUUGAUCAUCAAAGAUAAAAGGUGUUUAAUUUAGAACAAAAACCAAAGUGAAACAUAAUUUAAAACAGUUAAGAGUAUGUUGUUGUAAGUGUGCAGUUUCCAUAGUUAUUAUUAUUGACUAGACCAAGAGUAUAAGGAUACUGCUCUCCAUUUUGUUCCAGAUCUCUCACCUCACUUCGAGGCUGUUUGCUUGCUAACAAUUCUAUAAAAAAGAUCAAUAACACCAAAUAAGUAUAUUAUAAACAUAUAGUUUAUGAUGUUAUUAUUGACAUAUGGAAAUUAUUACUAUGUUUAAAAAUCUACAAUUGGAACUUAAGAUCCAAUAAUCCGCUGUCCUCUGUUUAUUACCUUAAAUAGUAGUAACUACUAGGUUACUAAACACAGAUACAUGGCAACUAUAUGUGCAUGUAGCAUUGUAUCACCAUAAAUGUAUACUUCAUCUUAAUGUCAUUUUUUCUCUAAGGCACUAUUAUACUAGGUCUUUAAUAGACAUAAUUUAAAAUCUGGCUUAUCAUAUACGAUAUAGGAUGACUACGAUCCUGAUAUCCUUUCUAAAAUCUUGCAACCUGCCUGGAAUCGGAUCGGGCUCUCCUUCCAUAAGGGUUUGACGGGCCAAUCCCAUGCUUCUUUCCACUGUCAACUUUCCUCAUCUUUCGGUGUUUAGAUGCACCGCUCUCCAGGUCCAGAUUGACUUUAGGAGGGUUCUUAAAACAGAAUGAUGCCGCAACUUUCUGAAAGAAAUAAAGAAAUUAGAAAGAGUAUUACCUCAUCCUCGCAGCCCCACCAAAAAUAGGUAACAGACAGACAAUUUGUAUUUGCAUUAAUUGUCCUACUUGACUAUGUAAGAUUUUGCAAAUUAAACAAAAUAGCCAGAGUAGAGAUAUAUGCACACAGACCAAGGACAGCCUUAGGAAAGAACUUCACAAGUAUGUACCGUGAGAUCAAGUUGAUGGACGUCAAAAAUGUCUUUCAUAGAAUGUGAGUUGUAUGCCAAAAGGUAGGACCUAUAGGCUUCCUUUGCUGACUGAUUUAGAAAGUAAUUCCCACCAACAAUGUUCUCCUGCUCCAAAACUCAAGUUAAAUACUUCACAUUGGAACAACAAGAUUGAACUGCGAAAGACACUCACAAGUUGCGAUUGCGAUUUAGGCACAUGCUUCUCACUGAACACAUAUUGAGUCAGAGAAAUAUUGGCCGCCUGCAAUAUGUUACUUCCUCAAUCCAAUUAUGUGGAAUAUCAUAAUCGGAGAUGUAAAAAUCAUAAAAAAAAUGCUUUAACAUAUAAAAUGAGACAACAAUAUCCAUAUUUCAGAGUACUUCCCAACACACUAUAUUGACUUUGUAUCCAGACAUGCUAAAGAAAAAAAAUGAUCACAUUAAAGUUAAAAACAGUGCCACAUACACUUCGAGGUUCCUCUUAAUAUAAGAGGGAGAAGGGAGGAGGGAUGGGAAGCACAUUACCUGCAGAUAAAUAAGCAACUUCAAUUCUUCCGGUAGUAAGAACAAUAAUGCACUUCCUUUGCCUUCAUCACCUCGGGCAGUACGACCAACCCUGUGGAUGUAAUCCUACAGAUUAAAUUCCAAUGCCAAGUUAGAAAAUUUGAUAAAAAUAGAUAAUUAAUUAGGAAAGUUCAGGACGACUUACCUUUGGGUCAUCUGGAGGAUCAUAUUGCACAAUAUAGUCCUAAACCAGACAAGCGGUCCUUAGGUUAGCGAGGGGUACAGAAAGGAUUGGUACAAAUGAUUUAAAAACGCAGGCCAAAACCUUACCACAUCAGGAAUAUCAAGUCCACGUGCUGCCACGUUUGUGCAUAAUAAGAUGCCCCUUUUCUCCUUCAAAAAUCGGAAGAAUGUACUAGUUCGCUUCUGUUGCUUCAGCUGCCCAUGAAUAUCAUAACACUCUAUCCCAAAGAAAUUUAGAAGUUCUGCAUGGAACUUGACUGAGCUACAUGACGAAAAGAACACCAUGAUCUUCACACCCUGCUCCCUAAGCUGCAUCCUUCUUAGGAAAGCAUACAGAACCAGAAAUCUUUUCUCACUUGGAAUGACACAAUAACCCUGCUGCAAGCCCUCAACUGUAGGCUGUAAGAGCAUGAAAGUUAUUUCUCAUACCAAAUAGAUAAAAAUUCUUUAAAAUAGAGUUGAACAAAAUUGUGAAAUAGUUCCAUACCUUCAAUUUAGAAUCAUCAACUCCAACAUAAACAAGUUUCCUUUGUCUUUCUUCAUUCUGUCCAAAUGUAAAAUUCGCAAAAUCUACAACCUGUGGGAUCAAAACACAUAAACAAUGGCACUGACAAAAAAAAGGGGACGAGAUUUUGAAUAUGCUAACAAACAGAUCCACUGACCUUUUGAGUCUGCGGGGCAGAAAAAAGAACAGUUUGCCUAUCCUGCAUAUGAUGCAUAACAAUUUGAGGACAAAAAUACAGCAAUCUCAGUACAAAAUUUAAAACGCUAACUUCACAUAUGAAAUGAACUUGUCAGACUAUCACAUACCGAAGGGAGUCGUUUAAAUAUUUGUUUCAUAUCCUCCUCAAAAUUUUGCUCAAGUAUGCGAUCAGCUUCAUCAAUUAUGAGGCACUACAACAUAGCAAGUCAUGUUAAAGAUAGAGUACAUAUAGGUCAGGAAUUACAUCCAUUGCCUUAAACAUGAGUUUUCAUGAAAAUCAAUGUCAUUUUCCUGCUAAACAGGUGGCACAUGAGCCACUGAACCUUAACUUGCCCAUGGGGCAGCCCAGCACAGUAGGCAUAUUCCAUUGCCAAGGUAUGAGUAGACAGCACAAUGCAUUACAUCCCUGCCCAAAAAUGUAUUUACUGGUGGGCAAUUAGAUAUUCCUUUCAUCUGAAAAUGGAAUUUAAUAUUGGCGACAGAUAUGGAAAAAAGCUUUUAUCUACAGAUUUUUUUUUUUUGAAAAUGCAGGAGAGCUGCGCUUCAUUAUAUUAGAGAAGAAAAUAGUCCCCAAACAGCCCACUUAUCUCGUACGGGGACUUUUAUCUGCAGAAUAACAAACAACAAUACAUCCGAUGGACUUGCCAACCCACAUAACAUUCCUAACAAUGGAUCAAUAACUUUAUAAAGAAUAUAAACCAUUAGGUUUUAUGAUUUUGCAUGUACUUUGGCAUAAUGUAUGCAGAAAUUUCAUUUAUACUCUAAUUCAGUAUUAAGAAGCCAGUACUGGACAAUGAAAAGAUAGAAAAACACAGAUCUGAUAUAUGAAACAAAUCAGGUGACUGAUUAUGCAUGUAGAGUAGCGAAGUAUGAGAUUGCUGGUUGUAUUUGUUAUUUAGCUUGAUAAUUAGAAUAUGCACACUAUUUCAACAGAAAUAUUUUCCUUGAAGCUUGGAAAAAAAUGAUAAUAACAAGAAUGCUUUACCUGUAGCCUUUUAUAGUGGAAACCACUGGUACUUCGCAGAUGGUCCAAAAGUCUGCCUGGUGUAGCAACUAACAGAUUGAUCCCUUUCACAAUUUGGUUGGCCUCAUUUCUUAUGUUAGUGCCACCAAUAACAUAUCCAAUAGUUUGUGAGUGAUACUUCAUUAAUUCCUUGGCAACAUUGUGUGUCUAGCACAAAAGAAUCAAUGAAACUCAUAAGUCAUAGUUAUUAGGGAUAGUGAAAUGUGAGUCCCUAUGAACAAAGUCUCGGCAACCAUCCAACAUGAAGAUACACUAUAUAAAACUGACUCCAAUGCAUUAUAUUUGCACAAGCAUUACCUUAGCAAAGGAUAUGCUUACCUCAGUUUGGUCCAUCUGAUUUUGAUUGGGUUUCAUUCAAUGCAAGUUGAAGAGUCACAAAACAUGUAAAAUGGAAUUAAAGAGAAAUACUGUUGCGUCAUAUGCAUAUAUAUUACCUGGAUAGCAAGCUCCCUUGUUGGGCAAACUACAAUAACUCCAGUUCCGUUCCUUGGCGUGAAGCAUGCUUUGUGCAGCAGUUCGAUCGCCGGUAUAAGGAAGGCAAGGGUCUUCCCUGAGCCAGUUUUGGCUGAUCCCAGCACAUCACUUCCUAGCAUAAGAUGCGGUAUUGAUCUAGCUUGAAUCUGCAAGGAAAAGAAACAUGCAUACAUGCCAUUUACAGUAAUACAAAAAAUCCAACAGCUAGCGCAGCAAAGAGCAGAUCAAAUCAACCCACAUAAUGCAAUAAUCAACCGCAGAAGCAUUCAAUCAACUAGCUGUAAUUAUGAAAUUGGACAAAAAUUUAGGUGUCGGCGAGAAUUAAUGACCUCGGUAAGGUGGGUGUAGUUCAUCUCUGUGAUGGCCUUGGCAGUGAACUCGGAUAUGUAGAGCUCUGAGAAAGUUUUGUUAGUUAGAAUUCCUCCUGCAUUACCCUUGUUCACCUUUUCUUCUUCUUCUUUAUUCUCGUUCUUCCCCUGCUCCAUCCCUAUCUCAUCCUCCUUCCGCUUCCGCUUCCCCUUACCUUUCUCCUUUUCAUCUUUCUUCUUCUCCUUGCCCAUCCCCUCCCUCCCAUUCCCCUCCCCUUUCCCCUUCUCCUCAUCCCCAUCCCCAUCGCAGGUGGCGUCGUGGAUCGACUCUCCCGACUCUGGCGGAGCAACGGGGUUCUUCAACGGCUGGGCCAAGUGGCUACAGGGGCCGCUCAGGUACAUGGCGGCGCCGGGGGCUGCUGAAGGUUGGUGAGGAGGGCUCACUCCGGCUAAAUUCGAAUCGUACAUAUAAUAGCGGCGGCGGUGGCGGCGGCGGAGGCGGUGGUGGUGGCGGCUGCUAGAGCGGCAGAAUGUAGGUAUUAGUGCACGUACACGUGCACCAGAGCGUUUCACGGGGGCGCAGACGUCCACGCGUGGGCCGUGCCGCCGUGCCGAGGACCUACUUGUUGUAAUUUAGAGUACUGUAAUGUUGUACUUGUACAAACAAGACUGUAUUGUACAUUUGUAUAUAUACAUGUAUACAAGAUACAGGGAACACACACACCCAGACACAACGAGAGGCCCGAUGAUCAAUCAGACACCAGCGGAACAACUACCGCACCGAUCUCGUGGAGUCAUGGAGGAGGAUCGAUGACUACAUGAUCGAGCAAGCAGCACUCGGGUUCUCGUCACUGAAGUAGUUCCGCACGGCGGCUGGCACUACUUCGCCGGGCUGCUCCUGCUCCUGGUAGUUCCCGUAGAGCUCCGAGUCGUAGUACCCGUGGACAUGGUAGUUGUAGGAGGAGCUGGCCUUGGCCUGAGGGUACAGCUGCGCCACCGCCGGCUUCCUGCCCACCGCCGCCGCCGAGCCGCCGCCGCUGCUGUUCUUGCCGGCGCGCGGGACGCUGCUGUAGUAGUAGUGGUGCUGCUGCGGCUGCGCAUGCGCGGGCUUGGCCUGGUGGUACAGCUGGUACUGGUACUGGUAGUAGGAGGCCGCCGGCUGCGCGUGGGCUUGGUGGUGGUAAUACGCCGGGUUGUAGUUGUAGGCGGAAGCGGAACCGGAGGGCCACAGCACGGCGAGCCUUCCCGUGCGCCGCGCCGCCCGGAGCGCCUUCUUCUGGCUCACCGAUCCCGUCACCGUCACCUUGCCGUGCAUCCUGUCUAUGCUUACGUGGUGCACUCCUGGAGAGGAGGAGGAGGAGGAGGAGGAGGAAGAGGAGAAUCAUAUCGAGCAGUUCUUUGCGUGUGUGAUCAUGAGACAUUUUCGUACGACAUACAUAUACAUAUACGCACCUUCGAGCUUUUCCAGGGCUCUCCUGACCUUGCCCUCGCAGCCGUCGCAGUCGAUGUUCACAUGCAUCUCUACGAUCUGCAAAGACACGACACGACGAUCGAUGCAUGGUUUAGUUUCAGAGACGAGGGAUAUGCAUGAGAGCACUAGAACACAAACAUGCAUCAUCCAUCAAAAGUCUGAGUCAAAUUAAUUGGCCAAGCAGUGAUUUGUGUUAGAGCGAAGAGUGACUCAAGCUUACCGUCAUGGUUCCUCGGACAGACGACGGUAAAGAAGAUUCACUCUGGGGAGUUCACUAGGACAGUGUGUAGUGCAGUGUGUGGUGUAUAUAUGCACAAGAAUCACUACCGGAGAUGCAGCAGGAGAGAAGACAUGCAUUGUGUAUUUGAGGAUAUCAAGUCACGGUGCCAAGUACCAAGUAUAUUGCCGGCUAUUUUGUUUUCUCUCUUUUUUUUAUGGAAACGACGCGGACAAACAGUCCCCACCUGAUGUAUUGCCGGCUAAUAAUUUCUUUGUUCCUGUAGCCCAUUGCGCUCAUUUAAUUUGCCUUGACGUCGCUGGCAGUGCCUAUCCCAGUAUUUCUUCCCUACAUACGAAUGCCAUGGAAGUUGCGUGCCAUCACUUAAGAAGAUGCUUCGGUCAUGGACAACGACCGGCUAAGUAAACUAUAUGCUGAAUCAACGCAGCUGGGAUUGCGUACGUUGUGUAAGAUAUAUAGAUACAUAUGCAAAUUGAGCAAGUAGGCAGACACAACUAUCAGGUCGCUGUUUCUGCGAUGGGCAACCAACGUACGGGAGAGCUUCAUUUUUUUAAUUUAUAAGUUAAUUUAAUUAGAAUUGUUAUCUGGCCAAGUCUAGAUUAUAUUGAACGUUAUUAGGUUCACCAUCCAAUAUCUAUGUAAGCCUUUUAGGUGUAAUGUAACUUAAUUGGUUGGGCCGGGUUUCUUUGUCGAAGCUGCCCAAUUGGGUUCAAUUUCCAAAUUUGGAAUGGGUACUUGUGCUUUUCUUGAUCUUUUUUUAAAAGGAUAUAUAUAAUGGAUGAUUUUUUUUUCAAGAAACAAAACUGUUAACUCACUCUUUUUGUUCUAUCCUUUUGGAUGGCUUUUGGUUUUUCUAGUAGCAAAAGCACUUUUAUUUGAAAGCCCAACCAAACACACAGUGAUAGUUGCAUUUUUCUUUAUUUAUCUUAGAAAAGGGUAGGAAUGGGUGAUGUUUCCGGAAACAAAAUUGUCAACUCAAUGUUCCUUUUUGAAAACAAUAUGGGUAAAGUGCAGUGCUUCUGUAGCAAGAUAUUUUGAUCUCCCAGAUCGUCGUGUGGACUUAAUUAUAUUAUUGUGGCUGGAGAAAGUAGUCAAUGGUGUUGUUAAAUAGGCAUGAUCUUCUAUAGGGACACAAUCCACAAAAAUUCAUUUGCAUUCAUCUUCGGAAAUGGCCCAUUAAUUGUAAGGAUCAUGUGGUGAUGUAUGCGAUUUAGUGAGGUGUUGGUGAUUUAUGAUGACAACCCAAUUACUGAGAAUAAUAUAUAUUUUAAGAUGGGUUAUAGAUAUUUUAGUAGAUUCUACAGGUUCAAGGAAACAAACAACAUAAAGAAUAGUGAAGAAAUAACGAAAAAACCAUGAAAAUAAUGAACUAAUGUGGUUGGAUAGUCCACAGUACAGCGUUGGACAAUUAGGGUCAGUGUUUAGCCAACAAAAUGAUUAGAGAUUUAGAGCACUGUUCACUUAGCUUGGUGAAAGCUCUAAUUUAGUUUUGGUGAAUUGAUGAAACUCUAUGUGCUAACCUAUUGUUCUAAGUAUUUAUGAGAUAGGAAAGCACAUUCCAAGUGGUGAGCAACAUGGGUGAUGAUCAUAAUGGUGAUAGUGGAACCAAGGUGAUCAAGUGCUCGGGCUUGGAAAAGAAGAAAGAGAAAAACAAAAAGCUCAAGGCAAAGGUAUAAUUUUUUUUGACCGAAGUCAGCAAGGAAACCCCAGCCUAUUUUUUUAUUUUUUUAAUAAUGCAGAUCUGUUUAAAUUCGCUCCCACCGGGAGUCGAACCCAGGUCUGCUGGUGCUACUCAGGUGCUCUAACUACUAGGCUAGAGGCCCUUUCGCGGCAAAGGUAUAAUUGGUUAGGAGCUUUUUGGUUUGCACUCAAGACACCAUAGAGGGUGUGAGUGAUUUAGGAUUGAUAGUCGUACUAUUGAGAGGGGUAAAACUCGUAUUGAAAUGUGGUUGUCAAAGUGCCACUAGAUGCUCUAACUCAUUGUAUAUGUAUUAGGAUCUAGUGAGUGCGCUAACUUCUUUUAGAAAAAUGUUUAUGAAAAUACUAACACGCUUGCACAUGGUGAUCUGCACUUGGUGGUGUUGGCAUAUUUACAAAGGAGGUGGAGUUUGAUGGGUUGAGAGGGGUUUGAGAUCCUCUCUCCCUUGGUGGUGUUGGCACAUUUGCAAAGAAGGUGAAACUUGAUUCGGCGCUUUUGGGAAAAUAAUUUGUAUAUUUUCUACUGCACCAGAGAUGGACUUGAAGUAGUGGCGAAGUCGUGGUAGUGUCUUGCACUGAAAUAGUGCACUAGACACUGGUGCUAAGAGCACCGGACGCAGGGGCUUUGUCCGGUCAGUUCUAACUGGCAAGCACUCUAAGGGUUUACCAUCGGACACUAAGCACCGAAUGUUGGCUGAACAAGCAUUUGGUCUACGUGACAUGGCGAGUCUGUGCGAGCCGUGUUGCACCAGACGCUGUGGUGCGUCUAGUCACUAGGCACCGGACGCCUCCGGUGAUGAAAAACAUGUUUCGGAUCCUCUCUGAGUAGCAACCAAACACUGGGUGCCGAGUUCAGUCGGUGCGUCCGGUGUGAACUUAACCAUUGAGAUCUUACGAUGCGACCUUCAAAGGUAGAGGACAUGUGGCGAGAAUCCAUGCAUCGGACGCUGAGGGCUGCGUCCGGUCGUUUGCACCAGAGCGUCCGGUGGCCCCGUGUUUUGAGAAGAUGGAGAGCCAACGAGUCUAUUUCUUUGAGGGGCCUAUAAAAGGUGGUUGUCUAGCUUGGGCUCAUACCUUUGGCCAUUUUCAUUGACAUAGCAACCUUGUAAGCCUAGCGAAUAUACUCCCACUCAAUUGCAUCAUUAUUUGAUCAUCCUUGUGAGAUUGGAAGAGCAUCCAAGUGCAUUGCUUGAGUGUUUGCAUCUAGAGGAACUUGGUGAUCGUGUUUCGUUGCGGGAUUUGCUUGCUACUCUUGGAUGUUUGCCGACUCCUAGACGGCUUGGUGCAGCAAGGAUCAUCAAGCAGAGGUUGGUGAUUGUCUCCGGCUCCGAUCGUGGUGAUUGUGAGGGGUUCUUGACCUUUCCCUGACGGAGAGCCAAAAAGUAUUCUAAUGAAUUGCUCGUGGCUUGUGUGAUCCUCAUUUUGUGUUGGUUGUGCGGCACCUAUGAGGGUUUGGCGUGUGAUGGCAAUUAGCUCGUGAACCUUCAAGCAAGUGAACCUUGGUACAAAAUCAUUGUGUCAACAUUUGAUUCCUAGGUGAUUGGUCUUGAUUGACAUUCUCUAUUGUGAUUGAUUGGCUCAUUCCUCUAUGCUGUGGUAUAUCAAUCCUAACCCCUCUUGGUAUUACUUUGCUAGCUAGUUUGUGUAGCUCUCUUGCUUAGCUUAGCUUAUCACCUAGGGGUAAGUAGUGACAUAGUCUUGGUGUGCUUCCUUAGAGACUAUAGAAACUAUAUUAGGUAGGAGGCUUUCUUCGACAUUGUAGAGCUAGUGCCAAAUUCGCUUCGCCAUCUUAUAUACUAAUCAAGUGCUUUUAGUGUUGUUGUAAAAAAUUUUAUUAGGCUAUUCACCCCCUAUAGCCAUUAGGACCUUUCACUUGGUCAAUCAUAUCGCAUCUUACCAAACAAAGAGACCAUAAAAAAUGAAGAUUGGAGACAAGCAAUAAAGAAGAAGGAAAUUUAUAAAUACAGUUGUUGUCAAUAGAAUAGAUGGUCCGACCAAUCAGAGAAGUGUGCUAGACUUUCUAUAGUGUUGUCUGGCCAUCACUUGUGCAGGGACACUGUGCAAAUGCAUAGUCUAGACGAUCUAGUAAGUAUUAAAGAAGUUCUAGAAUUGAACAAUCUGACAUCAUCCAAUCUGCAACGACUAGUACUUCAAUGGUCACAACUGACUAGAUAUUCUGAUAGAAGCAUAAUCUAUGAGCACUAGAUCGUCAGCGUUGUUUUUCGACAAACUUUGGCUAAUGGCCAUAUGAGAAAUGGAGGAGUUAUAUAUACUCCGUUCUAUCAUUUUGUGGUGGUUGGAUGUUGUUGAAGUUUCCCAUGGCUACUAGAACUAAAGCAAGAGAUUGUUUAAUCCAUCCACCCUCUCAAAUGCAUGUUGAUCACAUCCAAGACAUAAGAUAGAGUCUAGCAUUUAUCUUUGAGGGUGUUAGGCAUGAGAGCAUGAGAGCUUCAGAGUUAGGGUUGUUGAGCUCUUGUAAUACUAGAUCAUACCCCGCGCAUUGCUGCGGAAACAUAUAAUUGGAAUGUAGGAAAAACAGGAGAGAAUACACGAUACUUACUAAUCAAACAUACGACAUGGGUACUUCAUAUGGGCCAAUAAAGACUCGAUGUGGUAUGAGCAUUCAUAAACAUCCGGCUUUUGGCCAAGGAGAUGGAACCUCUCAGUGCUUACCAGGGGCCAUGCAGCAGCGCAGGGAGGAGCUCGAUGGUGGCGAUCUUCCUGGCGGUAGCAGCUACAACGUGCGCGUCACCACUAGUGAACAUGCAGCGAUCAUUGACCAAUGACAGCACCUUCUACUUCCUAUGGAGGGGCAGGAGAGAUUCAUUUUACGCCGUAGGCGAUUGAUGCAUGCGUAAUGGUGCUGGCGUUUCAAAUGAGGAUGCAUGCGUAAUGGCUAGUGGGUGAGGUGUAUGUGAACCCUUGCAAUUUUGUAUGCACAUGCACAUGCACAUGCGUUAGGCUUUAAUUUGGAGGCAUACGUGUAGAUGUGGGACCCUCGGAUGACGUGGCUGCAUGAGAAUGCAGGGAAAAUAUGGUAGUGGGGAUCUCCUAUUUAGGCAUAGAGGAUUGGUGAGCUAGAGAACUUGGGUUGUGUUGCUGACCUUGCAAUGACAUUAACCCUCUGAGCUUGGUAUUGAGCAGUGGCAACUUAAUGUGCAUGGGAUGAGGAGACUCCUUCCUUAUUAGAGAAGCUAUGCUUCCUUACUAGAGAAGCUACAUAGAGUGCACACAACAUCAAAGGUGACCAGGAAAGUGUGGUGGUAAGCUUUAAUGGGUUGCGACACUUUUCUUGGUUAUGCAAGCCUUUGUGGAAAGCUCAACACCAUUACCAAGGGAUGAAGCUUUAGUGACAGGGAGCAUACCACAUGGGAUCUCUAGUGUGCAUUAGGGGUUGUGGUUUGGCAACUGAUAUCAUGGGAUACAUUAUUGUCUCUAAUUAAGAGUUUGACCUAUCUUGACUUGCUAUUUACGUACCACAUUAGGCCUCUAUAUUGUGCUUGACUUGUGUGGCAUUUACCUUUUAUUAAUCAGUAUAAGGUAGUUAAUAGGAUUGACUCUAGGUUGCAAAAGUCUUUGGGGGUGUAGGUAGGUAGAGUACACUAGAAAAACUUAUGGUGCAUAUCAUGCUAUACUAGUUUAUAUUUUUUCUAGUGAAAUUCAAGUAGACCCCCAAACUCCAAUCACUAGUGGCAACCUCUAAGGGAACCUCUAAGAGUAAGCUCUCAAGCUUGCAAAACAAUCACUAUAGCGCCGUUGGAUCGCUCAAGUAAAUGCACUAGAUCAUUCCAAUAAAAAAUUACCAAUCAAGUAGAUGCUAUCUCUCACUGAUUCAAUUGGUAACAUAUAUUGCCAGGCAUUAGAUUUCAGAAACUGUUUAGCACUAUCUAAAGAGGGAUGGUUGAAGUAGCAUCAUGGUAAAAAAAGUCCAUCCAAUGGGCUGGGAUACAUAUAUAGUGGCAUUUUCCCUGCCAAGAUUCAUUAAUACAUAAUAGUAAAUUUGUAGAUUAUAUGAUGUUCAUUAUUACAAUAUAUUUAAGAUGCCAAGAUUUUCCACUUGGACUUCACAACAAGAGUGAAAAAUAUAAAGAGGCCAAAGCCGAGGAAAUUACAUAAACAUGCAUAUAGUGAAAACAGGUGGUGUCAGUUUUCAGCAUCUCCAUCCAAAACUGACAAAACGCCACCAUCCGGAAGCUGUGAUUAUUAUUGCCGUGCAGUACUCUGCAGGUGAGUGAAGGGGAAGCGGCCUAGCCGGUGUUCUGCAUGCCGGCGGCGAUACCCUUCAUGGUGAGGAUGAGCGUGUCUUCCAGCCCCGGCGGGUACUCGCUCGCCGGGUUCAGCUUCACCAGUCCGGCGGGCUUGUUCUCGUCGGCGAACUCCUUGGACAGCGGCGGCUGCGGCGUCACCUUGAAGCUGGGGUCCCUUAUCCGCUUCAGCGUGUAGGCCUGGAACACGUUCAGGGUGGUGAUGUAGGGAUUGCGCAGACGCAGCCCCUGCUUCAGGUAAGGAUCGCCUUCAAGAAUGUCCUUGUGCCCAGCGAUCUGCAACAAAAAAAAAGUACAGUACAUGAAUAUAUAUAUAUAUAUAUAUAUAUAUCGUGCAGUCUGCAGUGCAUGAAUAUCAUUCCUGCAGUGAACUUGCUGGUAAAAAAAAAGGUACCUGUAGGAGAAGCUGCUGUGUCUCCACGUAUUUGUCCCUGAGCUGCUUCCCAAAGGGCUUGAGUUCCUCGGCGACAAGCAGCUCGUCGUACAAGCCGGCAAUGCCAGGGUCUCCCUUGGCGAAAACCAUCUCCAGCAGGUCCAGGGUGACCCUGAAGAAUGGCCACUCGUUGUACAUCUCCUUGAGCUUCUGGAAGUUCUUGAUGUCCUUGUCGAUGGCCCACUUGAAGGCGGCGCCGACUCCCAGCCACACGGGGAGGUGGAACCUCGUCUGUGUCCACGAGAAGAUCCAGGGGAUGGCACGCAGGGUGGUGAUGCCGCCGCCCGGCUUCCUCUUGGCUGGCCUGCUGCCGAUGUUCAUCUUCCCGUACUCAGUCUCAGGGGUAGCCUGACAGAGAAAGACAGACGAAUGAAUUAUAACGACGACAUGGAUGAAUGAAUUCGAUUAUUCGAUCGAUCUUCACCAAACAUCAAACAAAUAUAUGAUGGCAUACCGAUCUGAAGUACUCGACGAAUCGCGGCUCCUUGACGACGACGGAGCGGUACUCCUCCGUGGCGACGACGGCCAUCUCCUCCAUGAGCUUGCGCCACUCGGGCUUGGGAGACACCGGCGGGUGCAUGCCGUGCUCCAGCGUGGCGGCCGUGAACCGCUGCAGAGACUGGAAGCACAGGUUCUCCUCCCCGAACAUGAACUCGAUGACCUCGCCCUGCACCGUCACACGGAUGGACCCGUUGAUGGUGUCCGGCGGCUGGGACAGGAUGGCGAGGUGCGUCGGGCCACCGCCCCUGCCGACGGUGCCACCGCGGCCGUGGAACAAGGUCAGCUUCACGCCGUACUUCUUGGCCACCUUGGCCAUCUCCUCCUGCGCCACGUACAGCUGCCACGCCGCGGACAGGCGGCCGGCGUCCUUGCCGGAGUCGGAGUAGCCGACCAUCACCUGCUGCUUGCCGUUGAUGUGGUUGAUGUACCAGUCAGUGGAGAAGAGCUUCUCCACGGACGCCGGCGCCGCCUGCAGGUCGGCCAGCCUCUCGAACAGCGGCACCACGGGGAGCGUCUGGCGAAUGCCACACUCGCGCUGCAGGAGCUCGACGGCGAGCACGUCCGAGGGCGCCGUGCACAUGGAGAUGAUGUAGGGGCCGAAGCUGUCGAUCGGGAGCUCGGCCAGGACGCGCAUGGCGCCG
rnacentral:lncRNA from 1 species